rnacentral:lncRNA from 1 species
CAUGAAGAUUGAUCGCAUGUAUAACUGGGAAAAGCUUGGCACUAAAAGGAUUUCCACUUCAGUUCAAAAUCGUGGUCUGUGCUUUCUGCACAUGCAGCAUAAACAUCAUGGGCCUGGAGAAAGGAAGCAGCUCCAGAUCAUUUCUGGAAAACAAAUAGGUUUGUUAAAUUAUUAGAGGGUCACUUUAACUGAUAUGAUAUCAUUACUGACAUAUUUAAAAAUUAAUAAAAUUUUAUAAGUUCUAGAAAUACCACAGCUUUUUUUAUUCUCUGUCUCAGUCCACAAUUUGUUAUUGCUGGAUAAGCUUUUCAAAUUAUUUCAUAUUUUUACCUGUUUAACUGUUUUUGGCUGUUGGAGUAAUACUCAAAAAACCCUCAAGUUAUUUAAAUAUGCAUAGGGAUUUGGAAUAGUACAUAAGGCAUAAGUAGCUAUGCAUUGGGGCUGAUGUGUACUAUAGUCAUUGCUGCCACCCAUCAUCAAUAAUAUAUCCUAAUCCCUAGAAAAAAAUUGAGGAAGGGUAGGAGAAGGGGUUGUGUUCCCCAAUCCACUAUCAUUGCAGUGGUACCAUUGCAGGAUUACUAAUUGAUCCAGCAUGCAGAAUUGUGUCACACCUAGGACAAAGGAUAACGUCUAACCGGACCUUAGAAUGGCUGGACUUAAAGUAUCCAAGAAUAGUCAGAAUACUAGCCGAGGUCAGGUAUACAGAAUGAGGCACAGCGAUGAGAAAAAGCCAAAAGUCAAGGAUGCCAGAAAUCAGAGAAGUCAGAACUAAGCCAGAGGCAAAUGCCAAAAUAUCUAGAUCAGGAACGCACUCUCGGAUUACCAUCAGGCAGAAACCAUGACAGGGCAAUGAGAGAAUGUAAAAGUAAGUUUAAAUAACCCUCCUGUUAUUCUGAUUGGCUGUAAUCAGCCUUUUACCCCAAAAUGUGUGUGCGCGUGACGUCACGCACAUGCCGGCGUCCUCCUCAAUGUGGGCGGUUAUGGGGCUAUAAAGUGGCAUAGAUCUGCAGCUGCCGGUGUCCCAAGACAUGCUGGGUUUAUCAGGUAUCUGGGCGCAUGGCUGUAGAUGGGCACAGCUAUUCCAGUCAGGAUGGUAAAUACCAUCAAACACAUUACUAUAAGCGGAUUAAUUCGUUGCACUAAUAGCAGGGCUUAAAAUUUGGAAUUACUAGCCAUCCCUUAAAAGUUACUUGCCACUCUAGGCCAAAGCAUGCCAACCUAGGGUAUAUAGCUCUACUCACUACUAACCAAUGGCUAGUGGCAAGUUAAAAGUUUGAUCCCUUCCUGAGAGCCUGAACACCACUUUCUUGAUCAUGAGGAUUGCUGACAGCUGCUCCACCACUGCCUCCACUACCACCACCAUGUUUAGUAGUAUUUAGCCUCAGUAUAAAAGGAUUAGCAGCAUGUCUGUUAUGUCUGAUUCACCACCCAAUUGAAUUUUUCUGAGUCUUUUUAUGCUGUAACAACAGCUGGUUCAAGCAUUACAGCGUUUGUGUUUUAUGGUGGUUAGAGCAUGGGAUCUGUGAAAUGGGUGUACUUUUUGCUAUUGCCUGUGCUACUCCCUAUUUAUGUAGCCCCAAGGAGCAUCUAAGAAAGAGCUCAUCAUAGACUUUGUCAAUGCCAUCUAAGCUAUUUGAGCCACUCUUUACCGACGAGAUAGAGCACAGUACCUAAGUAAUGUCUGCUAUGUAUGGUUUUGCUGGUGAUGGUGGUGAGAAAUUUGAUGAUUAUGAGAUUGCACUUUCUCCCACCACUCCAGACAUUUGUUUAAGUCUGUCCCAGGAGUAGACUAUAAUGCAGAGGAAUUACAAGAGAAUAUUCAGGAGAGGAGAGGCAGCAGUCCACUAUUUUCUGAACCUACGAUGCCUUUGCCACCAAGUCCAUGUUUAUGUAGAAUCGUCUUGCAGUGCCAGAAGUAGCUUACCCAGGGAUAUUAUUGAUGCCACCACCUCCCUUCCCAUUACAUUAGUCAACCAAGUACUAGUGUAGAAGCUAGUGGUGCGACAACUUCCACUUCAUCUGCAAACAUCUGCAAAGACAGCACAAGUCAUUUUACUGACAGACAAAGCAGAAAGUGAAGGUACUAGAGCAAAUUGGUACUGUAUUUGAUUCUGCUCAACUUACUGCAAACAUCAGUACAUCCUCCACUACUAACAUAGAUCAAGUGCAAUGUUUAGCCACCAGGUGAGAGCUAAAGGUGGAGUCCCUCAUCUGAGGGAUGUGUCUACCAGCCAAUCUUUGAACAUAUUGUUGCAUUUCAUUCCAGGGGCAUGUCAAAACAGCAGUCUAACAAAAUCACCCACCUAAUUGCACAGCUGAUCCCUUUAAGGUGAUCUUCCUUUUCCAUGAUAGAAGGGCAGUAUUUGAAACACAUCCUGAGUUCAUAAUAUGUACUUCUCUUGUGAUUUGCUUUAAGCAGAAAGUCCUGAUUUAAUAUUUUUGAAUACAUUUUUAAAUGAUUUUAUAUAAUGAAACAUUAUUUAAAUUUUGUAAUUUUUUUUUAUAUUGCUAUAUUUAGUUAAAUAUAAUAUAUAUUGAUAUUUUAUUCUGUUAAAAAAUAUAUAUUUUCAUAAUUUUUUAAUUUUAUCCAAUAAUAUAAAAUCAUUUGGAAAUCCUAUCUAACAAUAUUAAUUUGAGGUCAUAGUACUAUCACUAUACUGUUCCUGCGUGCUGCUAUUAAAGGAACAGAUGGCUAAGACUGUAGGCCAAUAGGUACACUUGACCACAAAUUUAUGGAGUGCUCCUAGUGGCCAACUGCUUCUGCAUGACAGCACAAUGGUGCCUGUGCCUGGGCAAGGAGGUGGUAUUGGAGGAAGUUAAACCUUAGCAGCAAGUCAUGCUGGGAGUGGAUCUGUAGGACAGUAGGACUAUCGAUCUCUCUUGCUACAUACUGACGAGAUGGACACACUUUUAUGAAUGGACAAUCAUACGAAUGGUGUCAAAUUGGCUAGGAGAACAGACAGGCACCAAUCUGUACUUUGGGUUCAUGGCCACUGACGAUGUUGCUAACUAGGGAUGUGCAUUGGCAAAAAAAUCUGUUUGGUUCGGGAAUUUGGAACUUCGGCAAUUUGGCAUAUCGACACUUCGGCUCUGCACUUCCGAAAUUCGUCACUUCAGCAAUCCUGUAUUAGCAAUUCAGCACUUCGGCACUUCAGCAAUUCGGUUCGGCACUUGCGGAAUUCAUCACUUUGGCAAUUCGGACAUUCAAAAGCAUCCAAAUGUACGUAUUGCCGAAAUUCGUCAGAAUUUACAUUCGGAAUGAAACAAAUUGCACAUGUCUUUUGCUAACGUGGUCAAACUUUUGUAUGUGUGCACUGUUCUUCACACAUCCUACAUUUUGCAAUGAAGCCAACACAAAGGUAUAAAUCAUAUCUAUGCAUUGCAGGAGGAUUGCAUUUCCACUUAGUAUGAGGCCUAGCCAUCUCUUGUGAAAAGAUGGCUUCCCACACAACUUCUACAACAGGAUGCCGAUAAGUGGUGGAACCUAUUGUUCCAAAAUGAUGCUAGCUUCCCUGCGUGAUCAUAGGAUUAAGUGGCUUAAAAAAUCAGUCAGCACCAAAGUAGCUGUUUAGUAGAUAGGGAGUGCGCUGGAUUUUCAUUUUUUACCAUAGGAGUAAGUGGCACACCAAUCCAACAUAUUGACACAGUGGAGAGACAGAAAAAGAGAGACAUCCUAGUCAGGGGUGUAUUCUGGUUUUUUGCUGCCCUAGGCAUGACAAAACUCAGGCACCUCCUCCCCCUGCACCAACCCACCCUUCCCCUUGCCCCACCUUCUAAAUACACACACAUUCACUGACAGACACGCAUACACUAGCUAACAGACAUACACACUCACUAACAGACACAUACAAUCACUAGCAUACACACACAUUCACCAACAGACAUGCAUACACUCUCACUAACAGACACACACAUACAUAGUAGCACACUCCAUAAGAGACACACUCCCUGACAUACACACACUCACUAACAGACACACACACACACACUAACACACACACACACACACACACACUAACAGACAGACACACACACACACUAACAGACACACACACACUAACAGACACACACUCACUCACUAACACACAGACAGACAGACACACUAACAGACACACACACACACACUAACAGACAGACAGACACACACACACACACACACACUAACAGCAUACACUAACAGACACACACUCACUGACACACACACACACACACACACACACACUAACACACACUCACAUUAACACACUAACUUCUUUUUUUAAAUUCAGCCCCCCCCAGCCUCCUUACCUUUGGAAUGCUGGGGGGGGGGGGUUCUCCCUUUCUCUGGGGGUUCAGUGGCUGCUUGGCUGCUGGGUGGGCGGGUGGUGCUGGCGAGGGAGCUGAGCAGAGAGCUCAGGGGAAAGUGCUCCCUCGCCAGUACCACCCGCCCACCGGCUCCUGGCAUCACUCUGCGGCAUGCAAGGGAGCUGAGCAGAGGGCUCAGGGGAAAAUGCUCCCUGCCAGCGCCGCCCGCACGGAUUUUUACUUAGCCGCCCGCCUACCUGGACUGUUAGCCGCAAGGCUAACAAGACAUUUGCCCUGGGCAUUUGGGGGCUGCUUUUUUUGCUGCCCCCUGGAAAAUGCCCCCCGAGGCAAAUGCCUUGUUUGCCUCGCGGCUAAUACGUUCCUUUUCCUAGUUGAGGAAGAUGUGCACACUGAAGCUACUAUUUUGUCAUUGUCUACUACUCCCAGCAGUGGCUAUAGCAUAACUCCAAGUAGCAAAGUGGAGAAGCUGUGAUUUGGAUAGAGUCUGUUGGUAGUUUUGGGGGAGAACGUUAGUCAGCAAUCAGCCACAAGGAGAAUAUUAAUGCCUCUGAAGUGGUCAAAGCUUACCUGUGUGAACCUGUGUGGCCUGCUAUUUGUCUGGUUGGCCAGCAGCUGUUGUCAUGUUAACAUACCACUUUUCAAACUUUCUACUACACAGAACAUUCUGAGUCCCCAACACCCUCAAAUGUUCCCACAACCGAUGGAGCAAAUAGCCUUGUUCAAAUUAAGUCUCCCAUAGUUGGGUUAACCUGCUCUUCACUGUGAUGUGUGAGGCGUCAUAAUCUGCUAGUUGAAAUACAACUGGCUACUUACCUCUCUCUUCAUAGUUUCAAAAUUUAUAAAAAUAUUUAAAAUUCUGGAGGGGGAAAAAAUUACAAAUUAAGUUCUAACUGCUGCAGCUCUUCGUUUUUUUAAAAAAACAAAUGAACUUUGUUGUAGUGGUUUCACCCUGCCUGACUGUAUCUUGCGGUGUCUCCUACCUCUGCAGACAAAGUUGGGAAAAGCUGAUAGGGGACUGAUGCUACAGACUGGAUGUGUGGGAAAGAUUUGUUUUUGCUAGGAUGGAAAGGGUGAGAAGGUGGUCAAUUGCCCACAGACUUUUUCCUUUUAUUUUUGAAUAAACCCAAUUUUUUAAAAAAAUGUAAUGACUCCUGCUCCGAAUUGCUUUCCCAUAUUUGUUUAUGCCAUCCCAAAAUUAUAUAAAAAAAAUUCUGUCUAGUGAGUCAUGAAGCACUCACAAAGUGUUGGAUGGGGACAGGUCAUUUGGGUGUCCUCAGGUUUGGGUGAGCAUCUAUUUGCCCAAAUUCCAUAACUCCAAAAUGCUAUAUGGACAAAUUAUAUAACAAAUUAAAUGGCCAAAGCUAUGUUGUAUGAUUUAUGAUGUGGCAGUUGGCUACUAUUUGCUGUUAUUAAAUGUUAGCAACUGGGUAACUAUUACAAGAAGGAUGUGGCCUGUCGGAUACUGGAAGACCUGACAUAGGACACCUGUGCCUCUAACCAUGGGCAUCGUGUGGGACCUUAAAAUUCAGUUAAGAACAGAGACCUGCCAAUCCCCUGCCCCAUCCCUGGCCCAUGGAUGGGUCUUUCUCAAAAGAAACAUGGGGUGACAUUCUAAAGUCCUCCAUAACCCCAUACAGGUGGGGACAGUGGGUGGACAGUGACCUGCCCACCUCCUAUUAAUUUAAUUUUAAGUCUUCACCCAAUGCUCAAGUAAUUUACAGGCUCCAUCCCCAUGAUGCGACCUUCCAUUAGCUGCUUGUUUGUAAUGGUAAUGAGCAAUUGUGGACAUGUCUUACUACCGAUCAUCUAGGUCCAUACUUCUAUGAUGGGGAUGGGUAUCUCAUGGGUAUAUGAAGGUAACAAGUUACGAUCCAUGCCAGAAACAUGUACGCCACUUUAUUUCCGGCAUAAAUAUUAAAUUUGUGACAACUGAAGCUUCAAAUGCUGUUUGAGAUUUUAUUAUUAUUUUUAAAAUAUUUUUGUCAUGUAUUGCAUUGCCUUUGAAUUUCUUUACAUGCAUUUGUAACCAGCACUAUGUACAAUAUUUGUCACUCCAAAAAUAAAGAAUCUAAAAAAACAUAAUGAUAAUGAGCAACCAGUGGUCAUGUCCCCAUCUGCAACAUGAUGGGUGUGGGAGUAGGGAACAUAUCAUACAUCCCUUAUACUAAUAUGGGGUCAUAUUGACUCCCAUAUGCUUUGUUGUUUUUAUUUUCUACAUUUUUUUGUGGGCAGCAGGCUAGCAAGUGCUGAUUAACCCUCAGGCUGCUGAAGGAUUCUAGAGGUCUAAAUAGUUUUAUUUGAAAUAAUUGCACAAUUGAAAUUUGGGUGAACACCAAUGCCACAUAGAUGAAAUUCGGUUUGUCUGAACCAAAAUAAUUCUUGGCGCAAAUCAAACAUUUCUGAUGUGCAUUAGUCUAGUGUAAGCACAUAUGAAUAAGUACUCGGAAAAUCAUGCACAGUUUCACUGCUCUUAGCUUGGGAUGUAUGAGCUCUGUUAAAUCAUUCACUCAUCUUUCCUACUUGUCCCUAUCAUGGUGUGAAGUUCCUUGAAAAUGUAGCAUGAGUUAUGCCCAGAUCUAUAAGUGAGUCUCCUAAGGACACUUACACUUACAGCAGUGUAUGCAAUCCGAAAUCUUAACAAUAGAAUAUAAAAUACAUUUGGUUUGAAUCACAUGAAUUGUCCUUACACCUAAUGUGAAACAUAUGGCUCUUAUGUGUUGAUAUUUAGUUUGAAUACAUGAAUUCAGAUUAAUUUAUACAUGUGUACUUGUGCAUAUUACUUUAGCAAUGGAGAAAACACACACGCGCUAUUGUGUAAGCUAUAAACAUUUUUAGUAUUUUACCAAAUGCAAUAAAUAGAAAGAUUUUUUUGGCACAUCUUGCAGAAAAUUGCAGAAAAAUGCAAUAUCCUGAAAAACAACUUUGUUUUUUUAAGUUUAUAUCAAAACUUGGUUCAUUUCCAGAGAGGAAUCUUGAAGGAAUCUUAACUCCCUCAGGCUUUUAUUCUCUGUUCCUCUCUUGUAUCUUGUGAUGUGCUGCAGUUCAUGCCCAAUGAUGUAUGCAGACAAUUUGAAUGAAUUUACUGAUGCAAAGCUCUGGGUUUAACUCGUUGGGUGCUUGAAAGGUGAACAAAUUAAACUGUAUUAAUGCAUUGUGUGUAUUACCAUUGAGAACCAGAUGGACCCUCUUUGUGUACUACAGUAAAUUUCCAUUUGAUAUCACCAAGACAUUGUGUAUUAAACAGUUGGAAGGAACAAUGUCCAGUUGCUAUACUUUGCAAACCAAAGCAAUCCCUCAAGAUGAUGAACCUGACUGGGUAUCACUAUAAAAUCUUACUAUUAAAUAUGCUGACAGGCUCAUUUCUCCCAUGCAGACCAAACUAGUUUAAAGGACCACUAUAGUGCCAGGAAAACAUACUCGUUUUCCUGGCACUAUAGUGCCCUGAGGGCGCCCCCACCCUCAGGGUUCCCCUCCCGCCCGGCUCUGGAAGGGGGAAAGGGGUAAAAACUUACUUUUUUCCAGUGCUGGGUGGGGAGCUCUCCUCCUCCGAUCCUCCUCCUCUCCUCCCUGUCGGCUGAAUGCGCACGCGCGGCAAGAGCUGCGCGCGCAUUCAGCCGGUCGCAUAGGAAAGCAUUAUCAAUGCUUUCCUAUGGACGCUUGCGUGCUCUCACUGUGAUUUUCACAGUGAGAAUCACGCAAGCGCCUCUAGCGGCUGUCAAUGAGACAGCCGCUAGAGGCUUUGGGGGAAGGCUUAACCCAUUCAUAAACAUAGCGGUUUCUCUGAAACUGCUAUGUUUAUAAAAAAAAAAUGGGUUAACCCUAGCUGGAUCUGGCACCCAGACCACUUCAUUAAGCUGAAGUGGUCUGGGUGCCUAGAGUGGUCCUUUAAGAUAAGAGGUCCUUUGUCCUUGCUGUAGUGAUUGUGAUGUCAGGAGAGCCCUGUUGUAAGGAUUUAAACCAUAUUUGAGUGGUUUGACUUCUUACCUUGGGAUCCAGGGUCCUGCUCCCCAUCUCUAUUACAAUCUCCUGAGAGCCAGAAGUUCCUCAACUCUCCUGAACUUACUUACUGGUUGAGCAAAGUGGGUGUGCAGGUAAAGUUACAGUUAGUUAAUAUUUAGAUGUGUAUUUGUUUUUUGAAUUAGUGUUUUUUUAAACACUCAUUUGUUUUUAUUCUAAUAGUAUCUUCCUUGCUCCAACAUUUGAUCCUACACACCCUUCUUUCCCAACUUGUGGUGAUUCCCUUUUUACUCCAAAACUACUGCUGUCUAUUAUAUCACAUUUUAGGCCAACUAUUAGAUGCAGUUCAACAUUCAAGCUUUCUUUUUAGUUUUACAAUGGGAGCCAACUAGCCAACCAGCAGACCUGUAGAUUUCUUGAGGACAGCUCUAGCCUACCAAGUUAAAGAUAAACCUUCAAUAAAAAAAGUGCACCUCUAAAUAGUGGGCUAGGACCGGGUAAAGAGGUUUAAGGCAUUAUUGGUGGCAUUCGGAUUGCAAGGGAAUAAAGAUUUUAAUAUACUCACUUGCAAUAUGUAUAUUAUUUUGUUAAAGGCUGCCAGGAUACAUGGUAUCAUAUCCCAGUGGCUGAGAUUCUGACAUAUGCAACUGGGGCGAGCAGGGGAGCGGUGUCCACACAGAUUGCUGUUUGCUUCCAGCUGUCUGCGUAACCAGACCACAUAAGAGUUCCAGGUGCCUGCUAUAUUACAAGGUAAUAAAGAGCUCAAAUGUGAGUCUACUGUAAUGUGACUGUGUGUGUAACAGUAAGAAUGUGUGUGCAACAAUUAACUGUCAAGAUUAUUCACUAAAGAAAAUGGCAAUUCUCAUAUUUACUAAAUGUCAGUAAUAAUACUAAUGCCAAAUACGGUUAGAAUUCAGUCAGCCUGAGUGAAUCUGCAGCAAUUGCCUGGAUGCAUUUUAUUAAAACUCAGAACUAAAUGCAUCCAGCAAGAUGCAAAUUUGCAAAUGAUUGUUCACAUGUAAGUGCUGCUCACAUGCUGGCAGUGGGAAAAUAGUUAAAAGUUAAAACCCUAUAUCUCAACUCGCUUGAUAAGGUCUACUGGACUAAUGUCUCUCAUGGUCUGAAUCAGCUUUACAGCUUCCACAGAUGGUAUUGGCUUUGCUGCUCACCAUAAUAGGUGUUUAGUCUCACCCCUUCCUCUCCCCUCCGGCUGCCCUCUUGGUUAGGAGUUUUAAAAUAAGCAAGCCUGUUUCUUAUUAACCUAAUAUUGUUCCUAACACUGCUUUUAUUAGUAAUUGUCUUUACUGUCCAUUCUCUAUUUUAUUGACAUGCAGACCAUUAACCUUACUUGGUGAUGUGGUGGAAUCUCGGUAAAAAUAAAUUUAGUAGGCCGAGAUUACCACGUGGCAUGUGUACGUGCAUAUGCUGACGUAUCGAUCAGUUGGUUGCACGAGGCAAGAUACGAUCAGUAGUGUACGGAGCAUGUGCAAGAAUACAGGAUGUAGUAUUCCCCUCCUCCAUUGUGCUGGACAAGCCAUGCGGUCAAGCAGGAAGUUAAUUCUUAUUUGUAAUGAUUGGUCAAGAGAAUGUGCGGGUGGAGCUUAAUAUGGGAGGAGUUAUGUGCCUAUAUAGGGAGCCUGCACUAUUGUUCAGGGCUCAGAACUUGCUGUAUUUUUGGUGACAUUAGUCCCUCUGAGUCCCGAUCGGUGAUCCAAUAAAGAAUCUCUUCCUUCCUGAAGAAACCUGUGUCCAUCCCUCUGUGCUUUGCUUCCGUCAGUUUCUCCGGUAUCAUUUGGUGCAUUGGCCGGGAAGCUCAUCGUUCAACGGUAGCUGAGAGGCAGAGGCGUGAGACGGUCUAUCUUUGCCCACGUUCUCUACGGCUGCACCCCUGAACUUCUGCGUGGACCUCCCUUCGUCUCGGCGCCACUGGUCUGUUGUCCAGGAGAUCAUCGGCCUCUACGUAAGAAGUGCUGGGGUGUCCCCGUCGAUGAGUGUGAACUCAGGUUCAGGAACGAGGAGGUAAGACAACUGCUGUUUUAGACGGCAGACCCACUAGGGGUAUACCGAUUGUGCGGUAGGCCCAAAAGGGGUUUAAAUCUGUGUAUGGAAUCUGCCCCCUCUGUCGGAGGGAAGGAGCGAAGGCGCACCGCUCGAUCGAACGCUCUUUAGUAAGACCGUUUGAUCUGGUUAGUCAGGCGGGGUCCUGUGUAAAUAGCCCUAGCCGGACACCGGUGUCUUGUCUAGACUAGCGUUCUAGGGUGUAUAUUACGUUCGCUAGGUCGGAGGGACCGGGAGACUAAGCGGCGCCUGUGUAAAUUCGGUUCGCUAGCUCUCAACCUAUCUUGGCUAAGUGGGAAGGCGUGUAAAUUUGGAACCCACUAGACUUUUGAUAGAGUAAAUAGACUAGAAGGGCAAUUUUGUAAAUUUCGCCCUCUAGUUCGCUAUAUGUGGUGUUUGGGCAGUGUGGCUAACCAAAACGGGUGUAUAUAGUUUUAGGUAGUCCAUUCAAGGUACUGGCCAAUAGUUUAGUUGGGAUUGUAAAUGUGUUAAAGAUUGUUAGUAAAGUGUAUAUCUUGUUAGAUAGCGCGAGCUCAGCCGUCUAGCGAGAGUGUUAAUAGUGUGUUGCUGUAUCUCAGUGCACGGUACCAUAACCCUGUAUAUUUACUGACAUUGUAUAUAAGUACUAAUCAUUGUCGUCUAUUGCAUGUUUAACACCGUAACCACUAAUAAUUGUAUUGUGACCUUAAAUUGUGCUUUGACCUAUGCUAACCGUACUGUAACCGAUACUAGUAAAAGACGAUGUUACUGGGGUGUGUUAUAGACGGGUAAUUCAUAUAUAGAGAAUUAUAGCGUGGGUGACUGUAUAGUUUCGCCAAAGGGCAUAAUAUUGAUUAUUUAGUGACUGGUGUAACAGCUGUGUGUGUACGGGAAUUCCCUGAGUGAUUAUUGUGUUAUUGUGUACGUUUCACUCGGUAACUGUACCACGUGGUGCUGUUGCCAGAGGAAACGGGUGUGACUGUUGAAUAAGAACGCGUGCAUAGUAUUCGUUGUCAACGACGUUCCAUUGAUAAGUAUGGGCGCGUCAGAGUCAACGAUUUCGGAUCCCUUAGGUUGUAUGGUAAAGAAUUUUAAAAAGGGAUUCAAAACAUGUGAUUUUGGGGUUAAAAUGUCUCCUGUACGUUUGGUCACUUUGUGCACUAGGGAGUGGCCUAUUUUGGUUGCGGCAUGGCCGCCGCGUGGCAGUUUGGAUCCAACCCUGGUACAGCGUGUACAUGUGGCUGUGUCAGGUAGGCCUGAACUUUACGGACAGUUUCCAUACAUUGAUUGUUGGGGGCAGGCCGUAAACGACUCGCCAAAAUGGAUCCGGAUAUGCCACGAGGAGCAAUGUCGCCUCAUGGUGGCCAGGACUUGUUUGUCCACUAGGACUGGUGUUAGGCCCAUUUUGGACACGCCCCCUGAGUCCGAGAUCCCUUUGCCGCCUCCUUACUUUCCUUUAAGAGGAAGUGACGCGAAUGCAGGAAGCUCUGCACCCCUUCCCCUAUUGCCCCCAUCCACUUCCGCUUCCUCCUCCAGUACAGAAUCCACCCCCCCUCGUAUUAAAACUCCCCUUCCGGAACCAGGACCAACCCCCAUUAGAUUUGAAUAUCCUGAUUUGGCGCCACUUCAAACUUCCGGUCAAGCUUCUUCUAGCUCGGCUCGGAGUAUACUAUUCACUAACUUUUCCCAAAAUCAAGUUCCCACAUCCUCAUGCCCUAUUACCUCUCGACCGGAACCUUUAACUGACGCCCCUCCACGUAGCCCCAUACUAACCCGACAACUGACCGGUACCCAACAAUUAAAACAUUAUCAGAUGCCUCUUCGUCUGAAUCCUGGGUCAGCCUAUAUCGAUGCCGCAGGUCAAAUGGCACAUGCUGACCCAGUCUUCGUAUAUGUCCCGUUCACGACUACCGAUCUCUUGAAUUGGAAGACCCACAAUUCCUCGUACACUGAGAAACCACAAGCUAUGACCGAUCUGUUCACCUCGAUAGUUCAGACACAUAACCCGACAUGGGCUGAUUGCCAGCAGUUAUUAAUGACAUUGUUCAAUAAUGAGGAAAGGACAAGGAUUAACCAAGCGGCCAUUAAGGCGCUAGAGGAGAGAGCCCGUGCUUUAAAUCAAGCCAAUCCGGCAGCAUGGGCCGCAACACAUUACCCUAACACCGAUCCUGACUGGAAUGUAAAUGGCGCAGAUAUGGCUCAACUUAAAGCCUAUAGAGAUGCUAUAAUUGCUGGCAUGAAAGCCGGAGGGAAGAAAGCUAUUAACAUGUCGAAGACAGUUGAGGUGAUUCAGAAAAGUGAUGAAGCGCCCAGUGUCUUUUAUGACCGAUUAUUGGAGGCAUACCGCUUGUAUACCCCCUUUAAUCCGGAAGACGCUGAUAAUUCCCGAAUGGUAAACUCCGCCUUUGUCAGCCAAGCUUACGGAGAUAUUAAGCGCAAGCUACAGAAAUUAGAAGGGUUUGCAGGUAUGUCUAUCACCCAACUAAUGGAGGUAGCGAACAAAGUAUAUAUGAAUAGGGAAACAGAAAGUAAGAAAGAGGAAGAGCGCAAGAUGCGUAGAAAGGCAGAUAUGCUAGCGGUAGCGAUCGCAGGCGUAGAUAGACGGGCCCAGAUAGAGGCGAUGGUAGAUGGAAUAGGGAGCCUUUGAGUAGGAAUCAGUGCGCGUACUGUAAGGAAGAAGGGCAUUGGAGGAACGAGUGUCCGCAAAGAGAGCAGUAUGAGAGAGACUUACCCAGGGCAGGUUACGGAAACUUUAGAGGCAGAGCGAGAGGUAGAGGAGGCCCCGGAGGGAGUAAUGGUAAUAGAGGGAGUAAUGGGAACAGAGGAAGUGUAAGGGAAGAUAGGUACUAUCCAGCAGCGCAAAGGUCCCGCGAUAGAGAAGGUAGGGACUUUGUGGGAUUGGCUGACACGGUCAUGGAGGACUAUUGAUACCGACCGGGCUCCAUCCCCUUGGUCGAGCGGAGCCUAUGGUCGAUGUAUCAAUAGGGGGAAAAAGGAGUGCGUUCAUGAUCGACACUGGUGCUGAACAUUCGGUGGUGACUAAUCAAGUUGCUCCUCCAUCUGGAAGAACUAUUACUGUAAUAGGAGCAACUGGAAGAAGUGCUGAAAAACCGGUUCUUAAAAGUCGACUCUGUACAUUGGGAGGCCACGUAGUAAAACAUCAAUUCCUUUAUAUGCCUGAGUGUCCAGUCCAAUUGCUGGGACGUGAUAUGCUAUCCAAAUUACAAGCGCAGAUUACGUUCCUACCAAAUGGAACAACAUCCUUAAAGUUUAAUGGACCCUCAGGUAUUAUGACAUUGUCCGUACCAAAGGAAGAAGAGUGGCGACUUUAUACAGUGUUGACUAGCCAAAACCCGAGGAGUGAUGAAUCCUUAUUUAACAUACCAGGAGUUUGGGCAGAGAACAACCCACCAGGACUGGCCCGCAAUAUUCCACCUAUUAAAAUCGAACUAAAACUUGGGGUUUAUCCAGUAAGCCUGAGACAAUAUCAUAUUCCGCAGAAGGCUAAGAAGAACAUCCAAUCUUAUCUGGAUAAGUUCAUACGGUAUGGUAUCCUAAAAUUCUGUACUUCCCCUGGAACACCCCAUUGCUGCCUGUUCAAAAGCCCGGUACAGAUGAGUAUCGACCUGUGCAGGACUUGAGAGCAGUCAAUGAUGCGGUUGUUAGUAUACAUCCAGUCGUGCCCAAUCCAUAUAACCUGCUUGCUUUAAUUCCGGGCGGGGCUACUUACUUUACAGUCUUAGAUCUCAAAGAUGCCUUCUUUUGCCUCCGAAUUGCCGCAGAAAGCCAAUGUAUCUUCGCUUUCCAAUGGGAAAAUGCUGUAACGGGCUCGAAACGCCAAAUGACCUGGACAAGAUUGCCCCAGGGGUUUAAAAAUUCACCUACCCUAUUUGGUUCAGCUCUAAGUCAAGAUCUACUAGAUUUCGAGUCUAUCCCAGGAGAGUGUGUAUUAUUACAAUAUGUAGAUGACUUGUUGAUAGCAGCAGUUACAAAGGAAGUAUGUCAGCAAGCAACGCACGAUCUACUACACAUUCUCUGGAAGGCAGGAUACAAGGUGUCAAGAAGGAAGGCUCAGUUGUGUUUGCCAACUGUCAAAUAUCUGGGAUUCCAUAUCUCUGAAGGUCAAAGAAUUAUGGGGCCAGAGAGAAAAGAAGCUGUGUGCCAAAUACCGAUACCCAGGAAUAGAAGACAAGUGCGAGAAUUCUUGGGGGCAGCAGGCUUCUGUAGGAUAUGGAUUCCCAGCUACGCGAUACUGGCAAAACCUCUGUAUGCAGCUAUCAAAGGUACAGAGCACGACCCCUUCUUAUGGACUCAAGAACAGCAAACGGCAUUCGAAGAUGUGAAGAGGGCUUUGAUGAGUGCCCCAGCAUUAGGUCUACCUGACCACACACGGCCAUUCUACCUGUAUGUACAUGAGCAAAGAAGAAUGGCUGUGGGAGUAUUGACACAGUACUUGGGAUCAUGGCAAAGACCUGUUGCCUACAUGUCUAAGCAACUGGAUGCAGUGGCCAGCGGACUUCCACCUUGUCUAAGAGCUGUAGCUGCAGCCGCCCUGCUAGUAGCUGAAGCCGAUAAACUCACUCUGGGUCAAGAACUUUAUGUACGAGUUCCACAUGCAGUACAGACGUUGUUGGAUUACAAAGGAAAUCAUUGGUUUAGUAACAGCCGUAUGACCAAGUAUCAAGCAAUGUUGUGUGAAAACCCAAGAGUGCAUUUAGAGACUGUAAAUACCUUAAAUCCAGCUACCCUUUUGCCACAACCUACUGAAAGUCAACAUGAUUGUUUGGAAGUAAUGGAUGAAGUAUUUUCAAGUAGACCAGAUCUUCGUGAUUUUCCCAUCCAGAACCCUGAUGUUCAAUAUUACACCGACGGCAGUAGUUAUGUAAAAGAAGGGAUCCGCUAUGCAGGAUAUGCAGUAACAACGAUAGACAAGGUGAUAGAAGCUCGGCCACUGGCAAAAGGAACAUCAGCACAAAAGGCAGAAUUGAUAGCACUGACACGAGCGUUACAAUUGGCUGAAGGUUUAAGAGUGAACAUCUACACGGACUCCAAGUAUGCGUUUUUAACCACUCAUGCCCACGGAGCUUUGUAUAAAGAAAGAGGACUAUUGAAUUCAGAAGGCAAAGAAAUCAAAUACGCAGCUGAGAUCCUACAACUAUUGGAAGCAGUGUGGGAGCCGAAAGAAGUCGGUAUUAUACAUUGUCGGGCGCAUCUGAGAGGAGAUGGUGAUGUAACCAAAGGGAAUCGGAUGGCAGAUAGUGCAGCUAAGCGUGCUGCUGAAUCAGGAAGACAGGAAUAUGUGGGGCAUAUAGCUGCUCUUAUACCAACUCCACUGUCUCAAUGGACUCCAAUUUAUACAGCUCAAGAAGAGGAGUGGUUAAGGACUGAACCUGGAAAGUAUUUGGAGAACAAAUGGUAUCAGUUAGAAGAUGGAAGAAUAGUUAUUCCAGCAUCACUAGCGGUAGAAAUUGUCCAAAACUAUCAUAACGGGACACAUUCUGGGAGAGACAGUACAGAAGAAUCUCUCAGAAAACAUUUUUACAUACCAAGAUUGUCCAACUUGACUCAGGCCAUUGUACGUAGAUGUGUAACGUGUGCUAAAAAUAAUGCAAGACAAGGACCAGUAAAGCCACCAGGAGUCCAGUUUAUGGGGGGACUUCCCAUGUCCGAUUUACAAAUUGACUAUACAGUGAUGCCUAAAUCGGGUGGACAUCGCUACCUGCUGGUAGUGGUGUGCACCUAUUCAGGCUGGGUAGAAGCAUGUCCUACUCGUACAGAGAAAGCAGGAGAAGUCGUGAGAUUCCUGCUACGAGAAAUAAUACCCCGAUAUGGACUACCCUGCUCUAUAGGAUCGGACAAUGGUCCAGCUUUUGUUCAUCAGUGCCUACAACAAUUGACUCAUAUGCUUGGUAUAAAGUGGAGGCUUCAUACGGCAUAUAGACCCCAGAGUUCUGGUAAGGUAGAGAGAAUGAAUAGAACUAUUAAGAAUCAGUUGGCUAAAAUGUGUCAGGAAACCCAACUUAAGUGGAACGUUCUCUUGCCCAUAGCUCUAUUGCGAAUCCGUAGUACACCUACCAGAAGGAUGGGCCUCUCUCCUUUUGAAAUCAUGUACGGGCGACCACCUCCCGUGCUUGGUAACUUAAGGGGGGAUUUGAGUCAGUUGGGAGAAGGAAUUACCCGGCAGCAGGUUGUAGAGUUGGGUAAGACUAUGGAGGAGGUACAGAAAUGGGUACAAGAUAGAUUACCUGUGAAUAUUUAUCCCCCAAUUCAUAGUUACCACCCAGGCGACCAAGUGUGGAUUAAAGAGUGGAAUAAUGUGCCGUUAGGGCCCAAGUGGAGAGGUCCUUAUGUUGUUCUUCUGUCUACCCCUACAGCGAUAAAAGUAGCCGAAGUGGCUCCGUGGAUACAUCACUCCAGGGUUAAACCAGCAGCAGCCGAUUCCUGGCAAGUUACAGCAAAUCCAGAGAAUCCCUGCAAGAUCCGGUUAAAACGCACGACUCAGUCGGAGUGACGAGGAACCUUGUAGAUUACAAAUUUUAUUGUUUCAGAGACUUGGUAAGUGAGUGAGAAGGCCAUAAUAAAGCCUGUCCACUCACCAACGAGUGUAUAAGUCAGGGAAAGUCUUGAGGGGACCCCUGUGAAGACGAGCAGAACUCCAUUCCCUGCAGUCCUUACAUCCUGGAAGCUGAGGUGCCUUCGCACGGACGAAGACUGAGGAUGACGACGAAAGAUGUAUUUUUAAUAAUGUUUAUUUAUGUGUAUUUUUAUAUUCAGGAAGGUAGAGGUACCAACACUCCUAGCUGUGAGGUAUGCAUUAAGACUACAAGAACAGGUAACCAUAUAUCCCAGACCCUAAUUUGGCAUUCGCAAUAUGAGUGUAAAGGAGAUGUAUCAAGAUGUAGAUACUUAAAUAUAGAAUAUAGUGUGUGUCAUUUAGGAGUAGGAGAACCUAAGUGCUUCAGUCCUGAGUAUCAACCCCGUACAAUUUGGUUGACUCUCAGAAAUGGAGAUUCUCAGGGGACCCUAAUUAAUAAGACGGUAUUAAAAUCCGUAUAUUCUUCAGGUGCUCUGCUAUUUGAUGCGUGUAAAGCAAUAUCAAGUGGUAGAAAGCCGUGGAAUGUAUGUGGGGAUCUUAGAUGGGAGAGGACGUAUGGGUCUAACGAUAAAUAUAUUUGUCCCAGUAGUAAAAAUAAAUAUGUAAGUCCAAGAUGCCCAAAUAGAGAUUAUAACUUCUGCCCAUAUUGGUCUUGUGUGGGGUGGGCGACUUGGGGACAGACAGCAGACAAGGACAUGAUUGUGACUAAGUUGCCUACUAAUCCAUAUUGUAAGUCUAUGGAAUGCAAUCCAAUCCAUAUACUUAUAAAUAACCCUGACAAGUUCUUAGAUAAAUAUGGUAAUUUAUUUGGGUUUCAAAUAUAUGGGACGGGUUUAGACCCUGGGACAAUAUUGUUUAUAGGGAUAGAGUCUGAUACGGUAACCUCCCAAACUCAUCAAGUAUACCAUUCCUUUUAUGAAGAGAUGAGCAUAGAUAAUAAGAUCCCCAUAAUGCUAAAAACUUGUUCAUUGAUUUAGCCGAGAGUAUUGCCGGUAGUCUUAAUGUUACCAACUGCUAUGUGUGUGGAGGUACUAACAUGGGAGACCAAUGGCCUUGGGAAGCAAAGGAGGUAAUGUCCGGUUCUGAGGCAGUUGACCAAUUAAUAUCUACACAAGCCGACUAUCAUAUGAGUGUUAGAGGUAAAUCUGAGUGGAGAUUGAAGACCUCCAUCAUAGGUUAUGUUUGCAUAGCGAGGAAAGGAAUGAUGUAUAAUACUUCUGUAGGAGAAUUAACUUGUCUAGGGCAAAAAGCUUAUGAUGAUGAUACAAAGAAUACAACUUGGUGGUCGGCUUCAAAUGUCUCAGAACCAUCUAACCCGUUUGCAAGAUAUGCCAAUUUAAAGGACGUAUGGUUUGAUCUAUCCAUCACAUCUAACUGGAGAGCCCCAGCGAAUUUGUACUGGAUCUGUGGUAAGAAGGCCUAUUCGGAGUUACCACAGGACUGGGAAGGGGCAUGUGUGUUGGGUAUGUUAAAACCAUCCUUCUUCUUGUUGCCUAUUGAAACAGGUGAGACUUUAGGUGUUAAAGUGUAUGAUGUGAAUCAUAGGAAGAAAAGGGGACCCAUAGAGAUAGGUGCCUGGGAAGAUAAUGAAUGGCCUCCCCAGCGUAUUAUAGAUUAUUAUGGGCCAGCCACGUGGGCAGAGGAUGGUACCUUUGGUUAUAGAACCCCUAUUUAUAUGCUCAACCGCAUUAUAAGGUUACAGGCGGUGGUUGAGAUCAUUACUAACGAGACAUCACAAGCGCUCAAUCUUCUAGCGAAGCAUAAUACCAGGAUGAGGACAGCAGUUUACCAAAAUAGAUUAGCCUUGGAUUAUCUUUUGGCAGUAGAGGGAGGUGUAUGUGGGAAGUUUAACCUGAGCAAUUGCUGUCUUCAAAUAGAUGACGAAGGGCAAGCAAUAGCUGAGCUUACUAGCCAUAUGGUUAAACUAGCGCAUGUGCCUACUCAGGUAUGGAAAGGGUACAAUCCAAGUAGUUGGUUUGGUAGCUGGUAUGAGUGGUUUGGAGGGCUUAAGGCAGUGGUAGGUGGAGUCCUACUGAUUUUAAUGUUGUGUCUACUCCUGCCGUGUCUUAUACCCUUAGUAGUUAGGUCUGUGCAAAGCCUGAUAGAAAAUAUAGCAGAGAGGAAGGCUGCUGCACAGAUAAUGGCAAUUUAUAAAUAUAAGGCUCUAGAUCAGGGAGAACCAAUGCAGGAAGACGAGUGUUGAAGAUUCACAUCGUAGGAUAAGUCUGGUCUGGUUCAAAGGUAACUUGUGGUGUAUGCAAACCAAGGUUAAGUGAUGCCUCAAGUAAUUGUAAAAUAUCAAGAGGCAUCAAAGGGGGGAAUGUGGUGGAAUCUCGGUAAAAAUAAAUUUAGUAGGCCGAGAUUACCACGUGGCAUGUGUACGUGCAUAUGCUGACGUAUCGAUCAGUUGGUUGCACGAGGCAAGAUACGAUCAGUAGUGUACGGAGCAUGUGCAAGAAUACAGGAUGUAGUAUUCCCCUCCUCCAUUGUGCUGGACAAGCCAUGCGGUCAAGCAGGAAGUUAAUUCUUAUUUGUAAUGAUUGGUCAAGAGAAUGUGCGGGUGGAGCUUAAUAUGGGAGGAGUUAUGUGCCUAUAUAGGGAGCCUGCACUAUUGUUCAGGGCUCAGAACUUGCUGUAUUUUUGGUGACAUUAGUCCCUCUGAGUCCCGAUCGGUGAUCCAAUAAAGAAUCUCUUCCUUCCUGAAGAAACCUGUGUCCAUCCCUCUGUGCUUUGCUUCCGUCAGUUUCUCCGGUAUCAGUGAGAAAAUAAAUAAUGCUUGGUAUUGUUUCAUACCCAUGAUAUCUUUGUUGCAUGAUGUAAAAUACUUCCACCAAGUAUUGAUAUAAAAUGUUUUUAAAAAAUAUACGAGGGUUAUAUAUGUGGUGGAUGGCCAGCACCUGCUAGCCAACUUGGACAUUAAAAGAGUAGAUAAACAUAUAAAUAGAAAGCCUUAGAAAGCCUUCCCUUCUCCAUUAGAAUGUCACCCAGUCUCCACUCCUUCAAAAAAUCAUUAAAAAAUCACUUCUUCAUAAAAGCGUAUCAAUUAAACUGUUUAUAGCUCCCAACUGAUUCCUCUCCUGCAACUGUCAUUACUUCUCUAAUACUAUUCUUACCUUUUGUCACUUUCACCAGGGCUGCUAUUAGAAAUUUAGGGGCCCCUAACACAGCUCAAGGUCUGGGCCCCCUGGUGCCCGCCUCCAAGCCCAGCCUCCAAAUCCCGCCGACAUGAAUACACACACGCAGACACAAAAGAACACAGACACACACACACAAAAGAUACACAAAUACAGACACAGACACAUACAGGCAUACUGACACACACAGAUAUACAGACACAUACAGACACCCACGCAUAAGGAGAUACAAAUACACACACAUACACACUGACGUACAUACUUGCAUACUGACACACACACACACACACACACACACACAAACACACACAUACAUACAUACAAACAGACAUACAUACAAACUGACAUGCAUACAUACAUACUGAUAUACAUACAGACAUACACACACACACACACACACACACAUACAGAUAAAUACAUACAGACAUACAUACACACAUACAUACUGAUAGAUAUAUGCAUACAUACAGGCAUACACACACACAGACAGACAGACAGACAGACAUACAUACACAUUCAUACAUAGAUAGAUACAUACAUACAUACACACAUACUGACAUACACAGACAUACACACUGACAUAUAUAUACAUACACACAUAGAUAGAUAGAUACACACAUACAUACUGACAAACAGACAUACAUACACAUACAUACAUAGAUAGAUACACACAUACUGACAUACAUGCAGACAUACAUACUGACAUAUAUACAUACACACAUACAUACAUAGAUAUAUACACAUACAUACUGACAGACAUACAUACACAGACAUACAUACAUGCAGACACAUACAUACAUUCUGAUAUACAUACACACACACAUAUAGACAGACAUACACCUCAUUUUUCAGCCACCCUCCUAUUCCUUGAAAAUAAGUUAUAGGUUGCGCCACUAAAAACAAUAAGAAGUUAUAUUAAAACACCUAUAUCCUACCAGUGGGGGAUUGACGCCACUGAACGCCAAUCAUACCAGAGCUAGUUAUCGCUCUCCAAUAGGUGAGUGUAAUACCUUCUUGAUUUGGAGUUUUUCUUCCACUGUAAUUUUCAGUUGCAGUCUGCACUAUUGGAAUUUUUUUCCUCUUAUUCUUACAUACCUUCAUCUGGACCAAGAGAACUUGACCACUUCUACUAUCUGCAGAGAUCUACUCUACACUCCUAUUCCUGCAAGUGGACUUGGCCUUUUAUAUGCCCAUUUUGUUCAGGACUAUUAUAUAUUUGACUCUAUUGUGAUAUAUGUAAGUACACAAGUGCAUCUUAACUACUCCAGAGUGAAUUGCGGUGUUAUUAUUUUCAUUUAUUUCAGCUGUCUAUUUUGGUUUUAAUAUACCUUCUUAUUGUUUUUAGUGGCGCGACCUAUAACUUUUAUUUUCUAGAUUUAUUCUUUUGACGACUUGUGAGAGAACGUCAUAUUCUUAAGUUGCAGCCUUCACUGUCUUUUAGCUUCCUCUUGAUCACUAAGCGCUGAACCCACCACCGUUUGUUCAUUCUUUCUUUUCCCUCAGGCGCCAGCAGCUGAGUGAUUAAUAGAAGCAAUGUCUAUUUUUGAUUUUAGAAGUAACUAUACCAUUGAUAUUAACCAUGUUUUUAAAACAAAAAAUAGUGAUCUUAUUUAUGAAGAACGUCCAAAUUUAAAUCAACAAGAAUUGUUCAGAAAAUUAGAAUAAGCACUAUCUUCAGAGAUAAAAUUAAAAUGGGAGAUAACUACCCUCAAAAAAUAUAUAGAUGAACAAAUCACUCCUAGGGGUUUAAGACUGCUCAAACUACCUACCUCAGAUAAGGAUGAUGAAGAAUUCAUGAACGAAUGGUUCAAUAAAUUAGAAUUAUGCACUUUAGGACUCAUGGGAACCCUAAUUGUAAAAGAGUAAAAAGCUCUCGCUCUUAGAUGUUUAAAUAAAUGAACUUGGAGACAAACUCCUACCUUUUACUGAAACUCAGGCCUAUAAACAAAAUUCAGUUCUCAGUCAAAGCAAAAUAUAAAAAGUGGAAACAGAUACUAAAUAUAUCAAGAUUAAAAAGUACAUAAGAGAUAAACAGGAUUACAAUAACAACCAAGUCAGAACAUACCACGCACAGAAAAAAUACACAUCUGAAAAUUCUAUACAUAGACAAAAACAUUCAGAUUAUGAACACACUCACAGCACACACUUCACUAACUCUCACCAUCACAAUAUAUCCAGUCAUUAGUACCAUUCUUCACCCCCUCCAGAUGGCCACCGACAAACUAAUUACUGUCCACAACACAGAUACCAAAAAUCAUCACCACACUACAACUAUAGAAGACAUAACUUAUCACCUAGAAGAUAUAAAUCACGUCACAACUAUAGAAGAUCUUUAGACUCAACAAGAAAACAUCACAUACCAUCACUGGAUUAUCAAAACUUUCCCCAUUACAAUGUCACCUCAAAACCAAAUUACAAUUUACCUGCACAUAAGACGCGAACAUCAAGAAAUAUCACUCCCAAACCACAAAGACACUGUUUUGGAAAAAAGCAUCCAGACCCUCCCAACUCUCAAACCAAUUACACUCAUGGGAAUCGUUACCAAUUACUAUCUAUCGAUUCAGAAAUUGAAAAUGAGGAUAAUUUUUUAGACAUCCACACACAGAACUUCUCUCAUACACAAACACCAUACCUACCCAGAACAAGAAAAAGAAGUUUGAGUAUAGAGGAAGGAGAGGUGGCAGAAGACUACAAAAGAGAAAGAUUAGAGAGACAAUAAUUAGCAAGGACGAAAAGGAACUGGGUAUUUUUAAUCUGUCGCAAAAAGAUUUAACCUCUGCCCAAGUCUCGGUUUUAUGUAAGGGUCUUAAAUUUGCUCCUACCAAUUCUUUUAAACCUUUUCAAGCGUUUUUAGAUAUCAAUAAAUUUGUUAGGAAGGCCACUAUUAAAAAAUGUUAUACCCAUAAUAAAGCAACUCCUACAGAUUCUGAGUCAGAACACCAACAUCCCAAUUGAGAGAAUGCUCCUAAUACCUUUAUUACACACACGCACUUAAAGACUUCUUCCAAAUUUUAUCCCUCUAAUUUUAAGUCAGACCCUAUUGAGGUCUUUGAAAAACUUGUCCUCAAAGAUUUUGAAAAUAUUAAAUACUGCAAAUAUGACCACCAAAAUCUGUCACAGAAAGAGUGGAAAGCUAUAAAAGAAUUACAAAAAGACGAAGAUAUUGUAAUAAAACCCGCUGAUAAAGGGGGUGGCUUAGUCAUCCUUCCUAAAGACAUGUAUAUUAAGGAUGCAAAUCGUCAACUUGAAGAUUUAGAAGUGUAUGAAAAAUUACCUUAUGAUCCUACCUCAAAAAUAAAAAGUGUUCUGUUUGAAUUUUUAACUAAAGGUUUAGUUUCUGGAAUCCUAAACAAAGAAGAAUUUGAGCAUUUGAAUACCCCUCAUCCUAAAAUUCCAGUCCUAUACUUUUUACCAAAUUUACAUAAAAACAACAAGAUUCCCCCAGGUGGGCCCAUAGUGUCCGGUAUUGAUUCAGUUUUAGCAAACCUCUCUGAAAAUUUAGAUUUUUUACUGCAACCUUCAGUGAAACGUAUGAAGUCAUACUUAAAAGACUCCAUGUUCCUUUUAAGAAUUUUAAAUGAUUUUAUUUGGUGUCAAGAUUAUAUCUUAGUUACAUGCGACGUGCAAUCUCUUUAUACUAUCAUACCUCAUAAGUUAUGGUGUGAAGCUGUUGAAAAAAUAUUAAGAGAGGAGAAUGUAAUCCCUGAAUGUCCAAUUAAAUUAAUUAAUAGAGGGUAUUAAGAUAAUUUUAACCAACAACUAUUUUUGGUUUUUAGAUAAUUUUUUUAGCCAAAGAAAGGGCACAGCUAUGGGAACUAGGUUUGCCCCCCAGUUAUGCCAACCUCUUUAUGGCCUAUUGGGAAUCUUCGGCCAUCUGGGGGGAUCAUGACUGGCGGGCAAACCUGGUUUCCUAUUUCCGCUAUACAGAUGAUUUGUUUUUUAUAUGGCAGGGUUCAGAAUCAAGUCUUAAGCAGUUUUAAAAUUAUCUUAAUAAUAACAGAGGUAUUUUUUUAACUUCAGAUUUUAGUAAGGAAUCAAUAAUUUUUUUAGAUUUCAAUAUUUUUAUUCAAAAUGGGUCCAUCCAGACCAAAACAUUUUUUAAAAAAGUUUGUACUAAUACAAUUAUUGAUCAAUCCAGUUGUCAUUAUAGACCAUGGUUAGAUGGUAUCCCAAAGAGCCAAUUCCUGCAUCUCCACCGUAAUUGCUCCCAAACCACUGAUUUUAUAACUCAAGCUACCUUACUCAAAAACAAAUUCAUUGAAAAAAAACUAUUCUGAAAUAAAAUUAGAUGCUACUCUAGACAUAGUUAAAAAUAAAGAAAGAAAAACUCUUUUAGAAUACAAAGCUAUCACUAAUAAGAAAGACCCCCCUACAUUACUUAUCAUUUUGGACUAUAAUAACAAAAACAAAAUGAUGAAAAAAAUAAUCAACAAGCAUUGGCACAUCUUUAAGCAAGAUGAUCUUUUGAAAGACCAAAUCCCAGACAAACCCAAUAUAAUAUUCAGAGGAGCCCACAGCUUUAAAAGCAUUCUUACGAAAAAUUAUACUAAAAAAAGCACUGAAAACAUUACCCGUUUUUUAUCCAAACCUUCUGGGAAAGAGAGAAAUGGAGUGGGUGUUCCAGCUCAAAACCCUUCCUCCAGAUGGCCUCAAUGCCGAAUUAGAUUUUUUAAAACUUUUUAUAAUUUUUUUUAUAACAUAAUUUUUUAUAAUACAACAUUUUUCUUUUAUUUUAUUCUUAUCAUAUGAAUUUUUUUUCCAUUUUUUACAUAUAUUUUAUUUUUAUUUAUUUUUUAUUUUUUAUUUUUUUUACUAUUUUUACCCAUUUUUAUUACUAUUAUUUUUGUUGCCCUCCUUCCCCCUUUUUUUCCCUAUUUUUCAUUUCUAUUCUUGCAUAUGUUUUUAUUUUAAUUAAUUAAUUAAUUUUUUUAGCAUUAUUAUUUUUGAUUUCCUCCUGCCCCUCCUUUCCCUUUUCCUACUAUUUUAUUUUCACAUGUCUUCUUCUCUCCCAUUAAGAUAUCCAUACUCUAUUCUAGAAGAAUCCACAUUCAUCCUAAUUACUAAGGUAUGACAAUCCUAUCUAGUUCUGAUAUUUCUGUUUAUUAUUGAUUUUUGUUGUGUAUCCCCUUUUCGUUUUCCACAAUCUGGUGUAACAACUUUUUUCAAUGACCACUUUUUAGUUUGUCUGUUUAAUUCCACCCCUUUCUUAUCAGAUAUGGUGUUACAUUCUGUGGUCUGUUUUUUUCCCCCAUCGGGGGUUGCGCAUGCGUUCUGUGCGCAACCCACGAUCAAGGUUUAAAAUUUGGCAGAUAUUACAGCGCUGACCGGGCCGCUGAAGAUAUAGGGUUCAUCGGGUGGCCCUGAAUGCUUGGGCCACCUGAUGGGCCCCGGUGCAGAUGCACCUGCGGCAGUUUCGCAGCUCCACGUGGGGCCCGGGCAGCUGGGCCCCCCAGGGCCUCUGGGCCUGUGACAACCAUCAUGGUUGUCAUCCCCUGAUGGCUGCCAUGUUCCCCACUCCCUCUAGCAUGUAAGCUCAUUGAGCAGGGCCCCCAACCCCUCCGGUCCUGUGCUUCCAACUUGUCUGGUUACAAUUACAUGUUACAUAAAUAACAAUAAUAAUAAUAAGACUCCCAUAUUACUACAAGGGAGUUUUAAAACUUUCCCAUGCUGAAAAACAGAUAGGAGCAUAUCUACUAAAUAUUUAAAACAGCUAGAAAUGCCACAUCCCAAGGCAUGUAAAAUAAUACAGGGGGACAUGCCUGUGGGCAUCUGUGGGGGACAUUUAAAUAAAUAAUAGGGAUUGACAGACCACUCUGUACUCCCAGACCCGAUCCUAUGGUCAAGGGGUGGUGGCAAAUUUUAAUAUUUACAGGGGAAGGAACUGGUGACCCACACCGGCCUCCCACACAUUGAUGGUGGCUUAAUAUUAAUUGGGGGAGGACCAAGUGUCCUCUCCCUGACCCUCCACCCAUGGGUGUUUUUUGCCCCCCACCUACGGGUGGUUGUGGGUCCCAAUCCUAAACAAUAUGAGCAAGAGCUCACCGAUUGGUUGGCUUGUAAACCAGCCAAUCAGAGCACUCUGACAGUCAAGUCUCGAGAGAAGUGGGAUGGAGCAUUUCUAGCCACUGGGCAACAAUAGCUGCCCAGUUGCAAAUUUUAAAUAUUAGUAGAUAUGCAUGGCAUAGUAACAUGGAGAUCUUAUUAUACAUUAUAAAGUUUUUAUUUAUUUAAACUUUUUAAUUUCUUGCCACCGUUAGUAUGUGUAAUUACAUCCUGAACGAAAUGGGCUUUAAUGGAACUAUGGCGUAACAACAUGUUUUAACAUCGGUGUUGGUGAAACCCUCCAGAAUCACCACGAAUUAUAUUUACGUCGUCAGCAGUAGCAGAACUAUCGAGAUGGGGGCACCAAGAGGAGCAGGCCAAUAGGCUGUUAAAGCAAGUUCAAGAUGUGGUCAGCUGGCCACCCUAGGGCAACCCCUGAAGCAGGCGCUUAUUCAGUAAGGUCAGUAAGGUCAAGUUGGCACAUGCUUGCCUGUACAGCUGGUGCCUACUUUGCAGAAAGAGAGCAUAAAGAGGAGGCAGGCAGAGGUGAAAAUCACUCAUUUUCUUCUAGUACUCACUGCCCCUCGUGCCUUGCGUCGAUGCUGGUAUCUAGAAUAUGAUGUCACUCCAGUCCCGGCAUCACUAAACGGAACUGGAAGAUUACAGGACCCACUGGACCCCAGGGAGAAGAUCCACACUGGACCCCAGAGAGAGGACCCACACCAGCUUUCCUACAAGUAAGGAGGCUGGAUGGGCCUAAAAUAAAACAAAAAUAAAUGUAAUUAACUUGUGAGUGUGUGUGUGCAAGAAUGUGUAAAUGCGUGAGUGUGCCUGUCAGUAUGUGUGUGCUUGUCUGUCAGUGAGUGUGUCUGUUAGUAUGUGUGUGUGUGUCUGCCACUGUAUGUAUGUCAGUGAGUGUGUUUCAAAUCAGUGAGUGUGUGUCUGUGAUCAUUAAGAGUGUGUGUCAGUGUGUCUGUCAAUGAGAGCGUGUGUGUGUCUGCCAGUGUAAAUGUGUGCCUGUAGGUGUAUGAGUGUGUGUGUCUGUCAAUGUAUAUGUGUGUGUCUGUCAGUAUCAGUGACAGUGUGGGUGUAUCUGUCAGUGAGUUUGUCUGUCAGGGUAUGUGUGUGUUUCUAUCAGUGUAUGAGGGGGACUGUCAGUGAGUGUGUUUGUCAUUGUGUGUGUCUGUCAGUGAGAGUGUGUGUUUGUCAUUAUUGAGAGUGUGUGUCAGUGAGAGUGUAGGUGUGUCUGUCAGUGAGUUUGUCUGUCAAUGUAUGUAUGUGUUUCUGUUAGUGUAUGAGUGUCUAUCAAUGAGUUUGUCUGUCAGUGUAUCAUUAAGAGGUUAUAUCUGUCAUCAUUGUGAGUGUAUGUCAGUGUGUUUGUCAGUGAGAGUGUAGGUGUGUCUGUAGUGAUUUUGUCUAUUAGUAUAUAUGUGUGUAUGUCUCUCAGUUAUAUUGUGAUAUUGUGUGUCUCUCAUUGAGAGUGUGUCAGUCAGUCUGUCAGUGUAUAUGUGUGUAUCGGUCAGUGUGUCAAUGAGAGUGUGGGUGUGCCUGUCAGUGAGUGUAUCUGUCAGUGUAUAUGUGUGUGUCUGCCACUAAGUGUGUGUCAGUGUGCUUUUCGAUUAGUGUUUCUGUCAGUGUUUAUGUAUGUCCCGUCUAGGCCCCUACGCUCUGCCGAAGAUCUGCCUCUAUCCUCUGUUCGUACUCACACUUGGAUCAUCGUAUCCAAGCCUUCUCUAGGGCUGCACUGUUCCUGUGGAACUCCCUUCCCUUUUCCGUUAGACGCUCACCCAGUCUCCAUUCCUUCAAAAAAAUCAUUAAAAACUCCCCUUUUAACAAAAGCAUAUCAAUUAAACUGUUAAUGGCUCCAGAAAAACCCACACAAGUUCUCAUUGAAUACCAUUCUACCAAUCUACUUCCUUGAAACUUCCCUUACCUUGUGUGUCACUUUACCAAACUCCAUCUAGCAUGUAAGCUCAUUGAUCAGGGCCCUCAACCCCUCUGUUUCUGUGUGUCUGGUUACAAUUACAUGUUUGUUAGUCCACCCAUUGUAAAGCACUACAGAAUAUUUUGGAGCUAUAGAAAUAUAAUAAUAAUAAUAUUAAUAAUAAUAAAGUAUGUCUGUCAGGGAGUGUGUAUCUGUGUGUGCAUGUGUCAGUUUGUGUAUCUGUGUGUGUUUCAAUCUGUAUGUGCGGGGCAGUGUAUGUGCACCAUGGAAUCAAACACAAGUACACCGCUGCUUUAAAAUUGCAAUAAUACAUACAAACAUACAACUGCAUUCAAAUGCCAACACUACACACAAAUAUAUACAUAAAUUCAAACACACACACAUCCUUAAAUUCAACACCAGAAGGGUUUAUUCAUACAAAUUGUAAAGGCAGCACCUAUACUGUAGUCUUUACAUGUGUUAAAAUAGCCUUACAACUAGAGGGACAGGGUGCAUGGGGGCUGCAGAGGUGGUACAUGGAGGGGGGCUCAAAAUUAUGUUCUGCCCCAGGUGACCCUAACUCUGGUUAUGCCACUGCAAUGGCAACGCAGGCAGUUCCCCAGCAGCACCGAUUGUAAUCAGUCACAUGAUUGUGGUGACAGCCUGAUGCAAUGUGACUGCCCAUGAUUUGUAUCAUGGGCUGUCACACAGUAUUUUGCCUCUCUCUUCCCGUACUUUGAUCUGAGGGGAGAGAGGCAAAAAGAUAAUUGUUGUCUGUGUUAAAGAUUGCUAGUAUGUGCUUUUUUGUUAAAAAUCUGACUCUUAAAAACCCUUUAUAGUUUUUGUUAACCCCUUCCUGUACUCUGAUCACUGUGUAGUGUACCAGAGCAUUGUAUCCUACCCUGACCUUUUUUUUUUUUUUUAAAUCGUUUUUUUAUUAAUUUCAUAAGAGGAGCAGAUUUCCCACGCAGGGGAGUAUAACAUUCAACGUUCAACAGAGAGCAGGAAAUGCAGAUUACUGUACCACAAAUUAAAGUAAAGCCUAUGUAGGCGAUAAGGUAAAUUUAUAACAAUAUUAAGCAUGUGAGUAAGCGAAAAGCGUUACAACAUUUUGAAAAAGAACCUGUGUCAUAGGUUAGUACAGCAUAAUGUCAGUAUAUGAAAUCAAAAUUCUCAGGCACAAUUAAUCAGAAACAGGGCCUGGAGCGGCGUCAAUGAGAACAUCAAAACCCUAUAUAAAUCUCCAAGAACAUACCAUACGUGCAGCAUCUCCGAUCAUAGGAAGUCAAUGGCCAGAAUUACAGUUAUGUGACCGAAUUGCUCCAAGAUAUCUCUAAUUAUUGGUCAAAGAAACCUAUUGACGAGUGUGGAUGCUUAUGCCCUUAUUGUGGUCAAAAUACACAAGGAUAUACAAAGUAUAGAUACUAGCUGGGAACUGAGUAUUUCACCAGACUCCAAAAUGUAAACAAGAGCAGUAAAACAAUCAAUAAUGUGAGCUCCGGAGAUAAAAAUUGUGUCGCUGAGCUCAGGGACGAAGAUAUCUGUGUGUGCAAUUCACUUGAGUUAAAAAACAAUAUCCAAGUAAAAUUGUGUAACCUAGACCAUUACGAGGUACAACAAAGUGUAUAAGAGUAUAAGAGCGAAAUGUUAGUUUGUAAAUAGGCUUCAUGGUAAAUGGGUGUCUGUACAAUACAGAGUGAUUGUUCAAUAUUGUAAAAGUCAAAAUGUGUGCAUAUAGUGAGAAUAAAUCAAACAAUAAUACAGCAUGACAAAUGCAACACAGACUGAAAAUAUUAGAGGCAGUGAUGUCAUACAGAAUUAAUUAUCUGUUAACUUGAAACACUGUUGAGCCCAAAAACUACAUGAUGCAUGGUAGGCCUUAUGAGUUAGGAUUUGAAUACUUGUAUGAGAAGAAAAGAAAAGGAGAGAAAAAAAAGGCACAGUUAUGGUGUUGAAUCCCCAACAAAGAAGGGCUAGAGAAAACUAAGGCCUCAGUCAGGGCCUCUGUGUAGGCAUAUCCCGGUACUCCCAACCACGUAUGGCCGGACAUUGUGUAAUAACAAAAACAUACAACAAACUGGCAUGAAAGGCCCACACAAACCAACACCAUGGCUCUCUUUGAAGAGAGAGUCCCCCCUCCAAGCCAUCCAGUGGCCACCCAUCUAGAGGCCCGCAACACAGUGGGCACUCAAAGAUCAUGCUAGUCUACAGUCCCCCCCACCCCACGGAGUCCACAGACUGGCCUCCAUCUGCAAUUCCGCUGUGUCUUCAGAGCUGCAGUGGGGCAACCUGCAUGUUGCCACAUGUCUAUCCUGAUAGUCUGCCAGAGGCCCCAACAGAUCCACUCAACAGGGCUCUCAGCAACACACGUUCCCCUCAAAGCCCAGAGGUAGAGGCUCUGUACAAAUCAGCAGGUUGUAGCUUGGGAGAUGCUGCAGCAGUCCAGCAGUCCCCAGGUGCUUCAGAAUUAUGAUAAGUGGAGACCCAGGGAGUGGGAGCAUAGAUCCCCCUGUGUGAUCCUGCAGGUGGUUAUAAAAGUGGCUCAGCAGUAAACCUCAGUUGCCCGCGUGCAUUGGUGCAUCUUGGAGGUAGGUGUUCUUUUUAAACUAUUUUUAUUGAACAGUAUAUUAAAAAACAUAUUUCACAUGAAUUUGGUAUAUAAAAAAUCAACAUUUAACACUAGAAACCAAUAGAAACAAGAAGGGAAGGUGAAAAAAAUUAUAAUAAAAAAGAAAUAAAAAACUAAAAGGGAGGGGACGGGUACUAUCCAAAUGUAUAAUAAUAAAAUAGUGGAUUUGUUCCUGUCAAAAUAUAAUACAGAGAGUAAUAUAACCAAUUGUAUGUCUAAAUAUAUUGCAUAUCAAUAUGUAACAGGGCGUGUGGAAUUGUGUCCCAAUGAAAUUGUAAAUUUACUUUUUAAGGUGAGGGUUGCCGCAAAACCAGUUCAUACCUUUUGUUAUCGAGCACUAAAAUCAGUGCUUCCUUAAUUGAUGGUAAAGUAGUAGACGUCCAAUAACAAGGUAUGAUCGACAUGGCUGCAAUAAGAAUGUGGUCUACCAUGAUUCUUUCUAAUUUACUUGAUGUCUUGGGGAGAUUUUUGAAUAAACCCUCCUCUGGAGAGAAUGUUAUAAUUGAUGGAUUUAUCUUUUUAAUCAGUGAAUUUAUUCCCUGUAAGAAGGACUGCAAGUUUGCACAGUGUUACCAUAUAUGUAAAAGAGUACCAAGGCUUCCACAACCCCUCUAACACCUAUGUUAAUAUUUUGUGUUCAUUUUAUGAAGUCUUAAAGGGGCCAGGAGCCAACGCUAUAUAAUUUUGUAGUGAUUUUCUAUAUGGUUGGAACUCUGUGUGAUCCCUUUGAGAGAUGAUGUGAAUGAAGCCAUUCCUCCACGUCCCAUAGCUCACCCAAAUCUUUUUCCCAGGCUACAAUAUAAUCUGGUUUGGGAUCUUGAACUAAAAAAAAAAAAAAAACAUAAGGAGAUAAUAUAGUUUUAAUUUGGGUGAAAUAAACACAUUUUUUCAAGGUUCGACAUUUUUAUUUUUUAAAUUUGUGGUCAGGAUUGGGGAUGUCAAAUUGCUCUUGUAGGAUCUCAGUAAUUGCGGAGUAUCAGGAGGCCCAACUAUCGUCCAAAUCAUAUUUAAUUUAAAAAUUUUCAAACGACAUUAGCAAAUUAUUGUUAAAAAAACUAUCAAUAUUGUUUACGAAUUCGGAGUGCCAAUCAGUCAAAUCUAUUUGUGGAUAAUAAUGAUUUAUGAUAGAAAGCGGCAUAGCUCUUGAUCAUGGUUGGAACUCUGUGUGAUUCCUUUGAGAGAUGAUGUGAAUGAAGCCAUUCCUCCAUAUCCCAUAGCUCACCCAAAUCUUUUCCCCAGGCUAGAAUAUAAUCUGGUUUGGGAUCUUGAACUAAAAAAAAACAUAAGGAGAUAGUAUAGUUUUAAUUUGAGUGAAAUAAACAAAUUUUUUCAAGGUUCGACAUUUUUAUUUUUUAAAUUUGUAGUCAGGAUUGGGGAUGUCAAAUUGCUUUUGUAGGAUCUCAGUAAUUGCGGAGUAUCAGGAGGCCCAACUAUUGUCCAAAUCAUAUUUGAUUUUAAAUUUUUCAAACGACAUUAGCAAAUUAUUGUUGAAAAAACUAUCAAUAUUGUUUAUGAAUUUGGAGUGCCAAUCAGUCAGAUCUAUUUGUGGAUAAUAAUGAUUUACAAUAGAAAGCGGCAUAGCUCUUGAUCAAGACUUGUUGGGUUUUAAAGUUUUAAACAUUACAUUUCAAGCUUUUAAUGAGAUUUUUGUUGAUGGAAACAGUGUAGCUAAUUUAAGUCUUUUAGAAAUAGGGAGCCAAAUUAAUUAUUUAAUAGAGUAUGGGUUUAAUUUUUCUGUUUCAAUUUCUAACCAUCUUGGUUUAUGUGAAUCUAAAUUAAAUUUAAUAGCAUCUGCUGCAUUGGCUGCAUAAUAAUUUUUUUAAAUCAGGCAUCCCCAGGUCUUCCCAACCCUUCAAGUUCUGUAGAACCACUAACGUAACUCUGCACAUUCUUUUCCUCCAGAUAAAUCCAAGAAAAUUUAUCUUCUUAAAAAAAGACAAGGGAACAUUUAAGGGUAUAGAUGAUCUUAUAAAAUAUAAGACUUUAGGGAGAAUAUUCAUUUUGUUAGAAGCUAUCCUCCCCAAUCAGAAUAACUAAAGUUCAGACCAUCUUACCAACUCUUUUUUAAGUUCUUGUCGCAACUUGGCGAGGUUAAACGAAUGCAUGUUUGACAGGUUUUUGAUUAAAUUAAUUCCUAAAUAAGAAAGAAAUGACUUUCUCCAAUCAAAUUGUUAUCCCUCCAUCAAUGUUUCCAACACAGGCCUUGGAAUAUGAAAUAAUAAUGCUUGAGUUUUUUGAGAAUGUUGUGAUGGAGCUUCCUGUACCCCGGUUGGGUACCUCCACCGACAGAUGCUCCUAGUGCUCACAGAGGGCUCCAAGCACUCCACUAGACACAAUAAGCACUGCAGACCCCACAACCGCCGCAGCUUGGUUGGGUCUCGCCGUCUCCUACCCACCCUGGACCUACGUCAAGGCUCCAGGUUCCAGUGGGUGAACCUCUCUUCCUCCAGAGAGUCAAGCUGGAAUAGCUCUUACAUGAGCUAUCAGAAUCCAAGGGAGUAUAGUAAUUAUAGCAAUCCCUUGUAGUGAUAUAGCAGUUUCCCCCAAUAAGUGACAAAACUCUAGAUUGAGGGUGAAGUAAGUCUGUUUAAUGGAAGCCACAGCUGGCCUUUUAUGCAGGUUUCCCAACAAGGGUGACGCCCAGGUGGACCUUGUUGGGCACAGGGACACAAAGUGUACAAACCAAUGAAAACAAUUUGACAAUGAAUGACACUCCCACAUACAGUAUACAAUCCCUCCCCUCUGCCUGUGAUAUAAUUAAGGCAGAUAAUGCAUUAACUUAAUUAUCCCCAGGCAAAAAUAAACACACAUUUUUACAAAGUCCAACAAGUACCCCAAAUACAAAACAUCCCCUGAUAGCCCUGAUCUGGGUGAAACACAUAUCAAAAAAUCACCCAGAUCGGUUCAGGGGUUCAUGAAUUUUCUGGAAGUCAUAGUUUUGACCCACCGUGCACAUGGUUCCAUGCCCAAAACAAUUCCAGAGAAUAAGGGCUAACGGUGGCUCUCUCUGUCUGGAGUACAAAAGUACAUACUUCAUAUGAAAAGAGCCUUUUAAAGUGCAUUGGGCAAGGUAUAUUGCAGGGGUGAUAGUCCUGAGGCAAAAGGCUGGCCAGUGACGAGGUUACAUUUGUCACAAAUGUAUUUUACAAUACAAUAUGUUUCUGAAUUUGAGAGAAUAAAUCACAUCAUCAGCGAAUAGGCCCACCUUACGAACAAUAUCACCUAUUUUAAUUCUCUUAAUUCCAUUUGUCCUGAGGUAGGUGUUCUGCCGAUCCCAUCUUUCGUUCUGCAAAUAGGUACGGAGCUGUGGUAGAGAUAGAUGCAAGCACCUACGCUGUUGCAAGCUGCACAUUACAUGUUACUUGUUCAGCCACCAAAACAGGGGCAGGAACAGGUAACAUGUAAUGUGCAGCUUGUAACAGUGAACCAGGAUUAUCCAACCCAAGCCCAGAGGAAGGAAGCAGGGCUGCUCUAGCAAACACCAUGCUGUUUGAUGUUGUUAAAUCCAUGAAUACCUUAUUUAAAGGGGAAGUCCUCCGUUCAAUGUUCAUGCUUGGUGUAGGCUUUUGAACAUCCAGCUCUUUUAUAUAAGCCUCAGCUAGACAGGCUUGCAGGUCAGAGUAGGCGACAGAUGGUACUUUAUUAAAUUUAAUUCCAUACCAUCAGGAUGCUGGGGUAUUCCACUCCUCAAAUCUAUGCAGCUUGUAUGUAAGGAAGCCUUUGGUGUGUUUUAUUUCAGUAUAUUUUCAGGCUCGGAGCCAGAGCUGUGUAAGAUGGCUGCUGAUCAGCUCGAUGGCCCAGCUCCACGCCUGAGCUUUUUUUAUUCCACUUGGCCCGUUACUUCACUGCAGAGGAGGCCUACGCCAUGCUGACGCAUGAGUCAGAGGAGAUUCCUAUGAUGUGUCUGACAGAGAGACAUUGCGUCACGUCGCUAAGCAAGCCUUCUGGCGAUGGUGCUCUCACCAUAACACCAUCAAGGAGGAGCUCAGAACACCACACUCACACUGUUCCUGAGCAUAACUGGGUACCACCAAUUGCCCCUGAAAUACCCACAUUUUUGGCAACGCUUGGCAUUACAACCAGGGGUUGACAGUUGUGAUCCAUUCAAGUAUUUUAGCCUUUUUAUGAUGGAUGGCAGCAAAACAAAUUUGUAUGCCAGGCAAUAUCUCGCUGCCAAUCCGAAUCUAACUACAGCACACUAGCAGGGUGUGUGUAAUUUUCUAGAAGGAUAAACUCUUUACUUAUAUCAAAUGUCCCAUCCCACUUUCAGCACUCGAAUGAGGAGGUUUCGGGGUGCUUAUGCUAGUAAUGGGGAUUGUGAAAAAAACAAACAGUAUUAGGAAUUACUGGCAUACCUCUACCUUCCUAGCUACCUCUAUUUUUCCAGGGAUUAUGAAGAGUGAUAGGAAUGAACAGCUUAUCUGUUCCUCCAUUUCAGUGAUAACACCCAGUGCCCCCUAGGAAUGACCCCAGUAUGAUUGUCUAUGCAAAAUGAGGCCCCUAAUUGAUCACUUGUCAAAAACUUCCGAAAAUUCCAACUCUGAUCAAACUAUCUGCAUAGAUGAGUCCCUUUUGAAGGGAAGACUGCUGUUUUAGUAGUACAUUCCUUCAAAGUGGGUUUGCUAUGGGAUACAGUUUUCUAACUUUUGCGAAUGCAACACUGGGUAUACCUGGGAAUUUUGCAUUUAUUCAAAGACGAUCAACUAGAUCCACCAGGCUGUGUACUGAUUCGUUGGGAACAAUUGGCAAAGUUGUAUCGGAUCUCCUUCUGCCUUAAUGAAUUAGGGGUAUCAUCUAUGGCUAUACAAUUUUUAUACUAGCAUAGAUUUAAAUUUAAUAUUUCAAAAAUUAUUUUAUUCUGAUACCCCAGACUGUGCCACAGUGCACCACUGUGGCCCACAACUUAUUUGCGCCAUGAUGAAGUGCUGGACCUUAGGUACACCAACAAAGUGACAGUAUAAGUCUAUAGAAGCAAGGCACAUAUUGAGAAGCCAAAGUGCAUUGUUGAAUACAACAAGCAUAUGGGAGGAGUAGAUUUGGCUAACCAGUGUUUUCAGCAGCAUCUGGUUCACCGAAAACAAAUACCUAGUAUAAAAAGUUGCCAUCUACCUUGUCCAGAUUGCAGUAUAUAAUUCAUAUAUACGGUACAAAAACAGCAGUCACAGGGAAUCAAUACAUUUGCUGGAGUUCACCCUGAAGCUUUUGUUUGAAAUUUUAUUUCACCAGCCCACUAUUGCAAUCUAAAGAUGUACAAAGACUUGGUGGAAUUCCCCCCACAGCCUACACAAGGUCACCACUGAAAAGUGUAGAGUUUGCUACAGAAGAGAAGUUGGGAAGGACAUAUUUUUUCCCCCACUGCCUAUUUCUAUCUGGCCUAUGCAUGUCUGAAUGUUUUAAUGUGUACCAUACAGAGCUAAACUAUUUAUUCAGAACACUCUGAAAUGUUAUUCCGGAUUCCUGACCUCAGCUUGUCCUGAUUACUCUUGGUCAGCUCCCUGUAUUGAAUUAUUGGCUUGUUUUACUAACUACUAUGAUUUCUGGAUCUCCUGAUCUCAGCCGGGUUGAAAAAUCACAAAUAAAAGUAUAAUAAGAAAGUGGUGAAACAAAACUCAAAUUAAGCCAUUUGUAAUAUCAUGGGUUGCUUACUUUUAAAAGUGAUAUACCAUCGUGUCAUGUUUGUCAUGUUCCUUAAAAAAAUCAUUCCUGGACAGUGUGUCAGGGUGCAUUAUUCUGCUGAAAGAAGCCACUGCCAGGGCCGGUGCAAGGAUUUUUGCCGCUCCAAGGCAAAAGAAAAAUUUGCAAGGUAUGUUUCUGUGUAUGUAAGGGAUGCAGUGUGUGUUUCUGUAAGGGGUGCAUUGAAUGUACCGUGUUUCUGUGCACUGUGUUUCUGUGUGUGUAUGAGAGAAGCAGUGUGUGCAUGCAUGAGUGUGUAAGGGAUGCAUUGUGUGUUUCUGUGUAUGUGUGCAAAGGAUGCAUUGUCUUUAUGUGUAAGGGUUACUGUGUGUGUGUGUGUAAUAGCUGCAUUGUGUGUUUUUCUGUGUGUAAGGGAAGCAUGUUGUGUUUCUGUGUGUGUAGGGGUGCAUUUUGUGUUUCUGAGUAUGUAUAUGGAUGCAUAGUGUGUGUGUGUGUGUGUGUGUGUGUGCGUAGUGUGAAAGAGCUCCCUGUCCUGCCCCCUGUCCUAUAGAGCUCUCCCUUUCAUCCCCUAGAGAUCUCUCCUGCCCCUUAGUGGUCUCUACUCCCCCCCCCCACCUCCCUUAGUGGUCUCCUUUUCUCCCCGAUUUUCCAUUAGUGGUCUCUCGUCUCCCCCUUAGUGGUCUCUGCUCUCUUCUGCCCCCCCUUUCCAUUAGUGGUCUCUCCUCUCCCCCCCUUUCCAUUAGUGGUCUCCCCCCCACCCUUAGUGGUCUCUUCUCACCCCGCCUUUCCAUUAGUGGUCUCUCCUCCACCCCCCUCUCCUUCUCUUAGUGGUCUCUGCUCUCCUCCACCCUCCCUUAGGGCAGAGACCACUCCUCCACCCUCUCUACCACUCCCUCUCUCCUUUAGUGGUCUCUCCCUCCCCCAUGUUCUCCUCAAUCCCCACUCCCUGUGUUUUCCUCUUCUUCUCCCCCCUCCCUGUGUUCUCCUCUUCUUCUCCCCCCCGUGUUCUCCUCACCUUCCCUUCCCUGUGUGUAGCGUGGGUGACCAAGCUCCUUUCUGGUCCGCGGUACAGGAGCUUCUGUUUCCAGUACCCGGCCGGACUGAUAGGAAGUGCACACUGAGUGUGCACUUCCUGUCAGUCCGGCCGGGUACAGGAAACGAAUGUUCCUGUACCGCGGACCGGAGAGGAGCUCGGUCACGCUACAGGGAAGGGGAGGUGAGGAGAGAGACAGUGCUGCUCUGCCUGAGGCUCUCUAUAGAGCGCUCAGGCGGCUGCAGCAUUUAAAGGGCCGCGAUGGGAGUACAUGGCGCCCCCUGCUAUAUGGCGCCCUAGGCGGCUGCCUAGUUCGCCUUAUAGGAAGCGCUGGCCCUGUCAUUUAGGGGUGUACAUGGUCUGCAACAAUCUCUAGGUUGGUGGUAUGUGUCAAUGUAACAUCUACAUGAAUGUCAGGGCCCCCCAAGGUUUGCCAGCAGAACAUUGACCAGAGCAUAACACUGCCUCCACUGACUUAUCUUUUUCCCCAUGGUGCAUCCUGCUGUCAUCUCUUCCCAGGUAAAUGAUGCACAUGCACUUGGCUAUACACCUGAUGUAACAGAAACAUGAUUCAUCAGACCAGGCAAUCUUUUUACAUUGCUCCAUGGUCCAGUUCUGAUACUCACGUAUCUAUUGAAGGUGCUUUCAGUGGUGGACAGGGGUCAUCAUGGGCACCGUGACAAGUCUGUGGAUGCACAGCAAACUACAAAGCACUGUGUUCUGACACCUUUCUAUCAUCACAAGCAUUACGUUUUUUAACAACUUUAGCUACAGUAGCUCUUUUGUGUUAUCGGACCAGACGAACUUGACUUCGCUCCCCUUAUGAAUCAGUGAGACUUCACCAGUUGUCCUUCCUUGCACUACUUUUGGUAGAUACUAACCACUGCAUACUGGGAACACCCACAAGAUUUCCCAUUUUGGAGAUGCUCUGACAGGUUGUCUAUCCAUCACUUUUUUGGCCCUUAUCAAAGUCACUCAGAUCUUUUUGCUUGUCAAUUUUUUUGUGUUCCAACACAUGAACAAAACCUACUCUUUGACAGAUACCAAUGUAGCAAUAUAAUCAAUGUUGUGCACUUCACCUGUCAGUGGUUUUAAUGUUGUAGCUGAUCAGUAUACAUGUGGAGAUGGAAUUGAACUUAAAAAUAUCAAUUGUAGAACAAUUUCUAUAUGUGCAUUGGUAAUAUAGAAAUCAUAUAUAUAUAUAUAUAUAUAUAUAUUUAUAUAUAUAUAUAUAUAUAUAUAUAUAUAUAUAUAGGUCCCAGGCCUCCUAUCUCCAUAUUUUAUGUACCCCUCUGAUGGUGGACAUGCACACAAGUGAAUAAAAAAGAGGCAGCAUAGCACCCACUUGUGGGUUUAAUGACCAUGUGGGAGGACUGCUCAGUCUAUAUUAUUAAACAUUUAGCAGAUAUGCCCCCAGGUAGAAGGUGGGGGCAUAUCUGCUAAUUGUUUAAUACUAUAGACUAAGCAGUCAUUGCUGUCCAGUUACUAGAAAGACUCAAUCCCAUUAGAGAGAGCCUGUAAAAUAACUGGGGAGAAAACAUAGUCACUGUCCACACCUCUCCACUGGCCACAUCCACGUCCUUUCUGCCCCACCGAUGGUCAGCAAGAGGGGGCCCUAAUUAAAAUUUUAAUUAUAAUACUAAUUAUAGUGUCCCCCUCCCAUGCCCCACCCGUGGGAGGUAGGUUUGGGGCUAAAUAAUUAUAUAUUAGGGGGAUGGACAAAUAGUGGCAUUGCCCCAAAUAGUGGCAUUGCCCCACCUCACCCAGGUGGCUAUUGGUUCCCAGUCCUCUAGCCAUACCCCUUACAUUAUGUUACCCUUCCUACCCACUGCACUCUAAUAAUAGUGAAAAGGGGGCUUAUUUAGACUAAAACCUAUUAAAAAAAGAAAUUAUACUUAAUAUCUGGUCUACUAUCUUAAAACUCUUCUAUCCAUCAGCCUCAAAAAAGGACAAAAUAAUAAAAAGAAUAAUAAAUAAUAAAUUCCUGCUUCAACAAUUGAAAAUGAAAAAAAUCCUGAUUUGCAAAAAAAUAAAUUAAAACAAUUAAAAUUGUGACGCAAUAAGAUUAAUUCACCUAUGUCCCUCUAAGGCUAACCACAGACUGAGCUCUCAUAACAGAGGAAAGACCUUAUAAAGGCUUUCCCACACUAUGUCAGCUAUUGUACAGUGUGAAAAAUUUUCCCAUGCUAUACUGUAUCACUAAUAGCACUUAGAUUGGUUGGCUUGUAAGUCAACCAAUCAGAACCUUCUGACAGCCAAAUCUCAAGAAAAGUCUAAAGAUUUUACUGAUAAUGCAUUGCAUUAUAAACUUUUCCACACUAUGUAAUAGCUCAUAGCGAAUGGUUAAUGUCUUCAUAAGUACUUUCUUUGUAAUGAGAGUUUAGUCUGGGGUGUCCCCUCUUCAAUAUUAUAGUUAGCACCAUCGCCUGAUGCAAUGGGUAGGGGACAGAUACUAGGCUUUAAUAAAAUAAUUAGGUACUUCUCGCUGAAUAUUAUAAUUAGGGCCCCCAUCUGCCGCUGAUAGGUGGAGACCAGUGGGGGAAUACUGGGUUGCCUCUCAAUAGUAUAACCCCAACCUGCUUUCCCACCCUUUUCUUUUAUUAAAUGGACUGUCCACAUCCAAAUUAUUUAUUUUAAUGUGCCUGGGCUAUUCCCCCCACCCUCCACCCCCUACCCCCUCCAUUAUUUUACAGGCUUCAUCUUCUUGGGAUGGGGCAUUUCUAAUAUAUUUCUAAUAUAUCUUAAUGUGGCGGCUAACUAACAAGCGCUGGCCACCAGUCCCUACAGGAUUAAUCAUCACAAUCCUGCUGCUGAGUGCUAGCAGAAAAUAGUAUGGGUUUCUUUCAAAUCUAGACUUGGAUUUGGAGCAUCUGGGCCCAGAUUACAAACAUUAGUGUCUAGAUUUCAGCCAUCUGAGGGUAUUUGGACCCCAUAUGCAGUUGAAUGGUUUUGCCCAAUUCAAUAUGGGGCCAUUUGAAGUUUAGUAAAAUCUCAUAUUAUGGAGAAGGGAUAGCAGUUUGAUGACAUACCAAUGCACUAAGGGGCACUUACAUUUAUGCAGCACUCAAGAAAUAAUAUCCAGUAAGAAAAAAAAAAAAAAUCAUCAUCACCAUAAUAUUUUUCACACGGACUGAUCUAAACGAAUUAGUCAUUAAUGUCACACUAGACUGUGUAAUCAUGUUUUGCAGCUGUAAUUCUAUCUAUCUAUUUAUCAGAAGUUAGUUAUUGCAAAGGGCUCAGUCCAAAGUGAGGAAAUUUGUGCAUCCUUUUUCCAGCUGUCCUGACAUCCAGGAACUAUAUAAAUGUGAUUUUCCCUAAUAAUUCUCCAAAAACAUCUGCUACCAAACUUGCUGACAGCCAGAUGUUGAGCUUUGUAAUCAUAGACAGUGUAACAGGGCUACACAUCCUGUAGCUUAAGUACUCUGCUAAGUAAGCAUGACUUGUAUGAUCAUCAAUUACAAACCUAUUCAUAGUUGUUCCUCUUUUUUUGUCAUUGUGUUGUGCUUGUUUUCUCACGAGCUGGGAACAUUUAUGUGUACACCUGCUCAUUACAUGCUGUAGUUGCAAUCUCUUUCUCAAUUAUCACAUGGGUCAUAAUGACUCUCAUUAUAUUAAUAUUCAAGCUCUUUUUAUCUUUGUCACAUCUUCAGAUUUGGUUUCAGGUCAUAAUUGGUACAGUUGCCACCUCUGUAAAAUUUAUACAAACUGCUUUUCUAAAGAGGUCUAGUGCACAAGGGCGAGUCACCAUGUGUAGAUAAAACUGCUCUGCUUUUCCCCCACAUUUUAUGAAAUCCCUUUAUCUGGAAACCAGUAAUGCACGCAAAAAGUUAGAUAGUCAAUGACAAAAAACAAACGCGUUUAUGUUUUCUGCUUUCAGUUUCAGCAGAACACUGUGUUGAGUUCUAGGACUGCUUCCACUACCUGCUGCCAUUUGUUACUUUAAAAACAAAAGAAAGUGUUUUAAUAUAAUACAAAGCUUAAAAUCUCAGAUAAAGGAAUGGCCCCGGAUGUACUGGUCCCCUCCUCUUUCAUGGUGCAAUCAAAAUACAAAUUUUAUAAAAAUAUAUAUUUUAGAACAACCAUUGUUUGUAGCAAAUAAUCAGGAUUAUUUUAUACCUUCACUGCUCCCGUAAUGAGCAGGAAGAGGCUGUACUUUCUCUUGGUCCUUCCAUUUUUCUCUGGUUUGGCUGUAUAAAUCCUUAAAGCUCCCAACAUAUGGUAGAUAUGAUUCAGAAGUCAGAUAUCUGCUGUAAGUUCAUGGCUCCUACACUAAUGUCACUCCUCCUCGCUGCUGGAGGUGGGAUGUCAUGGAGGACAGGAUGAUUGGAGGACUUAGGUGGCACAAGGGGGCUGUACUGGCAUUGGAUUUCUGUUUCCAGGAUGCAUUGGUGAUGCUCGUGGAGGUGGAGAUACAUCUCUGGCAGCAUAGAAGUUGAACUUUUGUAUGUGCAUCAUUUCAUAGUGAAUCACCAUGAUCAUUGAGGCUUGGAGUAGCUGUUUAAAGGGUUUAACCCAUUUACAAUGGGUUAAACCUCAGAGUUGUGAAGACAGUGCCCGUCAAUUCUGCCUCCAUCUUGUCUUCUGACAAUAUCUGAGGCUUUAAUGAGGAAGUCUUGGACUGUGUGCUGGUGAUAGGCUGUCACUAGCUCCCCUAGCUUCCCAUUCACAAAACUAUGUAAGAAAUGUAUGUACAGAGUGGCACCAAGGACCUCCUUGCACCAGAACAUGGUUAUGGUGACAAGAUUGUUCCUUUGAGAAUAAGAAAGAAGAGGGUAACAAAUAUCUCUAAUAACCCUCUCACCUUCUUCAUUACUACAAAUAUCCUUUUGUUUUGCCAAAUAAUGUGUUUAAUGAUGCUGUGUUUUCUAAACAUGCAGCCAACUCAGGGCAGACCAUGCUCAGAGCACCCCUGAAUGAUCUAUUCAUGUCCUUAGUGCCAUGAGGUGAAUGAUGUUUGAUGUGUCUUAUGAUGAUUGGUGGUAUUUCCUUUUGGACAUUGACAAUGAUUUUAACAAACAUUUAAAAGGCUAAUCCAACCAUAAUACCCACUACAGUAUGCUAUAAUGGUUAUGAUGGUAAAAGUAACAACGACACCCACACCCUGGAUUGGCCCAAAGGGGAAUACAGGUUGGUAUAUAUUCACCGUCUAUUAGUGCCAUUUUCACCUUUGACAAAGGCGCUUUAGCAGCGCCGAAACGGACGUUAGGUUUCAUGCUUUUUUAUUUUAAAUCACAGCACUGAGUUAUGUGCUCACGGGGUGGGGGAGUGAGACUCGUUUUGGUCUAGGGAGUACUUUAUUUAGACUCCGAUACUCCUUAUUAUAGGCAGUUAGGCAUCCCUUCGAUCUAGACGUUCUAGUUACAUUUGCAAUCGCUCUCUACGGCUAUAUUGAGAUACUGCUGCACUACCUAUACCCUUUGAGGCAAUUAUAUUUUCAGAGCCUUUCGGACUAGACUAGUCUGUGUACCUUUUGUAUCUGUCUAUCUUUCAAGUAGGGAUACUUUGUAUUCGUUUUUUACAGAUUAGCUAAAGAUACAGUUGCAUUUUCUAUAUCCACUGAGUCAAUUUUUCUCAGAGCGUUUUGGAAUAGGUCGGUCUACGUAUUUUUGUGUCCGCCUGUUCCCAAGUAGAGAAACUCUGUAUCUAUUCCACACAAAUGAGCUAAGCAGUCCUUUUCAAGUUCAUAUCACCAGACAGAACAUUUAUUCUAUGUCUAUAGUCUUUGACAGAAACUAACUGCAUCUAUCUUACAUAGAUCAACUCUGAGUAUUUUUUUAGCUCUACACCAUGAGCAUUUAUUUCUACACCACGAGUAUUUACUUUAUAUAGAUCAGCUCUGAGUAUUUUUUUAGCUCUACACCACGAGCAUUUAAUUCAGUAUCUAUCAUUCAAUAUAGUAGAGCUAUCAGUAACUUUUGGAUCCUUCUAUUUUGGAGGGAAUUGCAUUCAAAUAGGGAUACACAACAAGUGAGUCGUUAUAAAUUAUAAAUUAUAGUUAGCAUUCAAUCAUUAUUUUGACUCCCCGUGUAUAUAUACUCCCUCUAUCCUAUAUUGCUUCUACUUUGAGUUCCUCCCUGUGUGUUUAGUUUAGAAGUGAUGGUUUUUUUAAGUUUCCUUUUCUUUUUUGGGGAAUUCGUACCCUAUAAUAAAGAUUUUUUAUUUAAAAUAUAUACAAGUGCAUACCCAUAGAUCCCUUUCUUUGGGUGCUCCCAUAGCUUAUUGCGCUUGGGAUCAUCUGCCCAAUCUUUUUGUAUCUACAUAUAAGGGUUACCUCCUGUAUAGGGAACUAUGGACACACUAUAGAUUCCUAUCACUAGGAAUCUUAUACAAUUUGUGGUAAAAGUAUAGUAAUGCUUUAUUCAUGUAAUGGAGCAAACCAUUUUACAAUGGUUUUCCCUCUUACAUAGUUUUCCAGUGGGCUCCAAGUAUCCUCUGCAAUAGGUAGAGUUGCAGAAGCCGAAUGCUUAUACUGUCAACUGAUCGCCCUCAGCCAAUUAAAUUUCCCUUUGUGUAUAGAAAUCUGCACAGAAUUUACAUUAGCCACCUCAGAACUCUUGUUCUGGGUGUAUAAUGAUGCCCAAAUGGUGCUGAUGGAGGUGGAGUUAUAUCUCCAAAAUUAAGGAGGCCCCCAAAUGCCCAGGGCAAAUGCCUUGUUAGCCUUGCGGCUAACUGACAUACUGGGCAGGCGGCUGGCGAGGGAGCACUUCCUCUGAGCGGUCUGCUCAGCUCCCUCGCGCGCCGCAGAGUGAGGCUGGGAGCCGGAAUAUGACAUCAUAUUCCAGCUCCCAGCCUCACUCUGCGGCGCGCGAGGGAGCUGAGCAGAGUGCUCAGAGGAAAUGCUCCCUCGCCAGCCGCCCGCCCAGCAGCUCGACCGGCAGCCACGGGACCACCAGGGAGAGAGAGGAACCCCCCCCAGCAUUCCCAAAGGUAAGGUGGCGGGGGGGGAGUUAAAUAAAAAAAAAGUGUUAAUGUGAGUGAUAUGUCUGACUGUGUGUGUGUAUUUGUGUCUGACUGUGUGUGACUGUGUGUUUGUGUCUGACUGUGUGUUUGUGUGUCUGACUGUGUGUGUGUGUCUGACUGUGUGUGUGUCUGUGUCUGCCUGUGUGUGUGUCUGACUGUUUGUGUGUGUGUGUGUGUAUUUAGAAGGUGGGGCGGGGGGGGAAGGGUUGGGUGGGGGUGGGGUGGGGGUAGGGGGGCGCCUGAGUUUUGUCCUGCCUAGGGCAGCACAAAACCAGGAUACACCACUGCCUAAUAAUAUCAUGUAUUUCACAUACAGCUGCAUAUGUUCCAUACAGAACUACAUAAACCCAUACAACAGCCAUGCUAGUUGACUUAAGUAACAUUUUCCAUAACUUACAAUCUAAUAUGACAUGGUAGCAGAGUUAAGAAUUUAAGUGAAGUGUCUGACUUAUGAGAACUGUGAAAAAUAAAUAGUGUGUAAAGCUUGCAGUCUGCACUUCCUAUGAAUUAGCCAUCUGAUAUGAAUGCAAAUUGCUCUGUCUUGACCACCCAGGAGUCGGGCCAUGGUGCAUAGUGGAUGGCACAAAUAAUUGAGCAAAGGGAUACUAAGUUGCCUGUUUAAAUAAAUAUGUACUUUCAUUAUCUGGUUAUAAAUAUCUACAGUUAUUAGUUUCAGUGUAAAUCUUUUUUUCUCCAAAUUGUCUACGGCAGAUUCCACAAAUCCUCUGCAGUAUAUUAAUGAAGGUAGAAAAUAUAAAUAAUCAGAAAAAAAUGGGUAAUUUCACUGUGUAGCAAAAAAAGGCCUGGUUAAAUAAUGUUAAAGGGACAUUAUAGUCACCAGAACAACUACAGCUUAUUGAAUAUGUUCUGGUGAGUAGAAUCAUUACCUUCAGGCUUUUUGCUGUAAACACUGUCUUUUCAGAGAAAAUGCAGGUUUUACAUUACAGCCUAGUGAUUACUUCACUGGUCACUCCUCAUAUGGCUGUUAGAGAUCCUUCCUGGGUCAUGGCUGCCUAAAAUGCAUCCAAACAUUCAGUGUCUCCACCGCCUGCAUACAGACAUUGAACAUUCCUCAGAGAUUAAUUAGAAACAUAGAAACAUAGACAUAGAAACAUAGAAUGUGACGGCAGAUAAGAACCAUUCGGCCCAUCUAGUCUGCCCAAUUUUCUAAAUACUUCCAUUAGUCCCUAGCCUUAUCUUAUAGUUAGGAUAGCCUUAUGCCUAUCCCACGCAUGCUUAAACUCCUUUACUGUGUUAACCUCUACCACUUCAACUGGAAGGCUAUUCCAUGCAUCCACUACCCUCUCAGUAAAGUAAUACUUCCUGAUAUUAUUUUUAAACCUUUGUCCCUCUAAUUUAAGACUAUGUCCUCUUGUUGUGGUAGUUUUUCUUCUUUUAAAUAUAGUCUCCUCCUUUACUGUGUUGAUUCCCUUUAUAUAUUUAAAUGUUGCUAUCAUAUCCCCCCUGUCUCGUCUUUCCUCCAAGCUAUACAUGUUAAGAUCCUUUAACCUUUCCUGGUAAGUUUUAUCCCGCAAUCCAUGAACCAGUUUAGUAGCCCUUCUCUGAACCCUCUCUAAGGUAUCAAUAUCCUUCUGAAGAUACGGUCUCCAGUACUGUGUACAAUACUCCAAGUGAGGUCUCACCAGUGUUCUGUACAAUGGCAUGAGCACUUCCCUCUUUCUACUGCUAAUACCUCUCCCUAUACAACCAAGCAUUCUGCUAGCAUUUCCUGCUGCUCUAUUACAUUGUCUGCCUACCUUUAAGUCAUCAGAAAUAAUCACCCCUAAAUCCCUGUCCUCAUAUGUUGAGGUUAGGACUCUAUCAAAUAUUCUGUACUCUGCCCUUGGGUUUUUACGUCCAAGAUGCAUUAUCUUGCACUUAUCCACAUUAAAUGUCAGUUGCCAUAAUUCUGACCAUUUUUCUAGUCUACCUAAAUCAUUUGCCAUUUGGCUUAUCCCUCCUGGAACAUCAACCCUGUUACAUAUCUUAGUAUCAUCAGCACAAAGACAUACCUUACCAUCAAGACCUUCUGCAAUAUCACUAAUAAAAAUAUUAAAGAGAAUGGGUCAAGUACAGAUCCCUGAGGUACCCCACUGGUGACAAGUCCAAGCUUCGAAUAUAUUCCAUUAACUACAACCCUCUGUUGCCUGUCACUCAGCCACUGCCUUACCCAUUCAACAAUAUUGGAAUCCAAACUUAAAGAUUGCAGUUUAUUGAUAAGCCUGUGCAACAGUGUCAAAAGCCUUACUGAAAUCUAGGUAAGCAAUGUCUACUGCUCCACCCUGAUCUAUAUGAGGAGAUGCUGAUUGGCCAGGGCUGUGUUUGAAUUGUGCUGGUUCUGCCCCUGAUCUGCCUCCUUGUCAGUCUUAGCCAAUCCUAUGAAGAAACACUGUGAAUGGAUCAGGCCACCAUUUCCGAUGAUGUCAGCAGACAGCUUGCUAUUCUGAGACAAACAGCAUGCAGAGCUACAGCUUCAGGCUUGAAUACAAGUAAGAUUUUACUAUAUUUAGUGUGGCAUGAGGGGCCCAGGGGGGCUAGAUGGGCUUUUAACACUAUGGGGUCAGGAAUACAUGUUUGUGUUCCUGACCCUAUAGUGUUCCUUUAACAUUAUUAUUAUUAUUAUUAUAUAUUUAUAUAGCCUAGCAGAUGUUGCUGUGUGGACUACAUUGAGUAAGGGGUAUAACAAAAUCUAGUUUGUCAAAUAGAAAUAAAGCGUCUCUUUUCUUAUACAGGUUUAACUUCAACCAAUUGUCAUCCGUCUAUUAUUUAUGCUUUCCUAGGAUGCACUUAAUCACUAGAUAUACAAAAUUUUGACAGAAAAACAAGCAGAUCUAUGUGACUUGAGAAUUUUUGUAAUACUAAAUGCCAUGUGUGUUUACAGAUGGUUCUUAGAGACAGCAUAUGUAGCAUAUGUACAUUAACUCAGUGCUCUCUAAUACUCCAAAUGCUCGAUGCAGAGGUCGAGGGCCAGUGCAAGGAUUUUUGGUUACACAGGAGGAGAGGCAUUUUGGGAUAUAAUAUGCAGUGUGUGUGAAGGAGAGGCAGUGUGUUUGUGAUUGUAGGGGGAAUGCAAUGCAUGUGUAUAGAGGAGGCAUAGUGUGUGCAUUCAGUGGCGUACACACGAUCCAUGCGGCCCCGGUGGGAAAAAAGAGCCGGGGCCCGCCGGGCGCUUAAUCUGCGCAGGCCGGGGCCACAACAUAUGGCGGCGGGCAUCUGGUUCAGCGCCAUCCAUGACAUCAUAUUCCUGCUCUGGCAUCAGUGCGGUGCACGUGAGGGAGCUGGGCAGAGAGCGCUCAGGGUAGAAUGCUCCCUCGCGCGCCCGCCCUCCUCGUGACAGCACUGACAGCACUGACAGCCUCGGGGGGCCCUGAGGUGGCCAGCUCCUGGGCCCCUCAGGAGAAGAGGCUGGCAAUCUGGCAUACAUACCCGGUCGCAGGCAGGGGAUCAGAUGUGGGAUACGGGCUGUUUGUGUGUAGGAGGGCCUAAGAUUGGGAUUUAUUUUGUGGAAGAAUUCAUUUUAUUAUUAUUUUUUUUAUUAAAAUAUAUAUAUAUAUAUAUAUAUAUAUUAUUAUUAUUAAAACACAAAUUAAGUUAGUUACCCCCUCCCUCUUGUUACCUUGGAGCCCUGGAGCUGGAGGUGCAAUGUGGAGAGCUUCGAGUCUUAUUCAUUGCCAGGUGUAAAGGUUCUCACAAUCUCCGGACUCAAAGUAUCAGAUUGUUGCUAUGGUAAUGCUCUGAAUGGCUCCCUGAAUCACUGGGCCAUUCAGAGCAUUACCAGGUGGAGAGGUGGAGGUGGAGAGUGAAACUGGAAGCUUUCUAGGCCCCCCUCCACCCCCUUUCCUCCUACAGUGGGUGCAACUGGCCAGUGAGGGAGGUCUUUGAUCUCCCCAGCAGUCCAUAAAGACACCGCUUUGCUUGACACGGCUGGGCAGCUGGGGUGCAGUCUGUGCCUCCUCUCCUGCUGGAACCCCCUAAGGACCUAAGGUGGCUGUCUGUGCAGCAUUAAACCACCAUAGUAUUUCAGUUUCUCCAUGAAAUGUAGAAUAUUCCAUUGCUCCGAAAAGUUCCCAAAAUUGACAGAAUCAUGGCCACAAAUAAAAUAUCUUGUCUGAUGAAUUCCUUUCUCUUUAACUCCUUUUUAACAGAUGACAAAAAGGUAUUUGCUUAGACUCUUGUAAUGAGCAGAUUAUAGUGAACUUGCAAUGAUAGAUUCAUUUAAAAUAAUACGAUCUCGUUGAGCACUAAACAUAAAUUAUCAUAUAGCUAAAGGAUCCCUUCAUUGUUUAGGAGAUAUUAAUUAAGUGUAUCAAACAAUAUUCUAGUAGUGAUUAAGCUCUUAUUAAAGUAGAAAUUACUUCAUGAACACCUGUUUGUGGCCAUUAUGCUAAAUUAUAAUGCUCUGGGUCAGUUAAUUUCUUAAAUAUACACUAAUACUCCUAACAGUUCCUUAUAUUUGUCUGACAGUCCAUUAAGAAUCAAUCAUUUUGGUGACUUAAUUAUUAUCAUCAUAGGUGUUGCUGGGGUGGGCCUUGGAGGCUAAAGCCCUGAAUGUGGAACUAUUCCUCCUUGAUCACUAUAUUUGGUGAAGCGGGUAGGAGGCUAUUGAUGUGCUGUUUUUUUACAUCAGGCAGCUAGUUUUCAUAGCCGUUGCCAAUUUAAAAAUAAAUAAAUCAGUGUUUCACCGGGUUCCUAAGGAGGAGAGAUUUGCACAAUCCCAAGUGACUGAUUGAAGGGGUGGUUGGGAACAGAACUUUUCUGCACACCCCUCUGUUAGUUAGCAUGGAAUAUUCCAUUGAAUACCUGGGUGUGCCACAUGUUCUUGUUCCCAGCUAUGCUUUUAUCGAGAUCCUGGAGAGCAUCAACAGCAUGCUGUUUAUGUGUAGAGAGAAGGGAAUACUACAGAGAAAAGCAGGGGUUGUGUCAUGACAAUAUCUCACAUUUUUGUUAGUGUCAAGAUCAUUGAUUUUUGCUUUUGGCUCAAGCCCUAGGUGUUUCUGGAAACUAGCAACACCCCCGCCUAUAUUUAUUAUGUAAUGAACGCAAGUUUACAAAUUAAAAUGUAUUCCCUGCUACAUUGCUCAUUCUAAAUUUUAAAAUAAACUGGUGCCAUUAUUAUAAUUAGUAAACUUAUUUUUUGUUAUUUAAAAACCCUUCUCUUAUUGCUACAUUUGUAAAGGGCAUACAUCUUUAAAGUGCACCUGCUAAAUAUGACAUGGUGUCACUUAUGAGUAGAACAUUUACACCACUAUGUAGAGAUUAAAAACAUUUGCAUAUAUAUAUACCUUCAUGGCAUUUCUACCAAAACCAAAGCAUAUGUAUUUUCUACAACAUUUAAAAAUGGACCUUUCACCUUGUAUCAUAGACCAGUUGCUCAGAUUACUAUCCUAGGAGCCCCUCCUCACUCCUUGCAAAUCCAUAAUUGCACAUGACAGGGAUGUCCCCUCUCCCCACCUCUGUUUACUUUAUAUAUUGAACCACUACUUGCGGCUAUACACUUCCACCUCCAUUUUCGACAUGUAGUAUAAAGUUGUAGCUUAUGCUAACAAUGUAUUCAUCACUGUUAUAAACACUAUGACCUCCCUGCCCCAUCUUUUUAACUUAAUUGAUACCUAAUCUUAUGAUUUCAAAGUAAAUGUUUCUAAGUUUACUGCCAUUCCUAUCCACCAUCCUCCUCAUACAAUCAGAUAACUUUAUUUAAACUUUGACUUUUCCGUCUUAGAAAAAAAUGCUCACCUUGGAGAUUUACCCUCAUUUGGAUCAGUGUUUUACUAUUAUUUACACUCAUACAGGAGACUGUUUUCUAUUGGGUAGAUUAAUAACCAUUAAAAUGAACAUUCUCCCCUAUUUAUUGCAUAUGUUUCAAGCACUACCAUUCCUGGGACUAACACAAGAACUCAAAGACACAAUGAAGCUUGUAUCUGGGCAAGCAAAAAGCUACAUAUCUCUAAAACUAUAAUUUAUAUCCUUACACUAUUUGUCAGGUUUGUAUAUCAUUACAUUAUUUGUCAGGCUUGCUCUACCACACUUAAGAAAUUAUUAUUUAGCUGCUCAACUCGGGCAAACUAUUGAUUGGUAUACUCCAAUUUCUUUUAAAUGAUGGGUUGACAUUGAGAAUGACAUUACGCUUCCAGGCAUGCUGCUUUCCUUCAUUUGGUAACCAAAAUAUAUUUGACUGAAAUAACUUUCACAAUGUAUGACUAUUUUACACUCGAGUCUAGAAUUUAACCUCUCUCAAUUUUCACUCACUGUUGCUCUCUCAUCACUGCUGCCUUUAUACAGAAACCCAUUAUUCCCACUGGAAAUGCACCAUAAGACAAUGCAGCUAUUUCACUAAUUUCAGACCUGCAAACUAAAGGUCAUCCAAAAAAACUAUGAAGAACUCCUGGCUUUUUCCAAUACUAGCAGCUGAAAAUGUUAAUUUAACAAAGGCUCAUCCUUUUAGUUGCACCCACAAAACCCACAUGGUACAAAACACUGUGCUUAAAUAAUCAGUCAUGAAGGGCAUCUAUUUCUCGUAUUUAACAAGCACUGCUUGGUGCCACUAUUCGCAAGCCAUUCUCUUAUAUACUCAAAUGGCAAGGCGAUAUUGGAGAAUAACUCCCUUUACUGGCAAGAUAUCUGGGAAGUUACUGUCAAAACUAUCCAUCUGUGUUACCCACAAAGAGCAUGAGUAUAGGACUUUUACGAUGGCACCUUACAUCGACUAGACUACGCAAGAUUACGUUUCUCCUAUUCAUAAGUAGUGGAAAGAAUGCGGCCACACUAUCAUCACUGGUAUCUCUGCCCAAUUCUGCAACCUUAUUGGGCAAAUGUGACCUCAUGGCUCUCUCAAUCCCUAUACAAAACAACCCAGCCCGAUCAUUGGAAGUUUCUUCUUUUGUGACUUAUUGAAGGUCUAAAAAGGAAGGAAAACAGUCUUAUUUCCAAGUUGACUCUAGCAGCUAGGGAGGCAUUAGCUCAACAAAACAACCUUCUAAACUUGAACUUCAUCACAUAUUAAUUGAAGUUAGAGAAAUGGACCAGCUCACAGCACAGCUGCAUGACUCUCUGCACUACUGGAACAUCCUUUUUUUUCACAGGCAGGGGUCAUGGACACUGCAGUGGACCUUUUCUUUCUUUCUUUCCUCCUUUCUUCCUUCUCAUUCUCAAAUAGACCUACUCCAUAUUUUUCUCUGAACAAAAGAUUAACACUUACAAUUGUAUUGAUUGAGUACAUUUUACUUAUAACCAUACUUUCAUGUUAUAUGCUUAAUGACAUGUUUGCAUGGCAUUUGACAUGUUGACUUCAUUGUAUUGCAAGCUGUUUAAAUAACAAUUUAAAAAAAAAGUAACUGCACAAAUUACCUUCAUGUAAUUAUCUUAAAUUAUAUGUGUUAUAAAUGUGUUUGUCUCAUUUUAUAUAUGCAUUAUAUUAAAUACAUAUACAUUGUAUUUGUAUAUGCUUUCAAGGACAUUCUUUUAAAUAAAAUAAAUGCAAAUGUAUCCAUUUUGGUGCAACUCAUUAAAUAAAUAAAUCUAAUCACUACAUUGUGCUAGCCAAACUGUUAACAAAUAUAUAUAGAUAAAAGCUUAUUUUUUAAAUUUGUAUUACCCUUUCUCAUUUGUGUUAUAAGAGUAUAUAAAACUGCACUGGCAUGUAAACCCAAUACUGAACCAACGGGACCCCCAUGGAUAGUGGCGUACACAAGAUCCAGGGAGCUGGGAAGAGAGCACUCAGGGGAGAGUGCUCCCUCCCUCGCGUGCCUGUCCGCUGGAAAACUGAAGCCACUGCCAGCCUCGGGGGGGCCUGAGGUGGCCAGCUCCUGGGACUCACAGGAGAAGAGGCUGGCAAAAUGUGGCCACACUGGCGUGUAUACCGGGUCGCGACCCCGGUAUGUACGCCACUGUGCUUGGGGUACAUACUAGGGCAAAGCAAUAUAGCAAUAUAGUAAAAGGAAAACCACAUCUUAACAUAGGGCAUUAUAUAGCAGAUCACACUGCGGUGGACCAUGGUAAGUUUGCCGGUCCGCCAUGUGGUAGUCAGCCAAUUCCAGAGACAGGUAAGCUCGUUGGAAACAAGUGGCGUCCGCUGGGUGUGUCAGCAUAUACACGCUGAGGGAAUGUCUUCCCCCUGCCCCAGGCCUGUUUAAGGGCCGUCACCUCAGAGCUGCGGACUUGGGUACUUGACAGGAUCUUCCCUUGUUGGGGGCAGCGGGAAAACCAGGUGGUAUGGGGCUGAAUUUGACUGUUGAUCUUCCCCUUGCAUGGAUGAUGUCGGGGGGCAAGCUCCUUUUGGCCCUCUGUCUGGGCAUGUGGAGUGGGUGUUGUGAGCUAAAGUGAUCGUGUUGCUCGAAGGGAGCUUUUCCAUCUUCUUACCCCAGCUUCUCCCUUCAUCUCCCAUUGCCACCGUGCGAGUUUCCAGGCAGGCCCAGAAUCGAUCAAAUAUGGCUUCCAAUGAAGUUGUGAUAUUGCUGCUGCCUGCUAAUUGCCCACGCACCUCCAGUGAGUGUACAUCUUGGUGUAGUAGCUGUUGCGUCUGCUGGCAUAUUUGGAUCAGGCCUCCUGCAAGUCUCCCCUCUGGCAGCCAUCUUUGGACACACGAGGUGAGGAGUAAGCUUCAUGGGCCUUCCAGAUUCAUUGAUCAUGAGUGGGUCAGCACUCCAGUUGGGAUGGGAUAUCUCCCACAGGUCCAAGGGGGGGGGAGGGAGGGCUGCAAGUUGAUCUCAGGAGAAUGAAGCGCUGCGCCGAGCGGGAGAUCGGGGCUAAGGCUAUUGUAAUAUUUUUUACAGUAAUUUAAAAAAAGCUCCCAAAAUGUAUAUUAUUAAAUUACUUUCUCUCCUAUAUAUCUAAGACUGCUUUCUUUUUUCCACAUUUAAUGCUAAAUGUGACUUGUCGUUGACAAUGCCAGAAUUCUUCAACUGAUGUGCAGGGGAGUUAUAAAUCAGCUUUGUCAUUAUGAUGUCCCUGGCAGAGCAAUGGUCUUGAGGGAAUCUCUAUUUUUUGAAAAACUGCUUGAAAACAGUUUCAUAUAAAACAGAAGGCUUCCAUUCCCCAUUUAACCAUAAGCACUCCAAGAUGUUAUAGUUGUUAUAGAGCUUGGAGUGUCCCUUUAAGGUCAUAAUUAUAUGAGGCAUUAUUUAAUUCCUGCAUUCUAAAAAGAUUACACUGAUGGCUGCUUCAAACUAGCACUAAAAUACUCCACAUUCUUAGUGCCAAUGAUGCUAGCAGCUCCAAAAAGGCCUUCUCAGUUACAGACAUGGAAUUUAUUCCUUUGUUUGUAACUCACAAAACAAAACUCUAGAAUGUGUAUUUUUUUUCUCAAAUCCUUUUUAAAUAUAUAAUGACAGACAUUUACUGAAAAUGACAAAACUUAUUGACUGGUUUCUACAAAACAUAUACAAUAAAUAUAACUAAUUAGGAAGUGGCAUCUAAAAUAUAGACAGCUGACCCUGGUUGGAUUUAGUUACUGGCACCUGAAAGCUCUGAACCAAAUGUGUACAGAGGUAACCUCAUAGCUCGUGUGGUCUAUCACUCCAAUCAUGGCCACCAAAACCAUUUGGCUGGCUGAGCAUGUUGGUAGUUGUAUUUCACAUCAUCUAGAAGUGUCCCAGUGCAGGAUCAUAAGUUAAUUUUUCAAGUCACAAUUUUGUUAAUGGUAAUGAUCUUUUAUGGAAGGCCGUUUAUUUCAAUGGAAAAAUAAUGGACAAUUCGGGUUUAAUUAUAUAUUUUUCCGUGGAAGGGAAACAUUGUACACUGCCUGGCACAAUGGCACUGCCUCUAGUGCUGACAUCAGUGUCAAUUGGUGACAAUAUCACAGUUUUUUUGUUUGUUUUGUUUUUUUAAAUAAAUGCAUACUAAAGUUAAAGGGACACUAUAGUCACCAAAACAACUUUAGCUUAAUAAAACAGUUUUAGUGUAUAGAUCAUGUUCCUGCAGUCUCACUGCUCAAUUCUCUGCCAUUUAGGAGUUUAAUCACGUUUGGGUUUUUUAGGCAGCCCUAGCCACGCCUCCCCUGGUUGUGACUCACACAGCCUGCAUGAAAAUAAAGACUUCAUAUUCAAUCAAAUAUAGCUUACUUUAAAAGUUUUUAUCAUCUGCACUGUAAUUUGACGUUAAAUAUAUACAGGGCGUUGUUAACAAUCAAAUUAUUAGGGAUGUGCAUGGGAAAAAUAUUUUGUUCGGUUCGGAAUUCCGAAAUUCUGGACUUUGGCACUUCGGUUCGACACUUCGGCACUUUGGUACUUCGGUACUUCAGCACUUCAACACUUCGGAACCUCGGCAACUUCGGAACUUUGUAAUUUCGGAACUUCUGCAUUUCGGAAUUUCGGCACUUCAGAAGGGGCAUGUCUAUUAAACAGUGAGUAGCAUGUGGCUGCUCACUGUUAAAAAAAAAAAAAAGUGUCCCUAUUGUGACCUAAUGCUCGCCCUGCCCCCCACCCCUGAGCGGGGGGUGGGGGCCCUAAAUCAGAAAAAUGGGGGGGGAACCUAUUGUCCCCACCCCGUCCACUACCCCCGAGCAGCAGGUGGGGGCCCAAAAGAAGAAGAUAUUGUCCUCCCCCCUGGACCCCCCCGGCUCCCACCCCUGAGCGGCGGGUGGGGGCCCUAGAGUAAAAUAAGGGAGAGGGACCUGAGAGGUGGGUGGGGGCCCUAAAUUAGAAUAAGGGGGGCGACCUAUUGUCCUCCCCCCAGGCCCUAAAUUAGAAUAAGGGGGGUGCCCCUAAAUAAAAAUGUAACCCCUCCCCCAGGUGACUAGGGGUCCCCAAACCCCUAGUGACCCCCCUCCCAACAAAUUUAUUGAUCCCCUACCUACCCCCCUCAACCUUAAAAUAGUGAGGGUGGACCAAUAACUAGGUACCUGUAAAAAAAUAAAUAAAACUUACCAUUUGAUGUCUUCUUUUUUCUAAAAUCUUAUUUUUUCAGCCCCAAAAAAGCCCAAAUAAAAAUCCAUAAUAACUGUCGCACUUUGAGACCCAAGCGCAAAAAAAAGUAAUCCAUCUUCACCCAUGGAAGGCACCGUGCAGAUUGAGCUCUGCAGGGCAGGGGAAGGCUUAUAAAGCCUUGCCCAGUCCUGCAAUAAGGCUCAGAGGACUCUGUUUUUUUGGUUUAAGUCAUCCAAUCAGAGUGCUCUGACAAGUAAAUGAAGAGACAGACAUUCCCUCCCUUCUCCAGGUGUAUGUACGUAUGAUUUUGGGCGCAGUAUAUGCCAUAUUCUAUUUCUGUUUCACUAUCACACAAGGUUUUGGGAAUCCUUGUACUGUAUACAGCAGCCCUCACCUAUUUGUUGUAUUAUAGAGAGUGCCUAUAAAUUUCUGGUUUUUCAAGUCUCUACAUUUACCUGUCACAGCACUCUGAUUGGCUAGCUUGAAAUCCAGCCAAUCAGAGUGCUCUGUGUCAUUUUACACAGAGUGGGAAAGUUCUUUGGCAUUUUCCCACGCUGUGUAAUUUGACUCAUAACUCUCUGAUUGGCUACUUUCAAUCAACCAAUCAGAGUGUUAUGAGUCAAAUUACACAGCGUGGGAAAAUUCCAAAGAACCUUCCCACGAUGUGUAAAAUGACACAGAGCACUCUGAUUGGCUGGAUUACAAGCUAACCAAUCAGAGUGCUGUGACGGGUAAAUGUAGAGACUUACUUGUCAGUCUCUUCAUUUACCUGUCAGAGCACUCUGAUUGGAUGGCUUAAACCAACCAACCAGAGUGCUCUAAACCUAAUUGCAGGGCGGGUCAAGGCUUUAUAAGCCUUGCCCCGCCCUGCAUAUCUCAGUCUGCGCAGUGCCCUCCAUGGGUGAAGAUGGAUUACUUUUUUGCGCUCUGGUUUUUCUUUUCUUUUUUUUAAAGGGCGACAGUUAUUAUGGAUUUUUAUUUGGCCUUUUUUGGGGCUGAAAAAAGAAGAUUUAAGAAAAGAGAAGACAUCAAAUGGCAAGUUUUAUUUAUUUUUUACAGGUACCUAGUUAUUGGUCCCCCCUUACUAUUUUUAGAGUGAGUGGGAUAGGUAGGGGUUCACUAAUUUUGUUGGGAGUGGGGUGACUAGGGGUUUGGGAACCCCUAGCCCCCUGGGGGAGGUUACAUUUUUAUUUAGGGCCCCCACCGCUUAGGGGUGGGGGCUGAGGGGGAGGAAAUAGGUCCCCCCAUUAUUCUACUUUAGGGACCCCACCCGCCGCUCAGGGGUGGGGGCCAGGGAGAGGACAAUAGGUCCCCCCCUUAUUCUACUUUAGGGACCCCACCCGCCGCUCAGGGGUGGGGGCCAGGGAGAGGACAAUAGGUCCCCCCCUUAUUCUACUUUAGGGCCCCCAUCCGCCUCUCAGGGGUGGGGGCUGGAGGGGGAGGACAAUAGGUCCCCCCUUAUUCUAAUUUAGGGCCCCCAUCUGCAGCUCAGGGGAGAGGGCUGGGGGGUGGGGGACAACGUUCCCCCCCCCUCCUUAUUUUACUUUAGGGCCCCCACCCGCCACUUGAGGGGGGCAAUAGGUAGCCCCUUCAGGUUUGAAGCCCCCACUCAUGCGGCAUGGGUGGGGGCUAGGGAUGGGGGACAUGUUUUUGCGGCCGGUUACAGGAAACAAACUCCUAUACCACAGACGGGAGAGGAGCUCGGCCACGCUACAGGGAAGGAGAGGUGAGGAGAACACAGGGAGGGGGGGAGUAAGAAGAAGAGGGAGUAAGAAGAAGAGGAGUGGAGGGAGUAAGAAGAGGGGAAAGUGGGAGUAAGAAGAAGAGGGAGGGGUAAGACAAAGAGGGGGUAGAAAAGAGGGGGAGGGGAGUAAGAAGAAGAGGGGAGGAGGGAAGAGAAAGAAACAGGGAGGUAGUAAGAAGAAACAGAGGGAGGGGGGAAUAAGAAGAAACAGGUAGGGGAAGGAAAGCAAAAGAAGAACACAGGGAGGGGUGAGGAGAAGGGAAGAUGAGGAAAACACAGGGGGGGAGGUGAGGGAGAAGAACACAGGGAGGGAGAGAAGAACACAGAGAGGGGGUAAGGAGAAGGGAGGUGAGGAGAACAAAGGGAGGGGGGAGGUGAGAAGAACGCAGGGAGGGGGGAAAUGAGGAGAACACAGGGAGGGUGAGUGGGAAGAACACAGGGAGGGUGGGAGGUGAGAAGAAAAUGGGAGAGGGGGUGAGGAGAAGGGGAGGUGAGGAAAACACAGGGAGGGGCAGGUGUGGAGCACACAGGGAGGGUGGGGUGGGUGGGUGUGAGAAGAGACCACUAGGGGAGGGUGGAGGGAAAGGAUAGACCACUAAGGGGCAGCGGAGAGCUCUAAAGGACAGAAGGGAGAGCUCUAUAGGACAGGGGGCAGGACAGAGAGCUCUUUCCCACUAUGCACACAUCCCUAUACAUACACAGAAACACAACAUGAUUCCCCUACACACAGAGAAACACACAAUGCAUCCAUUGCACACACACACACACACAAUGCAACCCUUACACACAAAGACAAUGCAUCCUUUGCACACAUACACAGAAACACACAAUGCAUCCCUUACACACACAUGCAAACACACACACUGCUUCUCUUACAUACACACAGAAACACAAUGCAUUUCUUACACACACUCAAUGCACACACUUACAGACACACACCUUGCAUCCCUUAUGCAUACAAACACAGAUUUACACAAUGCAUCCCUUACACACAACCAGAAAUACACAAUACAUCCCUUAUACACAAACACACAUUGCUUCCACUACACACAAACACACUGCAUCACCUACACAAACUGGUAUCCCUAUACACUACAUUCCAUAAGCACACACAUUAGAUCCUCUACAAUAAUACAUAACACAUCCCUUUCACACUCCCUGUUAGCGAACUCAUGGGUGGAACAUAUAGGAGGACUUAUGGGUGGGCCUUAUGGGCAUACUCAACGUCAGGCCUUGGGGCCCAGCUGUGUAAGGGGCCCCAGAAAAUGGAGCUGCUUCCUCUUCUCCCAGAACAUUGAAUUUUGUGACCACAGUUACAAAGCUCCAGAGAUCCUGUUCUACACUAGACCAGUGGAGCCAAACUGCAGCCAGAGCCCAUCACCAUCCUCAUCUGGUUGUAAGUAGGCAAUCUAGUAUAUUAUUAGUGGCAUUAAUCUCUAAUUUACCUCACAUGAAAGGGACACUAUAGUCCCCACAACCACUGCAGCUUAAUGAAGUGGUUCCGGUUUCUAUAGCCCUGUCCCUGCAGGCUUUUUAAUGUAAACACACACUGUGUGCAGCACUGGCAUUAGUUCAUAUGGCAGAUCAUAUGGGUGGGGCAUUGUGAUGUCACAUGGGUGUUGCGGCAAAUUUUUCUCUUGCCUAGGGCGGCAAAAAUCCUUGCACCAGCCCUGCUCAAACCUCAAAUAAGACCAUUAUGGAACAUUGUUUUAAGAGAAAUAUUAAUACUAUUACAAGAAGACUUGGACAAUAAUUUUAAAGUUGCAUUUCUGUAUCUUAAUAUUUCUAAUUUCUCUCCAAAAGAAAACAAUACUUCAUUAUUGAACAAUUAACAAUGGUAGUAAGUAGAGCACCCUUUUGCUGUUCUGAUCUGCUGCAAACAAGUUGCAUAGACAGACACCAGCUUCUGGCAGCGUUCCUGAGCAAUGGUCUCCAGUAGACAUGUGCAAUUCGGUUUGGUCUGAAUGGAAAUUCGGAUGAAUUUCAGACGUUCGGAUGCUUCCGAAUGGCCAAAGUGUCGAGUUUCAGAAGUGCCGAACUGAACCGAAUUACCCCAACUCUAACCGUAACAAUACUCCUAACCCUACCCCUAACCCAACCCUAACCUUACACUUACCCAAAGUGCCGAAUUACCAAAGUCUCGAAUUUCCAAAGUACCGAAUUGCCUUAGUCCCGAAUUUCGGAAGUGCUGAACCGAACCAAAUUGCCAACAUGCCGAAUUGCCAAAGUCCCGAAUUGCUGAAGUGCCGAAUUUCGGAAUGCUGAACCAAACCGAAUUUUUUGCACAUGCACAUCCCUAGUCUCCAGUUUAGUAAUUUUCUUGGGUUUGCGUGCUGCAACAUCCUUCUUCAAAUCCUACCAGAGAUUUUCUGUGUGGUUCAAGUCAAGUGACUGUAAUGUGACUGUUGAAUUUUCCAGGACUUCUUCUGCAACCAAGCCUUGGUGAAAUUUGAAGUAUCCUUGGGAUCAUUAUCUUUUUGGAAGGUCCAAUGAUGCCUAAGCUUCAGCUUCUUCACAGAGGGCAUUACGUUUUCUCCUAGGAUUUCCUGAUACUCUUUUGAAUCCAUCUUGCCUUCCGUAUGCUGCAGGUUUCCAUUGCCAGAGAAUGCAAAGUAGCCCUAGUGUAUCACGGAGCCACCACUAUGCUUAACUGUAGGCAGAGAGUUAUUUUCAGCAUAUGCCUCAUUCUUCUUCCUCAAGACAUUUUGCUGAUCCAUUAGGCCAAAACGCACGCGUAUGGCCAACUCAAGCUUGCAAUACUUCUCGCGGGUGGAUCCCUUCCUAUGGAAUAGCCUACCCACUGCCAUCAGACUCUCCCAUAGUCUUCAAUCGUUUAAGAAGUGCCUUAAAACCCAUCUCUUUAGGAAAGCUUAGGGCCUCCCAUAGUAACCUCUGCCUCACAUACCUGUCUCUUGCUCUCUCAUAAAGGCAAGCACUCUACUCUCUCCUCCAGCUCUGCUUCACUCAUUGCUAUUUCCUGUCCUAUUGUGUAUUACACCCCAUCUCCUAUAGACUGUUAGCUCAUUUGAGCAGGGUCCUCUUCAACCUAUCGUUCCUGUAUGUUUUUCUUGUAAUUGUCUUAUUUAUAGCUAAAUCCCCCCUCUUAUAAUAUUGUAAAGUGCUACAGAAUCUGUUGGCACUGUAUAAAUGGCAAUAAUAAUAAUAAUACACAUACACUCAUAAUCACACACACUCAAACUCAUACACACACACUCACACACACACACACACACACAAACACACUCAUACACACACACACACACACACACACACACACACACUCAUACACAGAUACCCAAACUCACACACAAGUGAUUUUUUUUAUAUCUCCAGCCACCCUUCUGUUAGCUUACCUUAUGUGCCAGGAGGGUGGCUUGGAGUCCUGCUGCUCGUAGGAGUGAGGGGUCUGGAGCUCAUUGUGCUCCUUUCCCUUCACACUAUGGCUGCCUCCUCUCCCUCCUUCGCUGUCUCCCUGCAUGAUACUGGUAGGAAGUGACAGGCUGUCACUUCCUCCCACCUGGCCGACAUUACAAGGACCCGGUCGUGAUCUUAAAGGACUGCGGCACCCGAUAGGGCCCCUGUUGAGCAGUAAUGUUUCCCCGGUGCUGUGGCAUCACUCCCAUGUGAAUUCUGGGGUGCCGCGGCACACAGUUUGUGCUCCGCUGCUUUAUACAAUGGAAAUAAAAAAAAAAUUAUGUUUUAAAAGUCCUUCCCAACACUUGAGAAAUUUCCACAAAUACAUUCAACUUAUAGGAUGCUGUGCGUUCACACGUCUGUCCAGUUCAUCCCAAAGCAGCUUGAUGACAUUUAAAUUUGGAGAUCAUGCUGGUUUGAAGCAUACCAUCUGGUUCUUUUCUUUUAAGAUAUUUGUAAUAUACCCUGAAGUUAUGUUUUGGGUUAUUAUCUUGCUGUAGGUAAAACAUCGGACUAAGUAGGUGCAUAUGAGACUGUAUUGCAUGGCACUGCAAAGUGCUGUGGUAAUCUUUUUGGGACUGGUAUCAGGACGUCACUCACUCUGUGCAAGAUGUUAACUCUUUUUGCAUUGAAUGAGCCCCAGACCAUCAUCCUUUCCUCUCCAUGUUUGACAGAGGUGUCACCCAAUGAUGAACCACACUUUUGCCUCCACAUGCUAUGCACUCACUGACACCUUGGCUUUCUUUGCAAUUUCCUUAAAGGAAAAACAUGUAUGUUUAAGGCUUACAUUGUACUGUUAGUCUUCCUAUUCUAAAUGCCCUUUUUUCAAGCCAUUAUGAAAGCAAAAUGCUUUUGACAUCCAACUUAACACUCAACAAACCUCUAGUUAGUUCAGGUAUUUAAAGUGUUCCAGCUCAAGCACACCUGGUGCAACUAAUAAAGCCCUUGAUUAGUUGCGUUAUGUGUGCUUGAGACAAUACCUGUUUUGCAUAUUUGCAGUGAAUACUAUAAUUUUACCAACAACAAAAUACUAAGAUUGUUUUGUGAAUAUAUAUGCAGUUUAUGCACAGUUAUAAACACAGUUACUAACAACAGUCUAUUUUAUUAUGCAGCUUCACAAUGAAUGUAAAAUGGAUGCUGUCCAGGAGGUGGGAGGUUCUGGGAGGGAGGGUCUGCUGCUGAUUGGCUGGAAUGUGUCUGCUGACUGUGAGGUACAGGGUCAAAGUUUACUCAAUGAUGAGUCCGUGGCGAACCGUUCGCGAACAGUUCGGCGAACCGUUCGUGACAUCACUACUAAUAAGUAGUGAGUCACUAAUACCUUUCAUAACUGUGCAACUAUAUUUCUCAAUUGGAACAAUUUUUAUUUUUUAUUUUUGCAUGUUGCCUUAUCCCAUGUUAAAAAUACGUAUGUUUUAUUUUAAAAAUCUUAUACAUGCAAUAUUUGUUGUAUGUAUUUUUAUUUAUGGUAGCAUAAUUAUAUUUGCUAUGUUAAAGGACCACUAUAGUGCCAGGAAAACAUACUCGUUUUCCUGGCACUAUAGUGCCCUGAGGGUGCCCCCACCCUCAGGGUCCCCCUCCCGCCCGGCUCUGGAAGGGGGAAAGGGUUAAAAACUUACCUUUUUCCAGCGCUAGGCGGGGAGCUCUCCUCCUUCUCUCCUCCUCCGUUCCUCCUCCUGGGCUGAAUGCUUUCCUAUGGACGCUUGCGUGCUCUCACUGUGAAAAUCACAGUGAGAAGCACGCAAGUGCCUCUAGUGGCUGUCAAUGAGACAGCAACUAGAGGAUUAGGGGGAAGGCUUAACCCAUUUAUAAACAUAGCAGUUUAUAAAAAAAUGGGUUAACCCUAGCUGGACCAGGCACCCAGACCACUUCAUUAAGCUGAAGUGGUCUGGGUGCCUAGAGUGGUCCUUUAAAGAGAGUGUUCACUAUUGUAAACACAACAUUUAUUUUUACAAUACAUUUUUCUAUUGAGGCUGGUUAAGUCUAUAUGUAUUAAAAUGCAAAAAAGCAGUAACUGCACGCUAAUCAUUGAUUUCUUUUUUAUACAUGCUGUUAUUAGUGCACCCACUGCUUCACUCCCACUUGGGCAUCAUAAUGAAGAUAGGGUUGUAAAGUAAGUGCUCUUAAAGGGACAUUUUAGCUCAAGUGGUCUGGGCGCCGUUUCCCUAUUGCACUUGGUGCUGCAAUCUAAAACAGUUCAAGAGAAAAUGCAAUGUUUACAUUGCAGCUCUACGUCUGCCCUCUGUAGCUGUCCACCAGACAGCAACUGGGGGUGUUUCUGGAAUCGAAACGGACCUUUGCUCCGUUAUCUUACACUGGACAUCCUCACGCUCUGCAUGAGGACUUUCAGCAUCAGAUUUUCCCCAUAGGAAAACAUAGAACAAUGCUUUCCUAUGGGGAGGUCUAAUGCGCCUGCUGCCAUUGCCGCACAUGCACAUUAGGUCUCCCCCGCCAGCAGACAUUGGCGGAGGAUGAGCGUGGGUGGAGACUGACCCACCACCGAGGGACAUCGGCUCUGGAUUCAGGUAAUUGACUGAAGGGUUUUAACCCCAUUCAGCCCUGUGGGAGGGGGUCGCGAGGGAGGGGGGCACCUAUUAAACCUACAGUGCCAGGAAAACGCCUUUGUUUUCCUGACACUAUAAGAUCCCUUUAAGGCAUUUGAAUGGGAGGAUCAGCUUAUAACUAAGCCAUUAAAAAUAUUUUUUACAGCUUCUUUAAGACAUUCUGAGCAUUAUAUAACUUAUCCAGUUUAGAGAAACUGCAACAAGUUAAGCACACAUGCAAAACAAAUUAUAGACAUAUUCCUUUGUGCCUUUCCUCUCUUUUCAAUAAUUGCAUUCAUAAAAUCAGGAAGAGUGAAUGAUUUUGCUUCACAAAAAAAAGAAAAUUAUAUAAAUAAAAACUAAGGAAAGGCCUCAGGUUCUUCAAGCGCUUUAAACCCUGUUUGAAUGCACAAUACACUUGCACGCACACCAAGCCCAGAUCUCCAUUUUAAUGUGACGAAGUGAUGCAAAACCUUCUGCCCUACCUGUCAGAACUUGAUAGUUCUGUAAACAGAGAGUUCCUGUUGUCAUAACAGCAGAGAAAAUAAGAUGAGAUACUGCUUAUAUAUGUAACAGAAGCCUGGAGGAAAGGGAGCAUUUCAGAGUGACUUGGAAAUAUUUCACUGCAUAAUCUUUCAUAAAUAAAUGGGAACAUUACUACUGAAAACAUUCUGGAUAACUGACUGAUAUGUUCUGAUUUAUUGCAGAGCAUUUUAGACAAUGGCAGUAUAAAGGGAUUACUUAUUUUAAUGCAGAAGAGUAUUUUUUUUUAUUUGGUUGCGUUUUUGUGUGUAACCAAUUCACAUUUGACAUCUUAUUAAAACUAUUUCCAGGGCCGAUUUGCAAAUGGAUUGUCAACUGUUAAAGGCACACUAAAGUCACUAAAGUUAGCUUAAUUAAGCAGUUUUUGUGUAUAGAUCAUGCCUAGAUAGACCACGAGGUUUUAAUGCUCAAUUCAUUUAGGAGUUAAAUCACUUUUGUUUCUGUUUAUGCAGCUCUAGCCACACCUCCUCUGACUGACACAGCCUGCAUAAAAACAAAACGGUUUCAUUUUCAAUCAGAUUUUACUUACUUUAAAAGUUGUUAUCUCCUGCUCUGUAAUUUGAAGUGUAACCACAUACAGGAGGCUCCUGCAAGGUCUUGCAAGCUAUUAUCAGAGCAGGAGAUAAGACAUUCUAAAUUAAACAGAAUGUGCAAAAAAAGGAAGUGUAAUAUUAGAUGACUCUUCGCAGGAAGUGUUUAGGAAGACUGUGUAAGUCAAAUACAGGGAGGUGUGCCUAUGGCUCCAUAAACAAAGGGAUUUAACUUGUAAAUGGCAGAUAAUUGAGCAGUGAGACUGCAGGGGCAUGAUCAAUACACUAAAACUGCUUCAUUAAGCUAAAGUUGUUUUGGUGACUACAGUGUCCCUUUAAAAGUACUUUGUUUAUGGCUCCAAGUUAUUGGAGGCAAAAAGCAAAGGAGCAGUGCAUUUCAAUGGUAUUCAUCAACUAGCGGAUGUUCCAUAUAUUGUAGUGCUAUCAUUUCAAAUUUACACAUUAUUUUUUUUGUUGGUAUUUCUACCGUUUGUUCUAUGAUUUAAAUGCACAAAAUAUAUUUUACUGUGACACAACAGUUAUUUAAAACACAGCAAGUAGUUAAGCAAGGUAUUGUACAUCUCCCUAAGUUAAUGAUUAAGUUAUCUUAGUUGUGGAUGUAACCAUCACACAUAUAUGCAAUUUUAUUUUUAUUUUUGGAGCCUCAGCAGUCCAGUAACUUAUGCAAUGCAGGUCUGGCAUGUUCUGGUGUUAAGAUUUGAGACAAAACAAUGAGAACUGACUUUAAAAUGUUUAGAGCAACUUAUCAUUGUGUUCCUUGACCUGUCUUGGCCAACACACAUAAUUAAAGAAGAGACCAAACAGACUGGCACAAGCAAAAUGUUUUAGAAUAGUUUUUUUUUCAAGCACUGACUCCUGGAUAAGCAAAAGUUCAAAAUCAUUCUUGUAUGAUGUAUGUAUAAGAAAAAAAUGUUCUUUUUAUUUUAUGUUGACACCUGAGAUCAAGAACUCUCAGGGAACAGCAACCCCACAGGCUCAGAUAUAGGAUGAAACUCAUAUGUGUUAGAUAAGAGGAGGAACCAACAAUAACUUUCAGAUUCCAGUACUUGAGAAUAGUUUUAAAAAUCUUUUCAAUAAAAAAAGCAUUUGAUUGGAAUAUCAAGGAGCUUAGUAUACAGUGGCUAUAUGUGUAUUUAGAGUUGAGUAAACUAAUUACUCAGUUAUUUGAGUAAUUACCUGUAACAAUUAAGCAAUUCAUUUGAAAAAACAUUUUGCACCUUUGCCCAUUUGUAGAAAUAAGUUAUCACAGAAUAUGAGAAUUUGCAUUGGACAUGCACACAUUUUUAAAUAAAAAUUACAUUCAAAUGAAGAUAUUUCAAAUAAAAUCCAAUCUUGAAAGUUAUGUUAGAUUAAACUUAAGACGUUAUUUAACUCUCUAAUUAUUGUCUGCAAUGGCUAUCUCUAUUUAACCCUUUUAGUUCAGUUAAUUGGUCUAUAUGUUGCUAUAGGUAGUACUAGACUUGUGCACAGUAUGAAAAUUCAUUUUGUCCGAACCACUUAGUCAGCAAAUAAAAAAAUUAAAAAAUUCUGGACAGCAAAAUUUUGUGUAUGUUAUGGUUUGGCACUUCAGAAUUUCGCCCGCUUAAAGGACCACUAUAGGCACCCAGACCACUUCAGCUUAAUGAAGUGGUCUGGGUGCCUGGUCCAGCUAGGGUUAACCUUUUUUUUUAUAAACAUAGCAGUUUCAGAGAAACUGCUAUGUUUACACUGAGGGUUAAUCCAGCCUCUAGUGGCUGUCUCAUUGACAGCCGGUAGAGGCGCUUGCGUGCUUCUCACUGUGAAAAAUUGUAAAUGCUUUCCUACGAACUGGCUGAAUGCGUGCGCGGCUCCUGCCACGCAUGCGCAUUCAGCCGAUGACGUCGCUAGGAAGGAGUAGAAGAGGAGGAAAGCUCCCAGCCUGGCAUUGGAGAAAGGUAAGAUUUUAACCCCUUCCUCUCUCCAGAGCCCGGCGGGAGGGGGAACCUGAGGGUGGGGGCACCCUCAGGGCACUAUAGUUCCAGGAAAACGAGUAUAAUACGAAUAGUCCAGAUAAAAUAAAUGGAUAAAAGAAGAAAGUCUUAUCUAGAGACGUCUGUUGGAGUCGUAUUAUAUGGUGGUACUUGGUCCAGAACAAUUGUCCUUAUUUGUAUCUUCCUUGUGGAUCGGCUUAUAUGCAAGAGAUAAAAACAAAUACAGAACCAAAUAGUGUAGUAUAUUUUGAUAGUAGAGGAAGUAGAAAUAUAAAACUCUUGAAUGCAAACUCACAUUUGAAAGAGCUAGAACCCGCUCUGGUGUGAAAGGCGUACAGCGGUUUGAUCCCCGCUUAUGGGAUAUGGAGUAAAUUUCCUUUGUAUGUUUCCUCCAUCCAUAGUAUGAAAAACACUUGGGUAAAAAGAAACAGCCAAUAGUGUUCUCUGGAUAAAAACUUUAAAUAAAAUAUUAUAAUAAAAGUGGGUACUCACAAGAUAGCAGCAGAUCAACUGCUCCUUGUUGUUAGCGCUGGUGGUAUAAUCCCCACCUAGGAUUACUUGGAGUCCGGUGAGAUAAAAGGAUGCCAGGUAAAAUGUAAAUAAAUGUGUAUAAAAAAAUAAGUGGUACAAUUAAAAGUCACCAAAUAUACUUUAAUAUUAUAAAAAUACACAAUAUAAUAACCAUAAACGCGUUUCGCCAAUACGGCGUUAUCAAUAUGGGGAAAGAACCUGAUACCUGGCUGUAAAAUCUUUAAAUAGCACAUACAAUCCUUUGAAAUUGGUGCCAAAAUGUAAGCAGCCAAUUACAAUAAAGGUUAGAAUUAAUAUAAUUAAAAAAUAAUAAAAACAAAAAAAGUACAAUAUGUAUAAAUAGAGAUAUAUUAUAUCAACUUAAGAAUGUAAGAACAUAUGUAAAAAUUUGUAAAAUAUACUUAAAAUAAUCAAAAUAUAGCGCGGUCACAUGACCGGCAUAAAACCGGAAGGGGUUGUUGGUAAAUGUAGUCUGACGCAGGCAGUCACUGCACAGCCGCCGGCCUCUAAAUAGAGGAAAACAAAGGGCGUCACCACGCUUAGGAGAUGCGGCUGACGCCAUAGAGGGGGCGUGGUAAAAACGUCAGAACGCAUGAAACAUGCGGCUGAUGUCAGGAGGAGGGGCAUACAUAAUGGUGACAACGGCAUGCACGGAGCUGCGGCCGUCGUCAUCAAAGGGGCGUGGAGUGUCAGAAGACGGCGGCUAGCACAGAGCUGCAGCCGUCGUCAUGGAGAUAAUAAACAAUUACAAGUCGGCACGCACAAAAGCUGCGGCCGGCUAGGGAUUAAGAACAUCAUGCCUGGUCUCCUAACUAGUGUGAUCAGGCAUGGUGGCAAAAUGAUAAAAACAAAUAAUAUAAAAGUACAAUGUAGUAAAUUAUUAAAAUAAAAUAAAAGUGAGAAAGAAGGCAAUUUUUUAUAAAAUAUAAGAGGCAUCAUAUAAAUAAAAACUAUAAAAAAUUAUAAAAAAUUAAACAGGUCAAAAUCUACAUAUAGACCAUAUGGUACAAGAGUUUGAAGUUUGUAAACCCACUCCAUUUCUUUUUUACCUAAAAUAUUUUUAAUAUUUCCGCCCCUCCACGGAACCACACAUUUCUUUAUUCCAAUACAUUUUAGCAUUUUUGGGUCUUUAUUGUGUAUAAUAAAAUGUUUGGAUACUGAAUGAUUCAAGUAUCCGUUUUUGAUGUUUCUGCAGUGUUCGCUUAAACGUGUUUUCAGACACCUUGUGGUCAUUCCAACAUAUUGGAGGCCACAGGGGCAUUCAAGCAGAUAUCUCACAUUUUUCAUAGAACAAUUAAUAAAGUCAUUUAUUUUAUAAACCUUAUUUGUCCUUUUUGAUGCAAAUUCAGUUACUUUGUGAGGGACAUCAGGGUCAGUGGUUCUACACACUAUGCACAUUUUACACUUACAAAAACCUUUGAUUUGUGGGAAAAAGGAUAAAGAGGGGGUCUUUUUGGUUUCUCUUGUAAAAUUAUUCAUUAAUAUAGACUUAAAAUUUUGGGCUCCCCUGAAUAUAAUAUUCGGACGCUCAGGUAUAAUUUUAUUCAGUGUUUCGUCUUGUUUCAGAAGAUGCCAAUGUUUUCUUAUAACCUUUUUUACAUUAUUGCUCUUAUUAUUAAAAUUAAAGAUAAUCGGUAAAGACAUUGCUGUAUCUGUAGUUUUGGGUUUGUAUUUUAAGAGUUUGUUUCUGUCUUUUUUUGGGAUGUCCCUGAUGGUAUUUCCUAGUUCUAUUUUAGAGUAAUUUUUCUCAACAAAUUUUUCUUUUAGGAAAUCCGCUUGUAUAUCGAAAUCUCUUAAUUCUGAGCAAUUUCUCCUAAGUCUAAGUAUUUGGCUUUUUGGGGCGCUAUCCAACCAAGGUUGAUAAUGGCAGCUGCUUUUGUCAAUAGCAGUGUUUACACAUACUUUUUUUAAAAACGUCUUUGUGUGUAGUUUUCCAUUUGUUAUAAAAAUAUUGAGGUCUAAAAAAUUAAUUUGUUCUCUACUAUAUUUAUAAGUGAGGAUUAUGCCUCUAUUAUUUAUAUUAAGAUUAGUAAUAAAGAAAUUGAGUUCAUCUUCGGUACCAUCCCAAAUAAAAAAAAGAUCAUCGAUAUAUCUAAAAAAGGAAACCAGGUUUGCUCUCCACGCAUGAUUAUUAAAAAUGGCUUCUGACUCCCAGUCAGCCAUAAAUAAAUUUGCAUAGCUGGGAUCAAACCUAGUCCCCAUUGCAAUCCCUCUCUUUUGGAGAUAAAAUGAGUUUAAAAACCAAAAGUAGUUAUUUUUUAAAAUAAUGUUAAUGCCUUCUAAAAUAAAAUCAAUUUGUUGACCAGCAAUUUUACCUUCUUUUGUUAAAAUAUCUUUUACAGCUUGACAGCCUAUAUCAUGAGGUAUGAUUGUGUAUAGUGACUGAACAUCACAUGUCACUAAUAUAAAACUAGGUUUCCAUAUAAAAUUAUUUAAAAAAUUUAAAAGGGCCAUGGAAUCUUGGAGGUAAGAUCUCAUGAGUCUGACUGAAGGCUGUAAGAGAAUAUCUAUAUAUUGCGAGAGAUUGCAUAGGAGGGAACCUAUGCCAGAUACGAUUGGUCUUCCAGGAGGUGAAGUUUCAUUUUUAUGAAUUUUUGGGAGGAAAUAUAUAACAGGUGUUACAGGAAAUUGAUUGUUUAAAAAAUUAAAUUCAUGUUUGUUUAAAAUGCCUAGAUUUACGCCUUUCUUUAAAAAUUGAGUUUAAACAUUUUGUAUUUGUUUAAUAGGGUCUGAUAAAAGUUUUUCGUACACAUUUGGAUCAUUUAAUUGUCUGUGUGCCUCAUCUAUGUACAUUUGGGUUGAUUGGAUAACUAUCCCUCCACCCUUAUCUGCUGGUUUAAUGACAAUAUUUUCAUCGUUUUGAAGUUCUUUUAGUGCCAGUUUUUCUGAAUGUGUUAGGUUGUGGAGGUCAUAUUUAUUAUUUUUAAUUUUUUCUAAAUCUUUUGUAACUAGUUUUUCGAACAUAGUGAGGGGAGCAGAUUUAAAAUGAGCAGGAUAAAAAGUAGAUUUCUCUCUAAGUGAAGUAUUAAUUAUGUUAUGAUUAUGAGAAGAUAUUGGCAGGGUUAAAAUUGGAUUUUGAGUAACAUUUUCUUCAGUUUUCUCCAUAAAAAAAUCUUUUGAGGGUGGCUUUCCGAAUAAAUUUGUUAACAUCUAGAAAAUCUUCAAAUGAUUUAAAAGUAUUAGUAGGGGCAAAUUUAAGACCUUUCGUUAAAACCGCUAUUUGUGCACUAGUUAGAAUUUUUUGUGAAAGGUUAAAAAUGCCACUACUAGUACUGUUUAAGGAGGUUGUUAUCUUUCUAGUCUUUCUCUUUUGUUCGCGUCUGCCACUUCUUCUUCCUCUAAAUUUAAAAUCCUUUUUUGGGGCGUGAAGGAUGUGGUGCUUGGGCUAGUGUAGUGUGGUGAGUUCGAAUUUCUAAAAAAUGAUCUUCAUUUUCAAAUUCAGAAUCUAGUGACAGUAAUUGAUAUCUAUUUGGGUGAUUGGGGAUCGUGGGUGACUUAGAGUAAUUUGAAUAUUCUUUAUGAUCAUUAAUAUAUUUGGAUCUUUGUGGUUUGGGAGACAGGUGUUUAUAUUGGGGUCCUGAUGUGUUAUGGUAUGUUAGUGAUGGUGAAGUAUCAUGAUGGGUACGGUAUGAAUUAUAUCGAUUUCGUUGGGGAAAUGAACGGUAUUGGUUGGUGUUAUAGUGAUUUGAUCGCUGUGGGGGACCACGAGGAUGAUUGUUAGGUGCCCUAUGUGUGUACAUAUUCUGUGGUGAAUAUAGUGGCUUCUUUGUAUUUUGAUAUUCGUGUGGCUGGUGUUUUGGAUAUUGCCUCUCUGGAUUUUUUUUGUCUUAGUUUUACUUAGUUAUAAACCCUGGACAAACUUACUGUUCAACGACAUCUCACAAGUACAACAGUGCACAGGUUUUAGGGUUUUUUGGAAAGUUACAGUGUCAAAUAUAGGGCUGGUAAAUUAAAGUAUCUGGUAUUUCUGCCAGGGUGGUCAGGCAGGUACUUAAAAAUAUGUAAUUGAGGUACCUGCCUGACUAUUUUCAUGCACUCUGAAAUCCCAUUAGAUACCUGAUUCACAGAACAGUAAUAAAUCCAUGUGUUGUUUGUUGAUGUUCAUAAUUACCUGUGGGCUGAUAUCUAAAUGUUUGUUGGUAUUUACAUAUUCUGCCACACAGAUACUUUGUUGUACAAUAGACACAUUAAGAUUUGUCACUUUCUUUCACACUCUGUUACUUCUGAGCAUUUCAUAAUGAUAAAAUCUUCAUGACAUGUCUAGCAACUCUAUUUUAAUAUUGCUUUGGACCAUGCCAAAUUUGACAAAAGUAGACAAAAGGCAGAGCUUCUGCCACCAAAUAAAGGGACACUAUAGUAUCCAGAACACCAGAAAAGUUUAUUGGAUUUGUUCUGGUGGGUAGAAUGGUGUUUUUAACACUAUAGGGUCAGGGAUACAUGUUUGUGUUCCUGACCCUAUAGUGUUCCUUUAAUGUAAACUCACCGCAGAUAUCUCUUGCAGCAGCUAUGGGUAAAUGCCUUUUCUCGUUAUUGUGAAUAAUUGUAUGACGGAUUUUGUGUUCUGAUAACAACCUCAAUAGAACUCAGUGUUGUAUUGUCGCAAAUGCAUGAGCGUAGAACAGAAAUGAGGUUUCUUGGAGGAUGAAGCACCAAGAGAUGAAACUGGAUCACAGCAGAAAGAUGGUGCUUCCUGCAUGGGAAGAGCAAGUGACUCAUGAUAUUAAAUGUAUGCUUACUAAUGCAAGGAGCCUAAAUGACAACAUGGGAAAACUAGAGGCAGUAGCAUACACUAAACAAUAUGCUAUAAUAGGCAUAACUGAAACGUGGUGGGAUGAGACACAUGUUUGUAUGUCAACCAUGAUUUAAAGCCAAAUUUUAAGCAAGUGGAAUGCGAUGAGGAAAAUGUGGAAGCUUUAUGGGUAAAUAUCUGCUUGGGGCAAAAGAAAGGAAACCAACUAUUGGUUGCGAUAUGUUAUAAACCACCUAAUGUUAAUAUUGACGAGGAACAACAGCUGUUUGAGCAAAAUGAGAAAGCUGCAAAUCUGGGUAACACUUUAAUUAUUGGAGAUUUUAAUUACCCAGACAUAAAUUGUGACAGAGGGACUAGUAGCUCACCAAAGGGAAUUAGGUUUUUAAACUUGUUAAAUGACACCUACAUGUCACAACUUGUACAAGCACCAACUAGAAUGGACGCUUGUCUGGACCUGGUUUUAACAAACAAUGUUGAUCUUUUGAUCAAAAUUCAAGUAGGUGAGCACUUGGGAAAUAGUGAUCACAAUAUAGUGUGCUUUGAAAUAAACUCAAAAAACAAAAGCUCAUGGGGUAUACUAAAACAUAUAGUUUUAAAAAGGCCAAUUUCAAUAAAUUAAGGGCAGCUUUACAAUAUAGGGGUGUUAGUUAAUGAAGACCAGGAAAAGGCAAGAAUUUUAAAUAACUAUUUCUCCUCCGUAUAUAUAAAGGAAGAACCCAUGGCAAUAGAUGUGCAAAUUAUUGCUACUAAAAACUUGCAGAAUAAUUGUUAUUGGUUAACUCAAGACAAGGUGCUGCAGCAACUAAAGAAAGUUAAUAUAAACAAAGCUCCAGGGCCUGACGGUAUCCAUCCACGAGUACUUAAGGAACUAAGUGUAGAAAUAAGUGAACCUCUGUUUUUAAUCAUUCAAGGAAGUGUUCCGGAAGAUUGGAGGAAGGCAGAUGUGGUUCCUAUAUUCAAAAAGGGUUCAAAAUCCUUGUCUGGAAAUUAUGGACCUGUGAGCUUAACUUCUGUGGCUGGGAAAAUAUUUGAAAGGUUAUUAAGGGAUAAUAUUCAAGAAUUUCUUGAGAAGAACAUGGUUAUCAGCCAAAAUCAGCACGGUUUUAUGAAGCACAGGUCAUGUCAAACUAACUUGAUUGCGUUCUAUGAAGAAGUAAGUAGAAGUAUAGGUCAGGGUGUUGCAGAGGAUGCGAUCUAUUUGGAUUUUGCCAAGGCAUUUGAUACAGUUCCACACAUUAGAUUAGUGUUCAAACUCAAGGAAAUCAGUCUAGAUGAAAAUGCUUGUUCUUGGGUAGAACAUUGGCUGUACAAAGAGUUGUCAUUAAUAGUAAAUUUUCAAGCUGGACAGAGGUGGCAAGUGGUGUCCCUCAGGGGUCUGUUCUGGGACCCCUUCUAUUUAACAUUUUUAUAAAUGAUCUUGAAGACAGCAUUGAAAGUCAUGUUUCAGUGUUUGCAGAUGACACAAAACUCUGUAAAAUAAUACAAUGUGAGCAUGAUAUUACUUUACUGCAGAGGGAUUUAGAUAGACUGGGGGACUGGGCACUCAAAUGGCAGAUUAAAUUUAAUGUUGAAAAAUGCAAAGUUAUGCACUUUGGCGUAAAGAAUACAGAAGCAACAUAUACCCUUAAUGGAAGCGAAUUAGGGAUAACAACACACGAAAAGGACUUGGGAAUUGUUAUAGACAACAAACUAUGCAACAAUGUGCAAUGUCAAUCAGCAGUGGCCAAGGCCAGUAAGGUAUUGUCAUGCAUGAAAAAGGGCAUUCAUUCUCGGGAUGAGAAUAUCAUUUUGCCUCUUUAUAAAUCACUGGUAAGACCACAUAUUGAAUAUGCUGUGCAAUUUUGGACACCUGUUCUAAAGAAGGAUAUUAUGGCACUAGAAAAAGCGCAGAGGCGGGCUUCAAAAUUAAUAAAAGGAAUGGAACAUAUCAGCUAUGAAGAAAGGUUUACAAAUUUAAACCUAUUUAGUUUAGAAAAACGUCACCUAAAAGGGGAUAUGAUAACAUUAUACAAAUAUAUUCGGGGCCAAUACAAACCAUUGUGUGGAAAUCUAUUCACAAACCGGACUUUACAUAGGACACGAGGUCAAAGGAAAGGUUUUUUUACUGUAAGAACAAUAAGGAUGUGGAAUUCUUCCCUGAAGAAGUGGUUUUAUCAGAGUCCAUGCAGAUGUUCAAACAGCUACUAGAUGCAUACUUGCAAAAACAGAAUAUUCAAGGAUAUAAUCUUUCAAUGUAGGGUAAUAACUGCUUGAUCCAAGGAUAAAUCUGACUGCCAUUCUGGGGUCCUAGUUUAUUGCAAAAUUGUGCUUCAAACUGGUUUUUUUUGCUAUCUUUUGGAUCAAUAGCAAAAAACAAAUGUGAGGAAGGCUGAACUUGAAGGACGCAAGUCUCUUUUCAGCUAUGUAACUAUGUAGCUUGAGCUGACUGUUUCCUCCCUUCAUAUCUGCCCCAGGCUGCUGCAUAUCAAGGAAGUAUAUUACAUUCUGGGUUCUCUUCAGAAAAUAUAAAUACCCACAAAGUGGGUUUAAAAAGAUUUUCGUUUUUAGUACAUUUGCUGAUUUGGCAUUUCUUUUUGAAUGGUUUGACUCUUACCUGGGUAUCUCAUGGCCUGCAGUGCAGCUCCCUUUACAGUUAUCACUAAAGCAAAAGUCAAUUUUUCCAUAUUGGAGACAUCAAUCCAGCACUUUUUUGAUAGAAUUAUUUGACGAAGGGCAUCAGCCGAGGCUCUGUUUGAAUUCCAUGCAAAUGUGGAUGAAAUUGCUAAUCUUAUCAUGAACUUGAUAUCUAAAGAGGGAAUCAGGUUGUGAGUGCCUGGAAGAUGAAGGUAAUAGUUAAACUGUUAGUUUGACCACUUACCAUGGAGUGACACUAGGGGACUCCAGACCCCAUAACCACCACUAUCUCAUCAUACGGUGUUUAUAUGAUUCCACUGGGAUAAAUUAUAACAUAACAAAAUCUAGAGUGGAAGAUUUUUGCUGAUGACACACAAGUUUAGCUAUCAUUUAUACUACACACCAACAGUGCAUUGGCACUGCUAUCAAGCCACCAUCUGAAAGCAAUACAGUAGUAAGAUGAAAUAUGGAAGAUUAUAUUUAUACAAUUUAGAUCACAUAUGGUCACUUGAUGUAGUGUUUGAUUAAAAUUUCCCUCUAAAAUAUAACAUGCAAGAAACACAUGGUUAAUCACUAAAGAGAGAAUUCAAAAAUAAUUAAAAAUUUUACAACAAAAUAGCCAAAGUGGAAGCUUAACUGAAUUGGAGAUUUUUCCCCAAUUCAGCUAUUGUUGCCUUACAUUGCAAAUUGACUUGGAAUUCACUUAGUAUUUUCACUUUGAUGAAUUACCCUGACAACGACUCUGUACUGAUUGUUUGCAAAACAAUGACUACAUUAGAAAUUCGGCUUCUUGAUUUUAACAGCUCCAGAUGAGGAACCAACUAUGAGAAGAAGCUCUUGGUUCUCUAUAGUCCUAAUUAUUAUCUUGAAUUUCAUUAUGCCUGACAGUACCCAGAGUCAAUUUCUUGCAUCUCAAUCUUAUUUUCUAUUACAUGGAUCAAACUCAGCUUUCCUCACUGUCAAAUUAGAUCCUUCAUUGAACCUGUAUAAAAAAAACACUUGCUCAGUUAUUUAACAACACCCACUAGUAAACUCUUAACUUUAAUGUGAACUUGCACCGUGACAUAAAAAUGUGAAGCACUUCAAGGCAGACUGGAAAAAAGGGCUGUGCAUGUUGUUUUUUGCAUUUUGGAUUCUUGGCCAAAUAAUGAUUAUCUAUGUUUAAAUCAACUUGUCUAAAGUAACUGUAUUUUCAUUUUAAUCUUCUUUAAAAUAAUUUCAAACAUCUUUCUGUAUAAGUUCAGUAUACUGUUACCAAUACUUCAACAAAAUCAGUGUAUUAACUGUCUUUUAUAAAUAAAAAAAACAAAAAUAGAUGCUUUAAAUUGCAUCAGUUUAAAGAAAUAAGCUUUAAUCCUGGAAAAAAUAAUUUUGAGUUAUUUAUAUUUUUCAGAAACCACCUUCUUUUUUUUGGCUUGAUGUGCAUUAUGGGUAUGAUUAAAAUAAAUUUUGUGAAAAACAGAUGUUUAUCCCCCUUAAAACCAUUAACUAUUAAAGUCUAUUUAACCACAGGACAUUUGUAGGAAAUUUUUAAAACUGUAGAUUUGUCAAAAGAAAAAAAACCUGAAUACUAAAAUGUUUUAUUUCAAUUAGAAUGUUUAUUUCUCUAUGUCACUUAUCCUCCACACUUAUGUAUAAGCUAUAGUUUUAGGUUGUAUUAAAAUGCAAAUUAUCAGGUUUGCUACCGUGCAGUAUCGAUCUAUAAAAUAAUUUAUCAGUCUUGAUAACAUUUCAGGAAUUUCCUAACAAUAUGAAGAAAACAAUAUGAUUUUAUUGUAGCCUGACGCCUGUGGAUGUUGUAGAAUGGGGUGGGCCCAUUGACGUGAAUUGCAUCACUGAUGCCGGCCAAAGGAGGUGGAGCUGCCCAAAGCAAGAGAGAAGCCGCCUGAAGAAUUGACAGGCCAGUCUGUCAUAAAUACUGAUUUGAGCAGGGCCCUUUUCACCCCUUGUUUCUGUUAAUAUUUAGUAUGUUAGUUACUUGUUGUCAGUUAUCCCCAUUCUAUAAUUGUAAAGUGCUCUGGAAUAUGUUAACACUUUAUACAUAAUAAUAAUAAUAAUAAUAAUAAUAAUAAUAAUAAUACAUGUAUCCAAUUUCUGCACAUAAAGUAGCUCUGUCAUACUUACCUUACCUUAAUCAAUUAAUUUAUGUGUUCACUUAGGUUGUUAUUGUUUUUUUUCUAUAGUAUGUGAUUUGCUGGUAACAGUGGAAACACCUUUUCUUCCUUACACCCCAUAUUGAUUUGAAGCACCUACACAUCUGUUUGUAUAAUUUUAAUGCAUGUGAGCACAACACUGAGGUAGGCUCCUGGUAGAUGAAGUACCAGGGGCUGAAGAAGAUUGUGUUGAAGAAGAUGGUAGCUGCUGCGAAAGACAACUACAGGAAGGUGGAACUUACCAUCCCCUGCACCCUUCGGCCAUUGCACAUCAAAUGGCGAUGUCACAAUUGGGGCUUUUGCACAACAAACGGAGAUCCCACAACGUAACAUAGAUGCUUUAAGUUGCUCAACCUAUUUAAUAAAUGCCAUUUAUUAGGCACAGACACAAGAAAAUUCCAAUUGUACUUUUACCUGACACUAAAAAUUUUAAAUUGGCCUCUAAUAAAUUGUGGUGUUGUAGUAUACAAUAUUAAAAUGAAAAUGAUCUGCAUUUAUCACAGAAUGUUACACAAGGCAAAUCACCCUCUAUCUACAGUUUAAACUUAGACAUGUUAACAAUGAAUUCUGCCCUUUUACAAUACUUUGUAAAUUCUCUAAAUAUUCUACUACAUUGUACAAUAUUUUUCUGAGUAGUAAUCUUUUUGACCAGAUGGGGGCACCUGACAGGACUGAGGUAUAUGGGUAAGAAUAUUUUUAUAGAAUCCUAGUCCACAAACUGAUUAAAAGCAAUAAUAUACCUUCACAAUUCUAAAAAUGCUGAAUAUAUAGACAAAAACAAUUUGAUGGUUUUACGGUUAGUACAUUUCUUCACUAUUGCUUUUUUUUUUUAAAUACAAAUGUACAGCUAGUGGCUGUAAACAAAAUAUGUACUGCACAUCUGUACAUGUUAAAACCUGAUUCAAAUUAACAGAAGCACAAAAUGUUGUCACUUCAUGCGACAAGUUUUUUUUUAAAGGAUUGUUGAGAAGGAUAAGCAGGAUUAAUUACGAAGCAAGUUUUUACCACAUUGUAGCCAGACUAAACAUAUAUUUUUCCUUUUAACAAUGAUUAAAGGGUUGUCAAGUGACAAUUAUCUUCCGAAGCCACAAUUUUCUCUGGUUUUAAAUUCCUGGUCAUUAGUUACUGCUUCUUGUCAAAUGAUUUUGGUUUUUUUCAGAGGUCUCAUUAAUUGGACUGAUCUGUUCUGAGUACAACUAUCUCAUUAAAAAAACACAGGUGUGACUUCUCUUAAAUUACAUUUCACUGUUUAGAAUUCCUGGGAAUAGGCCAUAAACAUGUUUGUGAACACAUCCCUGCAACUUCAGAUGUACAAUAGGAAAAUGGCAUCUGGGGAAUGAUACAAAAACACAUGUAAGCAUUAAGGUUGCUAAGGAAUUGUAAUUAGCUUACAGUAACUUUAGACCUAUAUUCUACUUGUCUCUAAGAAAGGCCAAAAAAUACUCCCUAAUGUGUAGAAUGAACUUCAACUCUGCACUGGUGAAAGGAUUGAGGGAAAUAAUGUUAUUGCUUAACUUUGGAUUUUAUCAAGCUUUCUUAUAUAACGCUAGGAAAAAAAAACAAUAGAAAAAAAAACAAAAAAAAAAUAACACAACUACUAAGUUAAACUAAGUUAUAAUAAAUCAGAAUCUAAAUUAAAAUACUUUAAUUGGCUCUGAUAACAAUAAUUUUAUAGCAUGACAGGAGGCUUUAUAUUUGCUUAAGUCUCUCUUUACUAGAACUCCACAGCAGCACAUUAACCAGAGACAAAAAAAAUCAGGAAUCUAUAAAAGGCUUCUCCCAACUAACUAUUUCCUCUUUCUUUGCUGCUCCGCAGUCAGUACAGGUCAGAGUACCACUGCCUCCUGUUUACAUGUUCCCAGCUUGCACCGCUGCAAUCUAUAAUGAAUGCGGCUGCGAGGCUUAUUUUCCUGUCCGGUCGCACCUCCCACGCCUCCACGCUCUGUCAGUCCCUGCAUUGGCUUCCUGUUAGAUAUAGGGCCCAAUUCAAAAUUCUGGUGCUUGCUUACAAAUCCCUACAUAAUGCUGCUCCAACAUACCUAUCCUCCCUCAUACACAAGUAUGUCCCGUCGAGACCCCUGCGCUCAGCCCAAGACCUACACCUAGCCUCUGCCCAGAUCGCCACCUCUGAUGCUCGCCUUCAAGACUUCUCCAGGGCUGCACCUAUUCUGUGGAACUCCCUUCCCUCCUCAAUCAGACUUUCACUCAACCUCCACUCCUUCAAAAAAUCUUUGAAAACUCACUUCUUCAUUAAAGCGUAUCAAUUAAACGGUCAGCAGGUUUAUCAUCCCCCACCCAUUGACUCCUUUCCUGCAACUGUCAAAAAUGACCUACCAAGUACUCAAUAAACCCUUCUCUAACAAACUAUGUAAUUCCCCUACUUUAACCCUUUGUGUCACUAUACCCCACUCCCUUUAGCAUGUAAGCUCAUCGAGCAGGGCCCUCAACCCCCUCUGUUCCUGUACGUCCAGUGGUCUGAUCUCAAUUAUGUGUCUGUUAGUCCUCCCAUUGUAAAGCACUACGGAAUUUGUUGGCGCUAAAUAAAUAAUAAAAUAAUAAUAAUAAUAAUAUGGGUGGCUGUGGAUAUUUUACUGUAUUUAUAUGUUUAUUACUGUAUUGAUUUAUUUGUUUAGAGGGUAUUUUUGCAUCUACCUACUUAGUGCUGUAGGGAUUUAUUUAUUUAGCUAUACUGUAUUUUCUACACCUACUUGCUUAGUGCUGUAGUGAUUGAUUGAUUUAUUUACUCUGUUUUUCUGCAUUUACCUUCUUAUGGCUGCAGGGAUUUAUUUGUUUAGAAUGUGUUUACCUUCCUACUGCCAUUAUGAUUUAUUUAUUUAGAUUGUAUUUUUCUGUUCCUACUUUUUUGCUGUAGGGAUGUAUUUUCUCUUAUGACUUUUUCUGCAUUUUCCUGUUUUGAGCCCCCCUGUCUGGGGAUCAUUUUUUUUCUCGGGUUUUUCUUUUUUUUCUUUUUUCCCUCCCUCCCUCUACCUUUUCCGGGUGGCUUUGCCCCCUUCACUUUUCGUCCGUUGCCGACCGCCGGGACCCCGGAGUAAGACUCUGGCGGUCCCACAUGUUGGAUCCAUGCCCGCCGGAUCCGUCCGCCGAGCAAGAUCCUCUGCUUCCACCCUCCACCCGACCCACGCUUCUGCUCGCGGUAUAUCUGCUCCUGCGACGUGGGUGCGGGUGGGUUACCUUCACAUGCAGUGCGGCGGCCCCGAGCAUCCACUUCCCCGUGACCGCGUGGUUGGGUGGAGGCGGGGCCAGCCAGUUACCAGACUUACCGCAUUAGUUCCGUCGAUGGCAGGCACAUGUGCUGUAGCUUUGACUGGGACUCAGCUAUGACUUGGGCGCAUGGCAGCCUCAGGCUGUCCUGGCUUUGUGCCCCAUGUGGCUGGCAGAUUAGGCUACUAUAUAGAGCUGUGCACAACCCCUCAAGGUUUACAGGCAGUGUUAGCAAUUAUACUCAUUCCCCCUCUUUUUGUUUGUUCAGAUGAUUGCUUGCAGCGCUCUGUUUUAUCAUAUUGACCAAUGGAGCACCUCUUGUGAGGUAACUCAAUUGGUGAGUUCCCUGACUACAGGUGUACUCAAUAUGCAAAUUUACUAUUUACGGAGUGUCAGGCACUAUUUAACUGAAGUGCGUUAUCUACAGUUACACAAUGGAAUGCUAGGUACAGUCACACAGAAGAAUGCUAUGUACAGUUACACAGUAGAAGGCUGUGUACAGUUACACACUAAUAAACUAUGUACAGUUGCACAGAAUAAUGCUAUGUACAGUUGCACAGAAGAAUGUUAUGUACAGUUACACAUAAGAAUGCUAUGUACAAUUACACAGUAGAAGGCUAUGUACAGUUACACAGUAAUAUACUAUGUACAGUUACACAGAAGAAUGUUAUUCACAGUUACAAAGAAGAGUUUUAUGUACAGUUCCACAGAAGAAUGUUAUGUACCAUUACACAGAAGAGCGUUUGGUACGGUUACACAGAAGAACGUAUUGUAUGUUUACACAGAAGGAUGGUAUGUACGGCUGCACAGAAGAGUGUUAUGUACAGUUACACAAAAGAAGGUUACGUACAGUUACACAGAAGAGUGUUAAUUACAGUUACACAGAAGUGUGUUAUGUGCUAUUAAUCUGAAGAAGUGUUAUCGGAAGAAUGGAAUGCGCAGUUCCUCACCUGUACAUCUCUGAAGGUCCUGACUUGUCUGUGCCCCAGGACUUGGCCGGCUUUGUCUGUGCCUUACUGAUUGGCCUGCUCUGCCUCUGCCCCAUUGAUUGGCCUGCUUUGUCUGUGCCCCAUUGAUUGGCCUGCUUUGUCUGUGCCCCAUUGAUUGGCCUGCUUUGUCUGUGCCCCAUUGAUCUGGCCUGUGCUGUCUGUGCCAGAAUGUCUGCAUGCCAAGCCUACUGCCACAUACUCACACUUGUGCAUUGCAUGCGCUGCCCAACUUGCCUCGGUCACUAUAUGGGGUGCUGCCCCUACCUUCCUGCCGGUGACACUUGAUCCUUGAGGUCGCUUUGCCUGGGACCGCUGCACAGGAGAACCCUUAUCUGGGUUAACAGCGCAGACAAUGACUACUAUGGCAGUGACCGCCUCCAUGGAAUUAGGCUUCAGCCAGGGUCCUCCCUUAAGCUUAUCAGGAGUGUAACGCUAGAGGGCCCACCUUUUAAAACAGCAGGCGACUUGAAUGAGUCAGACUCUCCUAGAGGAGAGCAGGCAAGGGCACAUAAGCACUACUGGAAGGGUGAAGUAGAAUGAGUCAGACUCUCCUUGAGGAGCGUAGGCAAGUGCGCAUGCGCGCUACUGGAAGGGUGAAUGCCCUGAACCAGGGUCCUGGAAAGAUAAGACUCCGAGGAGCGGCUAGUCCCUCUACAAUCGGCCAUACGGCCCUGCCUAUAUGGCGCGGGGGAGGCCGAUGACCACCGGACACGGCAGUGACCACCUUCUUAAAAAGGCAGACGACUUGAAGGAGUCAGACUCUCCGAGUGGAGAGCAGGCAAGGGCACAUAAGCACUAUGGGUGAGGUUAAGGCCCGGAACCAGACACCCGGAAAGAUUAGACUCCGGAGAAGUGUCUAGCCCUGAUACGAUCGGCCUUGAUGGCCAGACGACUGCAGUGCCUAUACUAUUAAGUCCGCACUGGCAAGCCGAUUGUUUUCCGCUACACGAGUGAGUUGUGCUAGUGGAACAUACGAGGAAGUAUAAUAUGUGUCCUUUUUUACAUGGAAAUACUUGACGGAGGCUUAUCUCAGCUCCAACCCGUAUCUUUUAUAGGGGAUUGGACCCUUGACCCGGAAUUUCACACUUGCCUCCACUUUCGGAUGACAUCCCAGACUGGGCCCCGAGUCUGGGGUGGCAGACGACCCUAUCCUAAACGCAAUUUGGACCGCUGGAGGUGCUUGGGAUAAAGGGAUCUGAGCCCCUCGGAGUCCCAGCACGAGUCUACGAUUGAACGUAUAUUCAUUAGUUACUUUGAAUUAGACGCGGCCCUCAAGAAACUUCUAGGGCCUCUAUUUUCUCUCUCUCUGGUGAGACAGGUAUCUUGUGCAUCAGUCAUUUGGGCGACAAAUGAUGCUCCCUGCGUUUUCCCUUGUUCGAGUCCCUGGAUUUCGUUUUCAAGUCCUGGAGAGUGGAUUGGACGCAAGGAGGUACCUCCUACACUCUCCUCUGCCAGAAUUCUCGUAUGUAUGGAAUAGUUUCUCUGGGAGGACCCGGCAUCAAGACUUUGUUCCACGGAGGAGGACCCAUCAGGCCCCGACCAGUUUGGCCAGAUGACGGACCCAUUUGCUCAGCGAUGGACGCUGCCCUCCAGGAGUGUUCGACACAGUCUCCUCCGUUUGUUUGGUCUCAGGACUUUACUACAGGUGCCUCGGUCUGCUGGUACUUUGGAAUUAUGAUCUCCACUUCGGCAGAGUCGAACCUAGUUCCUGGAUUCCCUGGACCCUUGCUCAUUUGAUCUCAGGAAUUGUGAGACUUUGGUCUGCAUGGCGACCCUGACGUAGUUGGGUCAUGUAUGGAUCUCCUAAUUUUGCUACCGCUUUUACAGGGUUCCGGUAUUGUUCGGUCACUUUAUUACCGGGGACUGCCAUAUUAAUUAGAUUAGGUAGCGCAUACGACUGUUGUCGGUGGGCCUCGCUCUGCUUAGAAUUCCUGAGGACGGGUAUUCAUCUCCCCAAGGGUUACAUGCAUUUUUGUCUAUGGUGGGUUCUGUCGGGUUUUGCCCAUUCACUGAUUCUGGAGUCAUUUCCGUUAUUAUACCUUGUUUUCUUUCAGAUGGGUUCGGCGGUUCGGACCUUAGUUGUCUAUCAGUUUUAGUUGGAUCCGAGGGUCAUAUUCUUACUUUGGUAGCGCUCCCACCUUUAGGCGGUGUUCGACGUCACCGUUUGUUUGAAUCGUUCUUCCCUUUUUCUCGCCCUUCAUGUACCGCUUGGUUGUGGUUGGCAUUGGCGGGGCGUAUAGGUUUUUUCGGUUCACUUCAGUCCGUAACACAGUGACUUCGGGUACCGACAUGGCGGGCGUUUUUCUUCAAGACAUUGUAUGCUUUCCUGAAGGUUACGGGGAGCUAUCUUCGCAGAGUUUAGGUUGGUACGGCGGAUCGUGUUUCUUUGGUCUUUGCUGUCCAAUCGUUAAAACAGCAAAUAUGAAGCCUCCUGUCAUGCUAUCAAAUUGUAGAUUAUACUAGUUUUAGUGUAACUAAUCUUAAUUUUAUUAAUGUCACAGCUGCUAGUGUGGUCCAACACGCAGAAACUAUGUAAACAUAUACAUAAAAAAGGAAAGGAAAUAAAAGGACAGAGCGUAAACCGGACCUUAAAAUGGCCGGACUAAUACGCUAGAGAUAGAGAAUGGUCAAAGGGAAAGUCAAGGUCAAGGAAGCCAGAAAUGCUCAGAUACCGUUGAAACAAGCCAAGUCAGGGGAACCAGAAUUCGGAAUAACCAGGGAAAAGCCAAGAUCAGGAUACCAGGAAGUAAUAUUCACAAAGAUAAACGCACUCUCGGGAACCAGGAACAGGAAACAACGACAGGGCAAGGAACUGGAGUGAAAUAGGGAUUUAAAUAUCCCUCUCUGGGCUCUGAUUGGUCAGAGGGUGACCUUUGACCCCAGAACGUGCAUGUGCGUUGACGUUGUGAUGUCACGCGCACGUCCGUAUAAAUUUGAGGGGCGCAGCUUGUGGUGUGCGUGACCACGUGGUCAGCGCCAUCUUUGAUUUGGGCGUUCCCGGCUCGCCGGCUCGCAGGUAAGCUCACAAUGUUGGCGAGGUCAUGCCGGUCGGGCACAGCUGUGCCAUUCGGCGGGUCGGGAGCCGCAACAGUACCCCCACUCAAAAACCACUCACCUGGCAGGAAGGAGCCUGCUUAUGAGGGAAGCGGUUGUGAAACGACUGGAUAAGACGGGGCGCAUGAACCUGGUCAGCAGGAACCCAACAACGUUCCUCAGGACCAUAACCUUUCCAGUCAACUAGAUAAGACAAAAUACCCCUGGAGAUUUUGGAGUCAAAUAUAGAACGAACUUCGUACUCCUCCUGAUUACCCACUACCAAGGGUGGAGUAGGGGCAGCCACUUUAGUGUAUCGACUGCAAGUAAGAGGCUUAAGCAAGGACACAUGAAAUUAAUUGGCAAUUCUCAUGUGAGCAGGAAGUGACAAUGAAUAAGUCACAGGAUUGAUAUGAUGGAGGACCCGAAAAGGACCUAUAUACCGAGGGGCAAAUUUCAUGGAAGGAACCUUAAGUUUGACAUGACGUGUGGAUAACCACACCUUGUCUCCUGGUUGAUAGACCGUAUUGGCACCCCGUCUCUUGUCAGCUUGGAUUUUAGCACGUAUUGAUGCCUUCUGUAAUGCUGUAUGAACGGAAUCCCAUAUAUCAUGAAUAGAAUCCAAACGGGUGUUCAAGGCAGGAAUAUCAGUGUCUGAAAAUUCAGAAGGUAAAACAGUGGGGUGAUAACCCUGAUUUACAAAAAAUGGACUAUGAUUAGAGGAUUCAUGAGUCGCAUUAUAGCUGGCAAACUCAGCCAUGGGUAAGAGUUCGUACCAGUUAGACUGAUUGGCAUCGAAAAAACAACGUAAAUAAGAUUCUAAAGACUGAUUGGCCCUCUUUGCUGCGCCAUUAGUCUGAGGGUGAUACGCUGAGGAAAAUGAAAGUUCUAUACCCAAUUGCUUACAAAAGGCAUGCCAGAACCUAGAAAUAAAUUGGGUACCUCUGUCAGAUAAUAUGUUUUUUGGCACUCCGUGUAACCGAAAGAUCUCUUUCAAAAAUAUUUGUACAAUAUCUUGAGCAGUUGGUAAUUUUUUAAGAGGUACAACAUGUGCCAUUUUUUAGAAACUAUCUAUGACCAUAAGGAUUGUGUUAAAUCCAUUUGAACUGGGCAGACCCACCAUGAAAUCCAUGGCUAAAUGGGUCCAUGGAGUAUUAGGUAUCGGCAGUGGUUGUAGCAGCCCAGGAGGAGAUUUGUGAGAGGCUUUAGAAAUGGUACAUAUUUGACAUUUAACAAAAUGCUUUGUAGAUUGAGAGAGGGAAUAAUAGCAUUAGCAUUAGGAACUAAUAGAAAGUAAUAAAUAGAAUUUAAAGGAACACUAAAGUGUCAGGAACAAAAAUGUGUCAAGGAUACAAAUGUUUAUUCCUGACGAUAUAGGUGUGAAAACAUAUUUUCAGUGUUUUGCCCCCUUAUUUACCUUGUCGCUUGGUUCAUGCUGUCAGUUACAGCAUUGUGAGAGCUGUCUUCUGUCGUCCAUAUGAUUCAGAGUUUCUGCAUUGCUUUAGGUAUAGAGAAUAUGAUAUUCAUAGCCAUUCAUUCUAAAUUUCUGUCUGUCCUAUUUUUUUUUUUUUGCACACAGACAUUUAGACGACUGUCAAGGUACAACUGUAGUAGAUAAUUAUUACACUCCCAUGUUCAGGUAGUACCUUGUUCGAACUGCUCCAGCCAUGAACAGUCAUUAUUAGUAGAUUUCCUAAUGGUAUCUCUAUAAUACUACGGUAUUCUUUGGAAGAGGUGUCUGAUGUAAAAAAAAAUCAGAAUAAGCAACUUGUAGUACAGGGCUCCAGGGAGUUCCAAAGUAUACAGCAUAACAGACUUACAAAGUUAAAAAAUAAUUUUAUUAGAAAAGUAUUAAAGCAUUAUUCUAGAUGGAUAGUCUGCUGGGGGACGUGGAAUUCAAAUGACUCCGUAUUUUAUUCUAUAUCAAGGUGACAUAGACUCUUAGACACAGAAUUUGGGCCUAUUCCUCUAACAUACAGUAGAAACCAGAAAGUGUGAGAGUUUGUGUAUUGAUGGUAUUUAUAGGUGGGUGAGUUCAAUGCAGUUCCUACACCAAGGUAAAAUAAUUAACCUACAAACCGUUUUGGUGGCAGACUCAAGCAGAGGUCGAAGGAUAUAGAUAACCACAGGAAUAAGAAUACAAGCAAAUCAAGGAAAAUAGUGCACAAUAAACAUAUGACCAACAAAUAUCAAAAGGCAUAAAUAAAUGUAUAAUGUAGAAUUGGGUGUAAAAGGAACAAUGACAGAGCAAUGACUUUGUAAGUGUAGUAAGAGGUUUACACGGAAAUUAGGAAGCACUACUGGUCAGUGUUUUGCUUGUACGUUUAUUAUUUAUUCAUUUUGUCUAUUUGUCUUUCUGCUCGUCUGCCUAUCGUUUUUGUAUUGGAAAAGUCGGGGAUCUCUGGAUACCAAGCCAAGAUCAGGUGGACCAAGAAAAAUUUCAGCCACAACUGUCAGAAGAAUUGUUCGGGAUACAAAGAAAAGCCUACAGGUAACUUCAGGAGAAAUACAGGAAAAAGACCGCAUGGCUGUUUCAGGGAGCACAAUAAGACGAUACUUGAACAAAAACAAGCUGCAUGGUGGAUUUGACAAAGAGAAGCCUUUACUGUGCCAAUGCCACAAAAAAAUCAGUUUACAAUAUGCCCGACAACACAUGCCUCACAGUUUCUGGCACACUGUAAUUUUGGAGUGACGAGACGAAAAUAGAGCGUUAUGGUCACCACCAUAAGCGCUAUGUUUGGAGAGGGGUCAACAAGGCCUAUAGUGAAAAGAACACCAUCCAAACUGUGAAGCAUGUUGGUGGCUCACUGAUGUUUGGGGGUUUUUGAUAUUAUCAGAAAAUACUGGCAGACAAUUUGUAUUCUUCUGCACGAAGGCUGCGCAAGGGACUUUCCAGCAUGACAAGGACCCUAAACACAAAGCCAAGUUGACCCUCCAGUGGUUACAGCAGAAAAAGAUGAAGGUUCUGGAGUUGCCAUUAGAGGCUGCUGACCUUAAUAUCAUUGAGUAACUCUGGAGAGAUCUCGAAUGUGCAGUUCAUGCAAGAUGAUCAACGACUUUGCAUGACCUGGAGGCAUUUUGCCAAGACAAAUGAGCAGCUAUACCACCUGCAAGAAUUAGGGGCCUCGUAGACAACUAUUAACAAAAGACUACACACUGUCAUUGAUACUAAAGCGGGCAAUACACACUAUUAAGAACUAAGGGUAUGCAGACUUUUGAACAGGGGUCACUUCAGUUUUUUCUUUUUGCCAUAUUUUGUUUUAUGGUUGUGCCAUUCUGUUAUUAUACAAUAAGAACCUCAUUCUGUUAGAAUCCCAUAAGAAAUACAAGAAAUGUGUUUUGCUUGCUCACUCAUGUUUUCUUUGCAAAUGGUACAUACAUGGGUAUGCAAACUUUUGAGCACAAGUGUAUGUAUGUAUAUAUGUGUGUGUAAAGUUUAAGUAUUUCUAUAUAGAUCUGUGUCUAUGCCUCAUAGCAAUACAUUUCAACAACAAUUCCCAACAACAUUAACCUGCUAAACAAUUUUUUAAAACUGUCUGCAGUUUGAUAUUUUAAAUUAUUGCAGAUACAUCAAUACUUUUAAAAGACAUUAGUCUUUUAGACAUCAUAGGAGUACCAGUUGAACUUGGGAACGAUAGAAGCUAUCGGACAUGUAGAAAUGGGACUGUGUCCAUAUAAAUAUACAGAUUGCUUUUAUUCGAAUCAGGUUAAUGAUGAACCUUCUCCAAAUAUUUGCAAACUAUCCUCCAUCCUGGUUACAAGGAUCAACAAGUAGAAAAGACGUAGGUUUCACAGAAGUAAUUUAUUAACCUACUGCAUUCUAAAACAUUUGGUUCUCUAUUUCACACCUCUAAAACAUUAUAUAACAUUACUCAACCAAGGAAACAGAAUUUUAAAUGAGAAAAGGGUAAAACUAUUUAAUUACUUCCAUAAUAUAAUUUGAAGAAAAAAAACAAAUGUGGUUAAAUUCAUUAAUUAACAUAAUCUUUAGUUAGGGUAUAUUACACGAUCAUUCAAGCUUUUUUUUUUUUACUUUCCAGCAAAGUGUGGUCCAAAGUACUUUGACCUUCUGAAAGCCUAUCAUAACAAAAAUAACUUUUUUAAAAACAUGCUUCAUGCUCAAUUUUUUUAUGUAUUUGAAAAUGGAUAAAAAACCCCGCAAGGAACGUCAUGAUAAAUAUACUCAUAUUUGAAGUUGCAGUAUUAGCUGCUAUUCCUUCAGGAUUUGUAGCUUCUGCAAUGAGCUCUCACAAAAGCAGGAACAUUUUGUAUAAGGUGACAGAAGCCCGGCAUUGAAAACUGCAUUCGUAAUUUUUCAGAGUGUAUUUGUUAAAUUUCACAAUUAAGAGAUGCACAUCAUACACCAGCCCAAGACUUCAACUGACAUCUAUUAUAAAAACCAUAAGUAAAUGUACCAUCAAAUAGGAUGUAGGUAAUUCACUAAACACCCAAUUUUGUAUGAAUGGAAAAAAAAUCUGGUGAAAAUGGCAGAAUCCAACUGAAUUGUCAAUUCUCAUAUUUACUAAAGCUUAUUUGAUUGGAUUUUGCACAACAGACCGAGUCUGCAUAGUUGGCCGGAUGCACUUGGUGUCCAGAUUAAAUACACAUUUUUUCACAUCCAAACCCUAUACAAAGUAUAAGAUUCUGAAUAUUCACAAAGCACAGAUUUAAAAGAAAAAAAUCGGAACCAAAUGCAUUUAGCAGGAUGCACAUUUUGCUAAUUAUUGUUCACUUGCUUUUUCCAAGCAAUCAGUCACUUUAAGUACUAUUUUUUUUUUUCUUUAUAAUUCUUUAUUUUUGUAUUGACACAAAGUAUACAGACAAUUGUCAGGUAACAAUAAUCGGAAUGCAACGUAAACAAUUUGCGAACAUCUGUCACAUAGAACUAUUCAUUGGGCAUUGCCCUAUCUUAUAGUACAUGAGAGUGUAAUCGUCGUGCCCAUUUCAAAUGCUUGGUGCAUGUAUUUCAUAUCUGACUUCCGGUUGCUUAAUGAUGGUCAACACUAUUUUUGUUUUAUCAAGAACAUGAGAAGGAAAGUUGACAGAAAGGAAAAACCUGUCACUCUGUUAUCUCUCAAUCUAUAUGAUACCUCCAGGACUAUCAAGUGCUGGUGUCUAGCCAAUGCUCUCCAAUAAUUUGACUGGGCUUACUAUCUGUGCGAUUUCGAUUGGGUAAUCCUUGGAUCGUGUGUUGACACACUUAUCUGUUACAUAUCCUAUGGCGUCUAUCUGGAUUUUUAACUCCAUAGGAGGAAAGCACUUGGCAUUUCCUAUUGGUGGUUCGUAAUGUGGAUCUAACUUUAGUCUGUGCCGGCUCUUCUACUGAAGAACGAAAUAGAGAAGUAAAGAAGGAUAGUAAGGGUAGAUAAAACUGGGACAGAAGGGUGGGGGGGGAAGGGGGCAUUCGAGUUUGGCCGGCCAUUCACGCUGGAGCCUUGCUUCUUAGAGGGCAGUUUUCCCAAGGUUCCCAUAUCCUCUGGAAGGUUUUUAAAGUGCCUCUAACUCUAGCUGUUAGGUUGUCCAUUAGGUGAACCUCUUUUAUUCUAUGUAUCACCCCUGCUAUGGAUGGUGUAUUUGGCUGAAGCCACUCUGAGGCUACGGCUCUCCGUGCUGCUAAUGUAAUUUUGUGAAUAAGCUUUUGUUCGUACCUAGUCCAUCCAUCUAUAGGCCUGCUUAAUAGGUAAAGCCAUGGAUCUACCUCAGGGGCUCUUGAAAAAAACCUCUGAUAGUAGGGCCUUUAUCAGUUUCCAGAAAGUGAACAUCUGUGGACAUUCCCGCCACAUGUGGAUAUAUGUCCCUCUCAAUCCACAGCCUCUCCAACACUCAUCCGUAGUGUUUUUUUUCAUUUGAUAUAGUUUGACUGGGGUAGUGUACCAACCGAGCAUUGUUUUAAUUGAUUGUUCCUGUAGAGUGACACGCACCGAUGAGGUGUGAUUAGCCUCCCAUAUCUCCUGCCACUCUAUACCCUCUAACUCCUCCCCUAGGUCUCUCUCCCAAUGAUCCGUAUAGGACACCUUUCCCCAGUCUCUAGUUUCUGAACAGAGGUGGGCAUACAUGAGCGUAAUAAGACCUCUCGGUAUGGCUUCUUGUAAGGACACCUUUUGUUGAGCCGCCGCUCUUAUGUGUGGUAGUUUAGCAAAGUCCCUAAUUUGGAUAUAUCUAAAAAAAUCAGAUGGGGUAAGGUCUUCUGUUAAUUUUUUAGAUCUUAAUAUUUUUAUUAUGGGUCUGUUCAAACCAAAACAUUUUUUAAAAAGGUAUGUACCAAUACUAUAAUAGAUCAAUCUAGUUGCCAUUAUAGGCCAUGGCUAGAAGGUAUUCCUAAGAGCCAAUUUCUUCGCCUUUAUCGCAAUUGUUCACAAACCAAUGACUUUAUAGCCCAAUCUGCUUCGCUUAAAAAUAAAUUUAUAGAAAAAAACUAUUCAAAAACUAGAUACUACUUUGAAUAUAGUAAAAAGUCAAGAUAGAAAUACCCUAUUAGAAUAUAAGGAUAAUAAAAAAGACCCACCACUAUUACCCAUUAUUUUGGAUUUUAACAACAAAAAUAAAGCUAUAAAAAAAUACUUAAUAAACAUUGGCAUAUUCUCAAACAAGACGACCUUCUAAAGGACCAAAUUCCAAAUAGAUCCAAUAUUAUAUUUAGAGGGGCCCCUAGCUUUAAGAAUACUCUUACAAAAAACUACACAAAAACUAAUAUACGCCACAAUAAGGAUUUUAUGACAAAACCUUUUUAGGUGCAAUAGAUGCAUUGUGUGCAAAACUACAAACUCAUCAACUACUAAAUCAAAGACCACUCACUUCUCCUCGACAAAUACAGGCAAAUCAUAUCCCAUAAAAGAUUUUAUUGGGUGUAAUUCAAAGAAUAUUAUUUAUCUUUUAGAAUGCCCUUGCGGGCUACAAUAUGUAGGCAUGACAACAAGGUGUUUGAAAACCAGACUUGCCGAACACUGCCGUAACAUUAUUAAAGGUUAUGAAAACCAUUCUGUAUCUAAACACUUUAUUAAACAUAAUAAAAACCCUAAACUACUCAAAUGUAUGGGCAUUGAACAUUGUAACACCCCCUGGAGAGGGGGUGAUAUGAGAAAGAUUCUUGGAAAGAAAGAGAUGGAAUGGGUAUUCCAGCUUAAAACAUUUUCUCCAGAGGGUCUUAAUCUUGAGUUUGACCUUUUUAACUUUUUAUAAUUAUAUCACUAUAUUAGUUUCUUAUUUUUAUUCUUUUUAACUAUACUAUAAUUUUUAUUCCCAUUUCAUCCAUCUUUUUUUGGGUGUUUUUCACAUUACUCUUAUUUUAUUUAUACCUGUCCCUAUUUUAUUCACACAUAUACUUAUGCUAUAUACAUUUGUCUUUUAUUUCCCUUUUUUAUAAUAUUUUAUCUUCCCCUCCAAUUCCCAAUUUUUUAGGAUACUAGUCUUUUUCCUUUUCAUAUUUUCCCAUAUCAUACUACAUUUGUAUUUUUAUUUCUUUUAUUUCCUUUGUCCCUAUGUUUUAAUAUGCUUCUUCCUAUUUUAAAUAUCAAUAUGCUUGUUUUUAUUCUGUUUCUAUUUUAUUGUGGCCGAAAACGAGCUAAUGCUCAUUCUACUACACUUCCCAUCUCCCCUUUCGCGGUUAUACAUAGACGUAGGCGCGCUAUUGGUUCCACCACGUCAUGUGACCGCCGAAACCCGGAAGUAGGAUAUGCCUACAUUUCCCACCUCCCUCUCAGCCCUAUUCCGUUACUACUAUUCUGUUAUUGGCUGCUGUGCGGUCACAUGACCGCGAACAUCACAAUAACCCUCCGUUUUAGGAUUACUUUUUUAUCAAGUCUGUGCUUCCCAUAUUUAUUGCCUCAUAUGUCUACUAUGUUUUUUAGCUCACUUAUAUACUUAUGAAGCUUCUCUCACAUUAAAAUAACUUUUCAAUCACAUAAAUGUUGUUUUAUUAUUUUAUGCAUAAAUUAUGAUGUCAUUUUGGCGCCAAUUUCGAAAUUGUUAAUGAACUGAAAGGUUAUUUAAACCACUGUAAACCAGGUCUCUGUUUCCUAUUGCCAUUUGAAAAAGCCCUGUGUGGCGAAACGCGUUUUGGCUAUCUUACUAUUUUAUAUUAUUUUAUACUUUAUCAUUAAAGGAUUAUUGGCUAAUUUAUCACUUUUCUCUUUGCCAUAUACCUUUUAUUUUAAUUAUUUUUUAUUUUUUUUCAUUUUUGGACCUGGUUUUUAUUUCUAUUUUAUUACCUUUUUGUACAAGAAUCCUAGGUGGGGAUGAUACCACCUACACCAUACUAGUGAGCAGUAUUUCCUGCUCACUUAAAUGUGAGUAUUUUACAUAUAUUUUAUUUCUAUAAAAUUACCACAUUUAUACAGUGAGCACUAUUCUGUGUUACCCUCUUCUCUCUCGAGGAUCUCCGUUACGUGAAUACGUCUAUAUCCCACCAGUGGGGGACCAAUACCACUGAAUGCGAAGUAUACCUGAGCUAGUUCUAGCUCUAAUAUAGGUGAGUGUGAUACCUUUCACUUUGUAUCCUCAUAAAGAAGCGGAAAAUACAGUCUACACUAUUGGAUCUUUUCUUCUGCUCUCUUUUACAUAUUGGUAUCUGGAACAAGACGCUACACUCAUCUUUUCCAAUCCCAUUUGGACUAUCUCUUUCCCUCAAGUGGAUGUGACCAUUCCCUACUUAUUUUAGGACUGUUUAUCAUUUUCUUUUUGUAUGUACUGCUAUAUGUAAGUACUUACCACAUUAUUUAUAUGUGUUUUACUUGUUUUAUAUGAGAUAUUUUAGUUUUUAUUUACGGUUGUAUUAUUUGUUUUACCUUGUUAUACUCAUUUUUUGGCGCGACCUAAUAUCUCCUUUCCUUUAGAUUUUGUAUCUCUUUGACGUAUAGUGAGGGAACGUCUUCAUUUUAGGUUGCUGCCUAUAUUCAUACUCUACACUAUUCUAUUGAAACACUAAGCGCUGAACCCACUACCAUUUACACUUCACUCUAUCGAACGCUUUUUCUGCCUCAAGCGAUACUAGUAGCGUUGGGGUCCAAGUGACUGUCUGCUUCCAUAUCAGGUCCAUGUUCCUUCGGGUGUUUUCAAAUAACUGUCUGCCUCGAUCAUAUUCACUAGGAAGGGGUUAAGCCUGUCUGCUUGGAUUUUUGCCAGUAUUUUAAUAUCAUGGUUUAUUAGGGAUAUGGGCCUAUAACUUUCGGGCAGUAGUGGGUCCUUAUUUGGUUUUGGCAGUAAUACUAUGGUAGCCAGGGACAUAUCUGGGUUUGGUGUGCCUCCCGUCCUAAACCUAUUGAAUACUGUAGUUAAGUGGGGUGUGAGUUUGUCUCGGAACGUCUUAUAAUAGCUACCAUCGAAGCCGUCUGGUCCAGGAGCCCUAUUCCCUUUUAACGUGGUGAUUGAUCUAUCUAUUUCAUCCGGGGUGAUAUCCGCAGCCAGAGUUUCAACAGCUUCCUGUGGCAACUUGGGGCAGACCUAGGUCGCUAAGGAACCUACGCGUCAAGUCUUCUUCUCUUGCCGUCGACGUCCCUGAGCUCGGGGAGUGAUUAUAUAGUGAUUUAUAAAUAUCUGUGAAUACAUCUGCAAUGUCUUUGGGCAUGGUUUUUAUGGAGUUAUCAGGGUGGCGUAUAGAUGUAAUGUGACCACGUCUAAUUCUGGGUUUAAGGACCCUGGCUAGCAAGGUAUCCAUCUUGUUAGCAUGUUCAUAAAAUGUUCUUCUGGACCACGUCAUGGAUCUCGCCGUGUCAUCUAGCAAUAAGGUGUGUAUGUUAUGUCGUACCUUGUCUAAGCAUCUAUAUGUUUCAUCAUCUGGGUUUCCCUUGUGUCUCUGUUCUAAGGUCCGUAAAUCGGUCAUCAGUCCCUCUAGCUUUUGGAAUUUUAACCUCUUUUUGGCAGUUGCUAUCUUUAUCAGGGAUCCUCUUAUGACAGUUUUGUGUGCUGCCCAUAUAGUUUCUGGCUGCAGAUCCGGGGUAGUAUUAGUGUUAAAAAACUCUGAGUUAUCUAAACAGAGCCAUUCUACGGUCUCUGGGUCCCGUAGAAAGGAUGCGUUUAAUUUACCCGUCCACGGGGAUGCGACGCAUAGGUUCCCCAGUGUAAGGUGGACAUCCGCAUGAUCGGACCAGGAGAUGGACCCUAUCUCAGAUCCCACUACUCGGGCCAGCGCUCUGUCAUUAAUGAGGAACAUAUCUAUUCGUGAAUACGUGCAAUGUGGGGCUGAAUUGAAGGUGAAAUCCUAAGUGCUCGGAUGAUGUGCUCUCCAUACGUCCACCAACUCGGCGUCCGCGACAAACCUGUGGAGCAAUUUAUCCUGUCCACCCCGCCCUUGUGAUCUGGGGACCCCUCUUUGCGAGCUCCUAUCCAUGGCAGGGCUAGCUACAGCAUUAAAGUUUCCUCCUAGAAUGAUCAUACCGUGAGGCAGAGCCUGUAUUUUGGCCCUUAGUCUAUCCCAGAACCCCGCGACGGGUUGAUUUGGGGCGUAAAUGUUAAUAAGAUGUAUCGUGUGUGAGAGUAAUAUGCCUGAUAUGAUGAUGUAGCAUCCGUCCUGGUCUGAGUCAUAAGUUGUUAUUUGUAUUGGACAGUUGUUGCGAAUGAGAAUAGGGACGCCAUUGCGCUUGCAAUGCCUUCUAGCUUCGUAAGUCCCUCCGAAUGUAUGGUCUUUUAAUUAGAAUUUAGCCUGUUUCGAAAUAUGGGUCUCCUGUAUAAAAGCUAUGUCUGACUUCAUCCGUUUCAAUGCUCUGAAAAGGAGGCAUCUCUUGUUCGGUGUGUUAAGGCCCUUUACAUUUAAGGACGUAAGUUUCAUAGCCAUGUUCUUGUCCCGAGGGUGUUGCUUCUUGUUAUGCCCACCUCUGCUCCCGUGGCACGUUGCUCGCCCAAUUUAUGGGCUCCUGCCCCCAGGGAAAGAAGGGAAAAGAAAGGGUAGGAGAAAGAAAGGGGAUAAAGAAGAGAAACACGUAAAAAGAAAGUUGAGCCCUACUGGUGCUCAACCAUAAUUGUCUGGUCUUACCAUUUGCCAGACCAAUGUGGGGUUCACGACCCUCCAUCUUGCCCGCGGCCAGCACCAGAAAUAGAUGUGGGUCAGUGAGCCUCUAACCUAACCACGCUGCUUUGUAUCUGUCCUAAGCUAAUACUCUGUGUUGAGAGAACUACUUUUCGCCAAUGGAAGGUUGGUUUGUGGGUCUGUGUUUACGAAUUCACUGCUAUCAUGUACAUACAGUUAAACAUUUUUAGCAGAAGGAUCAAUACGAAAACAACAAUAAUAAACUAUUGUAUCAUACGUAACAUAACAUUUCCUAGACAAGGUGUUGGAUGCCUUUAGUGUCUCAGUGGGUACAAUCCCCUUGUGCGUCGUCUGGCACUCCAGAUUUCUAUAUGGAGUGUUAUAUGAUUGUGCCGUGUCUUAGGGUGGGGAAUCCCCCCUCAGGUGUUAUAGGCAAACUGUGUCUCUAUAAGUAAGUUGAUCAUAGCUCAACAUCUUUCUCCGCAGGGUUUCAGCCCGCGUCCUUGUAGGUUUAAUGGGGUCAGUCCCAUUACGAGCCCAAGUAGGUAGGUCGUUAUCUACUAAGUUAUGCUGGGCUUAUCUGGGCCUCUGGGUGGUUGGGGCUAUGCUUGUGCAGCGGUACAGGUCGUGUUGGUCAUCUAAGGAUGGGUGUAUAGAGUGUCUCCAAGCUGUGUAACCUGGAUUCCUGAUGGUGGGGUGGGUGUAUCUGUGUGGGUAGGGUUUUUUUUUGCCAAUUUUCGGUUUCUGUUUUUCCCCCCUUUUUAAUUAUUAUUCUUGUGUUUUGGUUUUUUUUUGUGGGUGGAUUUAUUUAAGUUAGGCAAAUGUCUACCCAUCGCUCCCUCUCUUAGUUGGAGUCCCUUCUGUCAGUCGGUGGGGGCAAUCCAGGACCCCUCAAACCAAGGAUCGUUUAUAUCUGUAAUCCCCUCCCCAGUCCACAGGGGAUCGGUAUCUCUCUACUCCCCACUGUAACCUUGCGUCGGAUGUCUUUUUUUUUCUCCUUACACCUUCUUUUCUACAGACCCACAAAGGUUCAAAUAAAAAAAAACAUAAUUCCAGGCUUUACUUGCUGACGAGGCCCUUAGAAGGCCAAAAUGGUUGUCUGGUGUUGCUGUAUCUCUUGUGCAGCGAGGAAUCGCCAACAUUUCGGUUCUGGACUGCCUUGUGGGUAGGGUUACCAUAUCCACCAUGUUUUCAGGGACACAUAUAAUUUUGUCAUAUUUUUGAAAAGAGUUGCUCUGUAGUAUGUAUACUGCGUUUUUGCAGGAUUCUCCACUGCCUAAUUACUUAAUUUUAUACACUGUCUUUUGAUGUCUACAUACUACAACCCUUGUCAUGUGUGGUAGAGUAAAUUAAAUUAGGGAGCAACGCCUUGAAGAAGAGGUCCUCAAAUCCAAGAUUAUAUUUAAUGGAAAAAGAAGAUAAAAGGAAGAGGAUUUAGUGUAGUAUACAGAUACUUAAAUAUGGAGAAAAAGAGAAAUACACUUACAAUGUAACGUCCUUGCUGUACAAUCCCCACCUAUGGAUAUAGGCCUGAAAUCUUGAUCCAAUGUAGUAUGGAUUGGAUAUGCAAUACAAACAUGAAGACACAAUUGUGUAGUAUGUCAGAAGUCGAAGGUUGUUAAUAAACUUUAUAUACAUGUACACUCACAUUUAAUGGAGACUUCUCCAUGUAUAAAGCUUGGAGUGGAAUGAUAUCUACUCUUGGAUAUUUGUGUAGUAUCCUAUAACCUAUAUAUAUAGGUUAAAAUCCUCACCAUGAUAGAAGAACAGAAAAUAAAUAUAGUGCACACUGGAUUAUUAAAAUCUAAUCAAAUAAUAGGAGAUGUACUAACUUGGUUGAGAGCAAAAGAUGAUUUAACUCAAACCAAAAGAAUAGGUGAUAUAUACCAAGGGAAAUGAUGUCCCACUAUCAGGGAAACCAGGAAGAUGCAAAGGUAGUAGUAAAAAUAUAAACUUUAUUAGAAAAGUAAUACUAAAAACAAUAAAAUAGCACACAAUGCGUUUCACCCAAUAGAUCAGCUUUUUCAAGUGUAGUACAGCCAAUAGGGACAUUCACAAUCUUAAUUUUUUUUUUAAAUAACGGCUAUUAUGUAAAGUGACAAUGUUUUAUUUAACUAUACAACAAAUGAAAAUACAUAAAAGACACUGUGUGAGCAAAACAAAAAAAGGAAAAAGGACCAUGAAAAUGUAUUAAAAAAAAUGAAAAAAUAGUUUAUAUAAACUUAGCGCAAUAUAUAUAAAAACUAUGUGGGUGUAGAAAAGAUGGCACUCGAAUCACUAUCCAGAUACAGCUACUACAAACCCCUAAUCCCCUCUUCCCCCUAAAAAAAUAUCAACACAAUUCCCUUUACACUUCAUACCACCAAAAAUAUAUCACAUAAACUUCUCCAAAAAUAUUUCCCAUAUCAAAAGAGACAACAAUAUCAUUCCAAAGGUUUUCUUACAUAAAACAACACAUAAAUACAUAUUCCUCAAACUGCAAAGAAAAAUAAUUACCGCUACCCACUUUUUAAAAAAAUAAGACCCCUAACAGACAAAUUCUUAGAGCACCAUUAUUAUUAAAUGAUUUAAUUAAAAGGAAUCACUUCUAUUAUCUGAUUAUACCUCUGACAUAGAUCAUUUUUUAGAGAUAGGUACAGCCUAAUAUCGAACAGAAAAGAGAGGGGGGAAAAGAAGCCUAACACUAGAGGAAAAAGAAGUGGCAGAAAAAGGCAGAAAAAGUAACAUUAAGGUAGGAAAAAAAACACAAAAAAACUCUGAAGGACCUCAGUAGUUUUAAUCUUUCCCAUAAAGCUUUAAACGCUAUAUGCCCCAACAUGGAAAUGUAAUCAUAUAUAAUAAUAUAUAAUCAGUAAUUAAAUUUUGGGGUUCCCAAGCCUAUAUAUUAUAUAGUCAUAUAUUUGGACACCUUUUUGACUAUUUUAUUUUUUAUCAGUGGCUGUGCCAGUCACAAGACCUGGACCGCAACUCCAUCCUUCUUUUCUCCCAAAGCCAUGCCCUUCUUACUACUCACAUCUAUUGGCCAGGCUUGGCUCUUAUAAAACACAUUUUAGAAUUUCACUUUUAUUUCCCCAACCACCUACACACCUCUCUAAUAUAGUGCUUCAUUUUGGCCACAUUUUGAAGUUGUGGCCAUGCCGAGAACAUGGCGUGAACUGUGGCGCCAUCUUGUUGCACUCAUCCAGUUUUUUAUAUAUUACUCUUUUUAAUAAACUUUGUCAAGUUCCUGUUUCCCUUCUUUUUCCCUACACAGUGUCUUUUAUGUAUUUAAUUUUGUUGAAUAGUUAAUUUUAAAAUGGUCACAUGACUUAUGACAUCAUAUGACAUUAUUUUUCAUAUUCUAAGCAUGUUCACUGGUAUAUAAGCAGCGGAGGUCCCUAUUAUCUGUAAUACACUUGUAAAAGCUUAUGCAAAAGCAGCCUUCUAUAUUUGGAUAUUAAGAGCUAGAAACCUAUCUACCUCUAAUUUUCAAUUCUUGUCAUAUGCUGACUAUCAAUAUGUAUAGAUGAUAUGUGUCCAAGCAAAACAUGGUGGAUUCGGUAACCCUACUAAUGGAGAGGGGUAGGGCAGUCCUAUAUGCAAAUUGUAUAGUUUUUUUCUGUAAAAGCACAUUUUUUCUGCACAUUAACCUGAACAUUGUACACAUAAUGUGUGGGUGUGUACAUUCUCCCAUUUUAAUGCUAUUAUAUUUCAUGGAAGAUGUAGUUUUGUACUGCAACUCCACAGUAAUGGUUCCACCAAUAUGUGAUCUACUGCAUUUUUAAUGGACAUCUCCCACUAUAAUGUUACAGAGGCAUAGGGCAACUCACUGAUUCUGGAGCCCCAACACUUCAUAAAGCCCUUAUUCUCCCACGUUUGUUAACCUCCAUUCUACCCUCCAUACACCUAAGGACUCAGUACACUUUGGACAAUUCCUCAAAGCUACCCUCUAAUGCAGCAGUGUCAAUCUCUGGCCACCUCCCCAAACUGCCACCAUACAAUCUCUUUAUCUUAUGGUGAUAUGUCUCAAUUAUUUAAGCCUAGGAGUCAUAGAUUUCUCAUACCUACUUCAGGGUAGGAACUCCUUUCAUCUAAGAACCCAAACCCUUUAUUUUGGAACCCCAUGUCCUAAAGAGCACCCAAACCCUUUAUUUUGGAACCACCAUGUCCUGAAGCACCUCCUAAUUUCAUUAAAUGCCAGUCUUUUAGCACCCCUCUUUUCAAGAUGUGUCUCUCUCCAAACAUUUGCUCUGCAUAUGAUAUGCAGAUAUCUUAGUGUUCUCGAACAUUUUGCUAUAUAAAAUUAAUACUCUGAUUGGUCCAUAUAAACAGUAAUGGGACAAAUGCAGACAAAUAAAUGCAGACAAAUAAAUGAGGACACAACCUAUGGUUGUUAGUCAUAUAGGGAAACAGCUACUUUUGACCACAUGGGAAUAUUUAUUCUCGGAAUACCUGCCGUGUCCAACCCACCUUAAAGACUACUAUGAUACAUGUCAUAGAUAGAUGCACAGUACCAGGUGUGGGCAUCACAUGAUACCAUUGAAUGCACCCCAAGGUGCCCCCUUCCCCUAGCUAAAAUAUAACAUGUUUCUUUAUUAACAUGUAAUUCUUCACAUUAUACUUUGUGUAAUACAAAACUACACAUUUGAGUGCAACCUCCUAUGUAUUGCCUGUGUUAUCUUGCUAAUAUGUCCUGCCAUCUAUUGGUUGUUGUCUGUAUGAUCUUGUAAUGUUUGACACUGUUUGUGUAAUCUUUGUUGCUUUGUGUAUAUCAAUGUAGUGUCUGCCCCUCCAUAUUUCUCAGACCUCUCUCUUUUUUUUGGCUCCUUGUCUAACUAAUAAAAAUUGUAACAUAAAAAUUAAGCACUUCUAAACCAAUACUAUAUUGCAAAAUUAAUUUGUCAGUCUGCCAUUAACACUAUGCUACUGCCAGUCUGGCAUCCAUAUAUUACAUCUAAGGAUAUAUACAUAUCCUUAUAUUAUGUUACAUUAUGUUAUAGGACAGGUUAUAUUCUAUAUGUAUUUAUAUAUAUACAUACACAUACACACACACACACACACACACACACACACAUUAAAACCUCUGAUGAAGUGAAGUGAAUAGCAUUGAGUAUAUUGUUACAAUGGCUCCUGUCAAGCCAUGGGGUAUAUUAGGCAGCAAGUAAACAGUCAGUUAUUACAUUUUAGGUGUUGGAAGAAAAAUGGGCAAUCAAAAAGAUCUGAGUGACAGGGUGAGGGCCCAAACAGUGAUGGCAGAACACACAGUGCAUCACAGCAAACCAGUUAUAGUGCUCAUAAGUGAGCAUCAGAACUGGACAAUGGAGCAAGGAAAAGGACUGCCUGAUCUGAUUAAUCAAAUUUUCAUUUAGAACAGGUGGAUGGCCCUGUGCAUAUGUCUUUUGCCUAGGGAAGAGAUGGCAGCAGGAUGCACUAUGGGAAGAAGGCAGGCUGGAAGAGACAGUGUUAUACUCUGGGCACUGUUCUGCUGGAAAACCUUGGGACCUGGCAUUCAUGUGGAUGUUACUUUAAAAUGUACAACCUACCUAGAGAUUGUUGCAGACCACAAACACCCCAUCAUGGCAAUGGUGUUCACUGAUGGCAGUGACCUCUUUGAGCAGGAUAAAGCACCCUGCCACUUGGCAUAAACUGUUCAGGAAUGUUUGCAGAACAUGUAAAAGUGUUCAAGGUGUUGCCUUAGCCUCCAAAUUCCCCUGAUCUCAAUCUGACUGAGCAUCUGUGGGAUGUGCUGGAACAACAAAUACAAUCCAUGAAGUCCACACUUCACAACUUGCAGGACUUAAAUAGUCUACUGCUAAUGUCUUGUUGCCAGAUACCACUGAACAUAUUCAGACGUCUUGUUAAAUCCACAUCUUGAUGCAUUAGAGCUGUUUUUGCAGCAUGAGGGGGACCAACAUGAAUGUAGGCAGGUGGUUUUAAUGUUGUAGCUGAUCAGUGUAUAUAUGUACAAAAUAUUACUGUUAUGCAUCACCUGCAUGACUCAUGUUGGACUUUUAGGGGUCUUCCUUGGGCAUAAAAACUUGAGAAAUGCUUUUUCCACAACUAUACCAGAGUUCCUAGCUUGACAUGCAGAUGUACACAGGCAAGCAUUGUGUUUCAUACUCAAUACAUAAUUUCUGCAGAUACCCAAAUCAAUAGACACAGCUUGUAUUAAACCAAAGCAUGAGCUAAGAUACAAAAGGAUCAGUAACGAAUGUCUCACCGACAUUCAGUUCUGGUCUUGAAGUUGAAGUCUCUCCGAGAGCAUAAAUAUUUAACAAGAGAUUAUGGAGAGGUAAAACACAAUACAACUCCCCACAGUGUAAAUAUAAAAAACUACUCUUAUGCAUCACAUUAUUUCAAAUUAGACUAUGAGUAGUCCUUCUUGGGCAUAGAAACCUUAUCAAUCAUGUUUCCACAACAUUGGAGUCUGAGUGUUCUGCACAGUAUCUUAGUUGUUCCUAGAGCUGCUUCCUUCUGGACAAAGAUCUCAGAUGUGCCACUUGAAAUCUGCUGAAACCACUUUACCAACGUGGGGGUCACAGCCCAGAGAGUAACUAUCACAUGUGGGGCUACUGUUCCCUUCACUUUCAACAUCCUUUCUAGCUACUCUUUCAGUAUUUAUUUGCUCACCUUCUCAAAUUUCUCCUUCUUGAUGUUAUGGUCACUUGGUAUUGCUACAUUCAGUAGCACUGCAGUCUCCCAUUCCUUUUCUACCACUAUGAUGUCAGGUUACUUGACCAGUACUUGCAUGCCUGUCUGGACAUGGAUGUCUCCACAGUAUCUUAGCCAUGCCAUUCUAAACAACCUUUUGUGUAUCUCCCAUCUGGAUUUAAGCAGGAACAGCCCAUAUUCCGUGCAGAUGGUUUGGUACACCAUCCCAGCAAUUUACUGAUGCCUCUCAGUGUAUGCUGUUAUUGCUAACAUCUUACACCUGGCUACGAAGUGCUGGAUGUUCUUGAUGACCUCUUUGAAUAGUUUGGUGUAGUAGGCCCCUGCUUUAUUUAUAUGGUGCUGAGUGCAUAUUCUUGUGCUGCUAGGAUUAGUGCUUCAGUAAUGUCUCCCAGUCCUUCUUUUUCCAACCACCAAAGAAUUUCAUAAUCUGAGCCACAUUUACUAUGUGCGUGGUACAUCCCAUGGAGAGGUUUAUCUUGCCAAAGAACCUCCUCAUUUUCUGUAUCCUCUACUUGUUAUUGUCUCAGGUAUCCCUUUAGCAGUUUAUCUUUGGGAGCCAUCUUUGUGAUGUGUUUGUUGAUGUUCUGCGCUUCAUCCAGAACUGUGGCAUUGACACUCGUCACCCUGUCCUCCUUCCUUCUGGCUGGUGUACAGCCCCUGGGUGCUGGAUUUCAGGUGGAUUCCUCCUAAGUAGUUUCUGGGUCUUGAUAUCCAUGGUGUCCACGUCUUCUCUUGGCCAGGUUAUUAUUCCAGCUGGGUAUCUGAUGACUGGUAGGGUGUUAGGACCCAAUUCUUGCCAUUGAGCUUGGACUUCAGGACCUUUUUGACUCUCUGGAGAAGCUUGGAUGUUGCUAUUCUCCUUGCCUCUUCCUCAUGGUGGCCGUGUGUAUGUGGUAUCCCCAGGUACUUGUAGCUGUUUUCUAUAUAUCCUAUUUUGCCUUCUGACACUUUAUCUCCUUCAUCCUGAUCAUCUUCCCUCUUUUUGCUAUCAUCCAUCCACACUUAUCUACUCUAAACCAAAUUCAGAUGUCCUUGCUAUGUGGAUCAAUGAGUCAAUGGCCCACUAAUUCUUGACAUACAGCUUGAUGUAGAGGAGGUGGUUGAUGGUAAUUCCACUCUUGAACCUUUAUUUAUAUUCACUAUGCAUGAUGAUCUGGCUGUGAGGGUUGAGGCCUAUGAAGAGAAGGAACCAAGGAUAGUGCAUGACCUUGUUAUUUGACACAUUUGAUGUUCACUUUUGUAUGAUUGUCCUUGUUGGGCUUUUAUAGAUCCAAGCAUUCCAGUAUCCAUGUGUGUGGCUUUGUGUCAUAGCCAUUCUCGUAGUAAAUCCACAAAUUCAUCUGUCUGGUCCUAGAAUCCCAUCUGACUACUUCUGUUUUUUUUUUUCCAUUCCCUUUCUAACUAUUGCUCAUGUAUUGACUCAUAUGUCCAUUGAUUUUGGAGGCUGUGAUGCCUGACAGGACCACCAAUGUUGUGGGGAGACAGGUAAUUGGUCUAUAGUUAGAUGGUGUUAAUAUCCUUCAUGAUAUAGUUCUGCCUUGUGUUAGCCAGUCAGGGUGAUACUUUUCCUAGUAGAUUGUUCAUUUCUGCCGCUAGGUUUUAAUUUUAAUGCACAGUUGUUAGUUUAUUUAUCCAGUAAGUGUAGAUCUUCAUGUGGGCUACUUGCUAGAACUCUGACUGUGAUGGUGGCUGGUUCCUGUUCUUGGAGCAUUCAGUCAUCUGCUUUCAGGUUUAGUAGCCACUGGGCCUUGGUGUUAUAUGACACUUCUUUCUCUCAGAUGUCUUUCAAAUAUUGUACAGUCUCUCCUCUGGGUGGAUUACUAUAGCAACCAUAGCACAUGCAUUGAGGUUGCUAUGUGUGAAGAACAGAAGGAGACUCUAAGUUGCAGAACUGACAGUUGGAAGAAAGACCUAUUUUUAAAUAGCUUUGUCUCCCAAUCUAUAGAUUUACUAUCAAAUAUGCUAGCAUGGAAUAUAAAUAAAAUGUUAUACUCUUUCCAAAGUUACAAUUUAAUUACCCUGAAACGACUAAUAUUUUGAAUUAGAAGAAGAAAUGUAUCAAUAAUAUAUAUAUAUAUAUAUAUAAAUAAAUAUAUAUAAACACCCUACAUAGCACAAUGACUUAUGGGGCUGACAUAGAAUUUUUUUCAGGGCUGCUUCGUAUCCCCAGUCCGGCCCUGCCUAGAGCACCUGCAUUGCAAAGACUGCUCAUUGAACUGCAUUGGGAAAUUUGUGAUUGAACAGUCACAGAAAGUCUGGGCAAGGCUUGCAAGAUGGCUGGAGAUCUGAAACUUUUACAAGCUGUUUUAGAUAUACCCCAAUGGAAAAAAAUGCAGCAAUAACUGCAUGUAUGUUUUCUUUGUGAGUAUAACUACUAGAUAGAAAAAAACUUCAAUUGGAAUGCUCCUUUAAUUCUUAUAAACCUAAACCUUAAUCUCAUAAUCAUAAUUCCCAAGCCCUAAACCCAUUAACCUCAAUUCAUCAAACCCUAAAUCUUAGCUAUAAUUCUCUUAACCUUAAUUUGCCCAAUUUUCAAUGACUGAGCCCAAGUACAUAGAAAGACAGGCAGACAGACAUGAUUUAAUGUAGGUGCAGUGAUGCUGGAGGUGCAGUGAUGAUAAUACAAGUGAACAAUGACAGAGUAUAAGCAUAAACAAUAGAAAUACACAGGAAAUUAAGGUCAUACUUGUCAGGAUAAUCUGCACAUUUUGUAGGCUAUUAAAACAAGUGAAUCAAUUGUGUUCUAACAUUGGUCAUAAGAAAGGUAUGUAAUCAACAUCUGAGUUGUGGACACAGAGGUGACAGAUAAAAUAGUAGCAUGAAAUAUCAGACAUGUCUAAGUUAAAGACAGGAGGUAGGAUACUUUCAACUGUGUACAACAUGUAUUAGUUAGAGGAUAAGGGUAAACUACCGGUACUUGAAGUAUUACAGCGCAGCAGCACCUCGCCAUGCGGGAAUAAAGACAAAUCAAAUGCACAGAGAAUGAGCCCAGUAAACAAGAUAAACCGAGGCAACAAACAUAAAAAAAAAAAAAACACAAAAUGAUCGGAGCACGUUAAAUUUAAGAGGAUCUUCAAAGCAGUAAUAAGUAUAUGAGCACUUCACCUAGUAAAGGCAUUUGGUGGGUAAGACCUAGUUAAAACACUGUGGUACUGCCCUCUGUUGCACUUAAACAGUCAGCCUAUACCCAAGACUGGGAAGCCUGGAACAAGAGUAUGUAAGGCAGCGUUACCUCCGUCAGGUUGGGGAGCAUUUCUCCUGCCCCAGGUCAGGUGACAGGCCUGCAAUCUUGCACUAUGGACUUGAGGGCUCCCAGAGUUCACGUCCUUCCCCGUAGGGGACAAACAGAGGACCAUAUGAGUACGGUGCCGCUGAUGGCAGUUUAUUGUCCGUCUCUGUGUGCAAUGUCUUGUCCCUUUUGGCCUUCGGCACAGGUGGGCUGGUAGUUGUGGGUAGACAUGUGCCAAAAGAGCGAUAGCCCUGGGAAGACUCACUCACUGACCAGAUCUCACUCUCCAGAGUCUCCUCCUGUCGCAAUGGCGCUGUGGCUGUCUGACGUGCCUCCAGGGUGUCCCAGAAACUAUUGAAGAGCCUGUCUAGCCAUGUCAUGAAGUGUUCGGUACGGCUGAGAUGGUCCGUGCGUCGUGGGUCUCUUGAAGAGAGGAUAACCGUCACUUUGUGAACGCGCACCGCUGCUUGUGUUCAGGAGGCAUAGCAGUGGAGAACCCCCACCGGUCCAAAAGUGGGGGAGAACCAAUCUGCUCAAUCUGGUCAGCCGGCCAAGAUGUCUCUUCCAUACCAGGUUCAUCUGGAGGCUGCAAAGUCUGUGGUCGGUCAAUCUGUGGAGUAGCGUCACAAGUUUAAUGUCGAUGGGUUCGUCUGGAUGUCCCCUCUCAUGCACAUGCUAUUAUGUGGCCUGAUCUGCAAAUCGGUGGCCAAUUAGCGCUUUAAAUCAAUGCUUAGAGCAGGAGCUCGUACAGCACGCGUCUGCUCUGCUCGGAUGUCAGCCCCCCCCCAAAGAAUGAUAUUAAUAAAUGUAUAUUAAGAAAAACACAGAUAUGUAACCAAUAGUAGAAAGUUGGUCAUCAUUAUUAUAAUGUAGAAGAUGAUCAUAAAUAAAGGAGAUGCAGAGAGGUGACAUAGCUCUAUCGUGCUCUAGAUUAAAUCGCACAUUUUAAAAUGCAGCCAUCCUUACUACAAUUUAGAAAUGUUGCUGUGUAUUUAAAACCUCAAUACAAUUUAUAUUGAUGCUGCUAGGGUAUAAGUAAGGGUUAGGGAAAGAUUAGGGUAAGUUUAGAAUUUGAGAGGAUAUUAAGUUAGAUUUAAAAAGUGUAAGGUUUGAAUAGAGGAAUUUUAAGGGUCUUUAGGGUCUUUAAUGCUAAGGGUAUUUACCGUUAGAGUUAAAGAAGCUUAACUUAAGGUUAGAAGGUAUUUACUAGGGACCCUGGGCUAAGGGAUUUUAGGAUUAAGAAUGAUUUAGAAUUGUUGGUAAUGGCCUUCAAUUCACUACUAAUUCUAACUCCUAUCAAUCUCAGCCAAGCUUCACAACCCUAACCAUUAGUCCAUACAACUUUUAUCCUUCUGAACCCUUCUAAUGGCACCUUCUGACAUUAUUCAUUUACUUUGUGAAUGUUACUGCAUUUAAAUUAAUAUUUUACACAAUGGGUUGUUACCUACAGGUAUAUCAAACUUUUAAUGGCUUAAUUAAGGUUGAGAGAGGAACAUUUUUUUUUCUUCUUAUUGUAAAUCAACAGACAACUUAAACUAAGCCUGGUAAGCUAAAAUUGCCAGUUUUCAGUUGUAUUUAUUCCUAUAAAAUGUAAGAAAUACUAAUAAUGUGACUUUUUAUAAUAAAGCAUUGGUAUAAGCUGGAAAAAAAUCUAUGCAUUGAUUUCCAUCACCACCAAAAUAAAAUCAUUUUCUCUUGCUUAAUAAACAUAUCCAACUACUGUAAAAGAGGGCAUCAUAAAAGAACGUUUGUUUUUUGGUGUUUAUAUAACCGUCUUGACUAAUCCACAAUGGGAUGGUGCGUCUUUAUUUAGAAGCAAGACAAAUCCCAGUGAAUCAAUGACAAGGUUCUUUGAGAGCAUCCAAUAUACGCUGGCAGAGGCCCAUCGCUGAUAAAUGCUAACAUCCUAAGAGUCUGGAAACAGACAGGAAGAUACAAGUUAUAAAACAGACUAUAGAGCUGGCUUGAAUUCCCUGAGAGCCAUUUUGAAUUUAUACAGAGACUUUGUGAAAAGGAAGUAAUUGAUUCGUGAACAGUGAAUGUUUUCUUCAUUAGAUGGGCAGAUGGCUGGCCUGCAUAAUCCAGCUUGCUUUUGUUUUUUAAUUCCAUCACACUCUUUUAUUAUUAUUUUUUAUUUUUUGCACCAGUAAUAGGAAAAAGAAAUAAUAAUAAUUAUUAUUAUUGCCAUUUAUAUAGCGCCAACAGAUUCCGUAGCGCUUUACAAUAUUAUGAGAGGGGGAUUUAACUAUAAAUAGGACAAUGACAAAAAACUUACGGGAACAAUAGGUUGAAGAGGACCCUGCUCAAUCAAGCUUACAUUCUAUAGGAGGUGGGGUGUAAGACACAUUAGGACAGGAAUUUGCAGUCAAAUAAGGUGGGAUGCCCUUUAGGAGAGAACAAGAGACAGGUAUGUGAGGUAGAGGUUAGUCUUGGAGGCCAUAAGCUUUCCUAAAGAGAUGGGUUUUAAGGCACUUCUUAAAAGAUGCAAGGCUAGGUGAGAGUCUGAUGGCGAUAGGCAGGCUAUUCCAUAGGAAGGGAACCGCCCGUGAGAAGUCCUGCAAGCGCGAGUUGGCCGUACGGAUGCGGACAAUGGACAGGAGGUGGUCACGGGCAGAGCGGAGAGACCGAGAAGGGACAUACAUAUGGAUCUGUGAGGAGAUAUAAGAGGGGCUAGAGUUGUUCAGUGCUUUAUAAGUGUGAAUUAAUACCUUGAAUUGACUCCUAUAGCAUACAGGAAGCCAAUGUAAGGACUGGCAGAGGGGUGAGAUGUGAGAGAACCGACUAGAGAGGAAAAUCAGUCUGGCAGCAGCGUUCAUUACGGACUGUAGCGGUGCAGUAUGGCUUUUGGGAAGACCAAUCAGGAGAGGGUUACAAUAAUCCAUGCGGGAAAUUACUAGAGCAUGGACAAGCUCCUUGGUAGUAUCUGGUGCAAGAAAGGGGCGGAUGCGGGCUGUGUUUUUAAGAUGGAAUCUACAGGAUUUGGCAACAUGCUGGAUGUGAGGCUCAAAGUUGAGGCCAGAAUCAAGUAUGAUGCCAAGACAGCGCGCUUGCAAGGAUGGACUGAUGUGGGUACCACAAACUUGAAGGGAGAGCGAAAUAGGAGGAUCAGUAUUAGGAGUAGGAAAAACAAGGAGCUCAGUUUUAGAGAGAUUGAAUUUCAGAAAGCAGGAGGACAUCCAGUCAGAGAUGGAAGAAAGGCAAGCAGUGACACGUUGCAGGACGGCAGGUGAGAGAUCCGGGGAGGAGAGAUAUAAUUGGGUGUCAUCAGCGUACAGGUGGUAGUGGAAUCAAAAAGAUGUAAUAAGUUUGCCAAGAGAGGCAGUAUAAAGAAAAUAGAAGGGGACCAAGGACAGAGCUUUGGGGGACUCCAACCGAGACAGGACGAGGGGAGGAGGUAUCAUUAGGAAAGGAGACAUUGAAUGAGCGUUGGGAGAGAUAAGAGGAAAACCACGAGAGGACAGAGUCACAGAGACCAAGUGAUUGAAGAGUUUGAAGAAGGAGAGCAUGAUCAACGGUGUCAAAGGCCGCAGAGGGGUCAAGAAGAAUUAGUAUGGAGUAGUGGCCUUUGUAUUUAGUUGCUAUUACGUCGUUAGUAACUUUUAUAGGUGCGGUCUCAGUAGAGUGGAGAGGGCGGAAACCAGAUUGAAGAGGGUCAAGGAGAGAGUUGGAAUUGAGGAAAUGAGACACGCGAAUAAACACAAGUCUUUCCAGAAGCUUUGAGGAAAAAGGGAGCAGGAAUAUGGGACGAUAGUUAGAGGGGGUGGACGGGUUGAGAGAUGGUUAAGGUUAAGGUCAGCAGGGACAAUGCCAGAAGAGAGAGAGCAGUUGAAGAUGUGCAUUAAGGAAGGCAGGAGACAAGUGGAGAGAGCUCUAAUAAGGUGAGAUGGGACAGAAUCGAGCGGGCAAGUGGUGGGGCCAGAGGAAAAGAGAAGAGCAGCCACCUCUUGGUCAGUAGCCGGGUAGAAUGUCUGAAGGGUAGGAAAGGCAUGAUCUAUGUAUGGUUGAGAAACAGAAUGGCAAGGAGGGGAGAAAUCUUUCCUUAGCUGUUCAAUCUUGUCAGUAAAGUAACAUGCAAAGUUGUCAGUAGUAAUCACUGCAUUGUUUCAACUUAUUCACAAACAUCUUCCAACAUGCUUACGAAAAAAUGUGCAACCGCUAGUGACACAGAAAUCGCUUUAAUAAUUAAUCUGUAAAUUUUAGGAAGUAGGCAACGUCAUAAAAAAGUCUGAAAUCAACUGAAAUUCCACUGCAAUGUAUCGAUAAAUGCACUUUUCUCUUUGCCAUCUUAAACUUUCCUACUUUGUUUAUAGAUCUAAAUUUUUUUGUAUGUAACAUGAGUAUGAAAAACAUUUUCACAUCUAUUAAAAAUAACCUAGGUUCAGAUAAACUGAUCACCUUUAUAAGACUAAUACAGUUAUUGAUCUUGACUCAUACUCCUGAUAAAACAUUCUGGAGUAAUAUGAACUGGUUUUCAAUGAAAGUUGCAGUAUAAGAAGCUAUGUAACAAACACAAACAGGAUAACAAUCAAAGUGUGAAUUGUCUUCACCCAGACUGCCUAUUUAUUGCCAACGCAGUGUCAGAUACAGGGCUGGAUUAACAUAGGGGCUGAGGGAGCUGAAGCUCCAGGCCCAUGACUAUGGAAUAGGCCCAUUGAUUUAAAAAGAAAAAAAUAUAUAUUUUUUUACAACUCUUCACAUGCUCUUGCUUAAGUAUGGAAACUUAAGAGGGAUGUAGGGGAACAAAACUGGUGUGGGCUAGCUGACAAUGAAAUUAGUUAAGGUAAAGCUGAUUUUACUUUGAGCAUUAUGCAAAUGCUCUUGCUGCUUCAGUUUCUCUAACACUGUGGCAUGUUCCCUUUCUUCUACACUCACUACAUACACUUUUUCUCUGUCCCAGACUGUAUAACAGGAGCUUCUGCCUACUAGUAAGAAGGCUAGGAGAGGAGUGGACCAGCGAGUGCUAGGGGACAAUCCUUAGAAAGCGUAGAGUUAGGACAUCAUUAAACUUAUUAAUGCCAAGCUCAGGGUGCUGUCUGCAUGGUAUGCCCUUGGUUGGGCAUUCUGCAUGAUUGGCAGGCAGACUGACAUGCAUUCACGCCAGGCUGGCCUUCCAGUUCUUUUUGCAGACAUGCCCCGUUUUUAAGCAUAUUUUUCCUCUUUGGCUGUUCUGGUCAGGGCUGGCCUUAGGGGUGUGCAAGCUGUGUGGCCACACAGGGCGCCAUGGAACAGGGGGCGCCAUGUGGCCAUCACAGCUUGCACAUGGCCAGGUGACAGGAGUGCAGGGGAGCUAAAACAGGUACCCCAGUGGAGGAUUUCAUUAAUCUCCACCCAGGUCUACACAUGUUUUUUUUUAAAAUCGAGGCAGCGAGGGCGGGGCUUACCGAGUGGCAGGGGUGGGGCUUAUCAUGAGGUGGAGGCGGGGCUAAGACCUACCCGAAGCCCCUGGUAACUGCUGCACAGGAAGAGGGAAGAAGGAAGGAGUCCCUGCUUCCCCAACAACCAACAGCAUCCACUCUCCCUUCCAGCCAUAAUGGAAAGAGGUAAGUCUCUGUGUGUGUGUGACUGUGACUGUCUGCCUGUGUGUGACUGUUUGCCUGUUUGUGUGAGUGCCUGACUGUGUGUCUGCCUGUGUGUGUGUGACGGUCUGCCUGCCUACCUGUAUGUGUGACUGUCUGUCUGUGUGACUGCCUGCCUGUGUGUGUGACUGUUGUUUGUGUGACUGCCUGCCUGUGUGUGUGACUGUCUGUCUGCCUGUGUGUGACUGCCUGCCUGUGUGUGUGUGACUGUUUGUCUGUGUGUGUGACUGUCUGCCUGCCUGUGUGUGUGACUGUCUGCCUGCCUGUGUGUGCGUGUGACUUUCUGCCUGUGUGUGACAGUCUACCUGUGUGUGACUGUCUGCCUGUGUGUGUGACUGUCUGCCUGUGUGUGACUGUAACUGUGUGCGACUCCAAUUGUGUGUGUUGCUGUAGCUGUGCCAUUGUGUGUGCAUGUAUGUGUGACUAUCUGCCUUUAACUGAGUGUGGGUGUGCCUAUCAGCGUGCGUGAGUGUCUGCAUGCCUGUGACCGAGUGUGUAUGACUGUCUGCUUGUAAUGGAGUAUGUGUGACUGUCUGCUUGUGACAGUGUGUGUGACUGUCUGCUUGUAACUGUGUGUGACUGUGUGCCUGUAACUGUGUGUGACUGUCGCGUUUAACUGUGUUUUUGUCUCUGUAACGGGGCAUGUGUGACUGUCUGCCUGUAACUGUGUGUGUGUGUGUGACUGUCUGCCUGUAACUGAGCAUGUCUGACUGUCUGCCUGUAACUGAGUGUUUCUGACUGUCUGCUUUUAACUGUUCAUGUGACUGUCUGCCUGUGCCUGUGUGUGUGACUGUAUACAGGCAACUUGGUGGGGGCGCUGUGAAGAGUACUCGCACAGGGCACCUAAUGGCCUAAGGCCUGCCCUGGUUCUGGUUACAUGAUUCACAUCAGUGGCCCAACCUUUUACCCCACCACCCAAAUCCUGCUUCACCAGACACUGCUGUGAAGGGGUAUGGAUUUACUUGAAAGAUAAAAACGAGAAAUUAGUAUAGGGUAUAUGUUUUCUGAUAGCUAUAUCCUGUGGGAUUUUUCUCCAGCACCUCCUCCUCCACCAAAUAAAUGAUGCUUGUGAGGCAUAACUGUUUUAAUAUUUUCUGUUGAUAAGAUUCUGUAAUUAGGCCAAACAUAAUUGUCAGCACCAGCCACCAGGCCCAAUAAGCUCUUAAUCCGGCCCGGGUUAGAUAUAUAAUGAAUUGCUAUAUUGAAGGAUACUUUCUCUGGUAUUGCUGCUUGCAGGGCCGGUGCAAGGAUUUUUUGCCAUCCUAGGCAAAAGAAACCCCCCCCCAUGUGACAUCACAAUGCCACACCCAUAUGAUCUGCCAUAUGAACUAAUGCCAGUGCUGCACACAGUGUGUGUUUACAUUAAAAAGCCUGUAGGGAUAGGCUAUAGACACCAGAACCACCUCAUUAAGCUGCAGUGGUUCUGGGGACUAUAGUGUCCCUUUAAUGUGAGGUAAAUUAGAGAUUAGUGUCACUAAUAAUAUACUAGAUUGUCUACUUACAACCAGAUGAGGAUGGUGAUGGGCUCUGGCUGCAGUUUGGCUCCACUGGUCUGGUGUAGAACAUGAUCUCUGGAGGCUGUUUGUAACUGUGGUCACAAAAUUCAAUGUUCAUUUUUUGGGGCCCCUUAGACAGCUCAUGGUCUGGGCCCCAGGGCCUGAUGGUGAGUAUGUCCAUAAGGCUCACAGAGAGUGGAGAGUGUAGGGGAUGUGUUAUGUGUUAUUGUAGAGGAUAUAAUGUGUGUGCUUAUGGAAUGUAGUGUAUAGGGAUACCAGUUUGUGUAGGUGAUACGUUGUGUUUGUGCGUAGUGGAAGCAGUGUGUUUGUGUAUAAGGGAUUUAUUGUGUGUUUCUGGUUGUGUGUAAGGGAUGCAUUGUGUGAAUCUGUGUUUGUAUGCAUAAUGGAUGCAAGGUGUGUUUCUGUGUAUGUAAGGGAUGCAGUGUGUGUGUCUGUAAGGGGUGCAUUGAGUGUGUGUAAGAGAUGCAUUGUGUUUCCGUGUGUGUGUAAGAGAAGCAGUGUGUGUUUGCAUGUGUGUGUAAGGGAUGCAUUUUGUGUUUCUGUGUAUGUGUGCAAAGGAUGCAUUGUAUGUGCAUAUGUAAUGGAUGCAUGUGUGUUUCUCUGUGUGUAAGGGAAGCAUGUUGUGUUUCUGUGUGUAGGGAUGCAUUGUGUGUGUGUGUGUGUGUGUGUGGGUGCGCGCGCGUAAUAUGAAAGACCACUUUCCAUUAGUGCUCUUAUCUCACCCUUAGUGGUCUCUGCUCUCCUCUGCUCCCCCAGUGGUCUUUCCUCCCCCUCCUUAGUGGUCUCUCCUCCCCCCUUUCCAUUAGCCAUCACUCCUCUCCUCUCCCUUUUUCAUAAGUGGUCUCUCCUUCCUCCCCCCCACCCUUAGUGAUCUCUCCUCCUCCACCCCCACCCUCCCUUAGUGGUCUCUGCUCACCCCCCUCCCUCCCUUAGUGGUCCCCCCCUCCACAUUCUCCUCAACCACCCCCCUACCUACCCACUCCCUCCCAUGUUCUCCUCACACCCUCUCCCUUAGUGGACUCUCCCUCCCACACAUUCUCCUCGCCCUCCCAGGUUCUCCCCCCAUGUUCUCCUCACCGCUUCCCCUCUCCCUUAGUGGACUCUCCCCCCCUCCCCUUCCCUGUGUAGCGUGGCCGAGCACCUCUCCUGUCCCCGGUACAGGAGCUUCUGUUUCCUGUACCCGACCAGACUGACAGGAAGUGCUGUCUCAGUGAGCACUUCCUGUCAGUCCGGCUGCGUACAGGAAACAGAUGUUCCUGUACCGCGGACCGGAGAGGAGCUCUGCCAUGCCACACAGGGAAGGGGGCGGAGGGGGUGAGGAGAAUGGGGGGAGAGAGGCAGUGCUGCAGCCCUCUCCUAAGCGGCCCUCUCCUAAGUGGCGCCCUAGGCGGCUGCCUAGCUCGCCAUAUCGGAAGGGCCGGCCCUGGUUGCUUGUUACAGGAAACCUUGUGUGUUUUUUUUUUGCUUUGCUUCGUACACAAAUGCUGCACUAAAUAUUUGUCUGUUUUGAUUAUUUUUCUGGCACUUCUAAAUCAAGGGCAGGCUCUGGUACUGCAGGAGUGACUGUCUAUAAAAUGUGUUCUAAAAAAGGUGUCUUUUGAGAACUUGCUGGAGCUUCACUCUAGUUUCCUUUUUCUGGAAAGGUUUAUACCACAAGCAGCCAUAAAAAAAAAUAAAAAAUCAACCCAGUAGUGGUCCAGGUAUUGCUUCAUUAUUAUGGUUGAACUCUGGGAUGGACACAUUGUUCAUAGUUAGAGAAUGUGUGGAGACAAUGGAAGGACAGUUGGGAAUCAUAACAAGGACACACAAUUUGCAUACUCUAAGUCAUGCAUGCAGUUGAAAUACCAACAGCAAUUUAGCGAAUUCCUUUUGAUAGGAUUCUUCCAGUGGCUCAAUUUGGCUUGUGCAUGCACAUUCACCCUGGAUAGUCUCUCUGUCUACAGUCAGUCUCACAAACUAUAAAAUAUAAUGAACAUCAAUGUAGAUUAUCAGAACUGUUUCAGACAGGAUCAUCACUAUGGAAAUCAUAGCUUAACCCCUUAAGGACUGGACUGUUUUUGCGAUGUUGUACAUUUGCGACCAGGCAUAUUUUUACACUUUUGUGGUGUUUGUGUUUGGCUGUAAUUUUCCGCUUUCUCAUUUACUGUUCACAUACAAAUUAUAUAUUGUUUUUUUCAGGACAAAAGGGGCUUUCUUUACAUACCAUUAUUUAUAUAAUCUCAUGUAUUUUAAUUUAAAAAAAAUAAAAAAAUCUGAUGAAAAAUUGAAAAAAAUACAUGUUUUUUGACUUUUACUUGAAAAAUCUUUUACUCAUCUAAAAAAGCGAAUGAAAAAAACUGCUAAAUAGAUUCAAAAUUUUGUCCUGAGUUUAAAAAUACCUAGUGUUUACGUGCUUUUUUGCUUUUUUUUGCAUGUUAUAGGGCUAUAGGUACAAGUAGGAUAUUGCGGUUUCAAAACAUACAUUUUAAAAUUUAUCAAUAGUGACAUUGUAACACUAUUAUCUGUCAUAAAUCUCUGAAUAACACCCCACAUGUACAUAUUUUUUUUUUAAGUAGACAACCCAGGGUAUUCAAUAUGGGGUAUGUCCAGUCUUUUUUAGUAGCCACUUAGUCGAAAACACUGGCCAAAGUAAGCAUUCAUAUUUGUUUGUGUGUGAAAAAAGUAAAAAAACUAAAUUGAACGCUAAUUUUGGCCAGUGUUUGUGACCAAGUGGUUACUAAAAAAGACUGGACAUACCCCAUUUGCAAUACCUUGGGUUGUCUUCUUUUGCAAAUGGUAUGCCAUCAUGGGGUAAUUCUCAUUCCUGGGCUACCAUACGCUCUCAAAGGCAGCGUAACCAACCUGGCCAUUUUCAAUGUAAAAAUAUUUGACCCAUAUAUUUGACCUUGUAACUUUCAAAAAUGCUAUAAAACCUGUACAUGGGGGGUACUGUUUUACUCGGGAGACAUCUCUGAACACAAAUAUUAGUGUUUAAAAACUGGAAAACGUAUCACAACAAUUAUAUCAUCAGUAAAAGUGCUGUUUGUGUGUGAAAAAUGCAACAAAUUCACUUUCACUGACAAUGUCAUCGCUGUGAUAUGAUUUACUGUUUUGAAUCACUAAUAUUUGUGUCCAGCGAAGUCUCCCGAGUAAAACAGUACCCCCCAUGUACAGGUUUUAGGGUGUCGUAGAACGUUACAGGGUAAAAUACAGUGCUAGCAAAUUAAAUUCUCUGGAAUUUCGGCCUGGGUUGGCAGGCAGGUCCCUCAAAUUGCAAUCAAUAAAAUUACUGAAUUAUGUAAAAAAUAUUACAUAAAUACGCACGUAGAAUUUAAAUAUAUAUGCAUAUUUAUAUAUUUGAAGUCUACGUGUAUAUUUAUAUAAUUAUUUAUGUAAUUUUGUAUAUGGACGUAUGUAUAUUUCUUAUUUUUAUUUAUUUUUAUAUACAUAAAUAUAUAUACAAAUUCAUUCUAAGUGUAUUUUGAUAUAAAUAUAUAUAUAUAUUCAUUUUAAAAUACAGUUAGAAUAAAAUUUCAUAUAGCUAUAUAAUUUUUUUUUAAUUUUUUAUUAUUAUUUAAAAAAAAAUUAUUUAAUUUAAAUUACUUAUUAUUUAUAUUUUAUAAUAAUAUAUAUAUACAAUAUAUAUAGUUAUUAUAUAUAUUAUAUAUAUGCGUGUGUAAUUUAAUUAUAAGUGUAUUUUUAUAUUAAUAUAAGUACAUAUUAAUAUAAAAAUACACUUAGUAUGGCAUUAUAUAUAUAUAUGAUAUAUAGACAUAUAUUAUAUAGAUAUAAUAUAUGUCUAUAUAUCAUAUAUACACAUAUAUAAUUAUUAUUUAUUUAUUUAUUAACAUUAACUUUAUUUAUUUUUUUGAUUUUACACUAGCAGGGAGACUGCCUGUCAGCACAGGCAGUCCCCCUGCAGGCAGACACAUGGACACCUAUUGUGACCAUGUGAUCACUGUGUUAAGCGAUCACAUGGCCACAGGGGUCCUAAAUCAGUGUGGGGAGACUGUCUGGGCUGCAGGCGGUCUCCCCACAACCGGAGCCACGCUGAUCGCCGCCGGGGGAACGACGGCGAUCAGGUAAGUAGCUCUGACCGUUAGGACGGUUCAGGACCGUCAUCGGUCGGCAACGCAAAAAUGCCGAUGACGGUCCUGAACCGUCCUCGGUCCUUAAGGGGUUAAACGGACACUACAAAUGCAUAAAGUGCUUCAGCUUGCUUUAUGUAUGAAGUGUGUCUUUUGUUUUCAUUUUAUAAAAGGGCACAUUUCAGUAGAAAAAGGCACCAGUUCCACGCUCUCGACGAUCAAACACCGAAACAAAGGAUCCAAGAUGGCCGACCGCCGCGUGGUCUGUAGCCGAACGACGGUCACCUAGGAAAGCCUUUAACUACCGAUUGCAACAAUGUUGCAAUCGGUUAAUGAGUGCCACAUGUCUUUCUAUGUGUGGGCUACUGGGGGGGUAGCUCAUUCGUUUCACGAACAGCCGGUAAAGUCUCUGUUCGUGAAACGAAUUACAUGAAUGCUAGCGGCUUUCGGCUGCUAGCAUGCGAAUUCUAUACACAUAGCAGUACAGACGAAUGUUACAAUACAUAAUCCAGCAGUUAUUGCAGACAACCUUUUUGUACAUAUAGUUCAGCGUCCCACAAGUGACUAGGUUUGCCACAAUGCUCCCCCAGAACCAAGCCGGCAUACACAGUCUGAUCCCAACGGAUCAGCUUGGGGAUGUCCGGAGGAGUGCCCACAGAUCACUUUUCAAGUUCAGUUUGUCUAGAUAACCCCUCGGCGUUACUGUUUUGUUUCCCUGGGCGGUAAUGGAUUGUAAAGUCAAAAGGCUGCAGCACCAAACUCCAGUGCAGCAGCCUGGCAUUGUUUCCCGCCACACGGUUUAGCCACACCAACGGGUUGUGAUCUGUGAACAAGGAAAAAGGUUGUCCAUAUAAAUAUGGCUGCAAGUUUUUGAGGGCCCACACCAGGGCCAGGCAUUCUUUCUCGAUGGCGGCGUAGCUCUCUUCCCGUGGUAAUAGUUUCUGGCUUAGAUACGCUACGAAAUGUUCUCCGCCAUCUGCUCCAACUUGGCUCAGCACUGCUCCCAAUCCAAACAUUGAAGCGUCUGUGUGGACAAGAAAUCGUUUAGUUGGAUCAGGAGCAGCAAGUACAGGUGCAUUAGUUAGAGCUGUUUUGAGUUGGUUAAAUGCCUGAUCACACUCUGGGGCCCAGACGACCUGUGGAGGAAGGUUUUUGUGGGUCAAGUCAGUCAAGGGUUUGGCCAGGGCACUAUAAUUGGGCACGAAUUUUCGGUAAUACUCUGCAGUACCCAGGAAGGCUAGCACUUGGGUGUUUGUCCUAGGGGUGGGUCACUUAGCAACGGCUUCAAUCUUCACUGGCUCGGGUUUUUGUUGCCCGCUCCCCACCCGGUGGUCCAAGUACUGCACCUCUGCCAUCCCUAUAUGACACUUGCUAGGUUUCAACGUCAACCCUGCCUCUCCGAUACGGUCAAUAACUGCUCCUAUAUGUUGCAGAUGCUCUGCCCAGGUCUGGCUAUAUAUGGAGAUAUCGUCCAGGUAUGCGCAUGCAUAUUCCUGGAACCCGUACAGUAGCCGAUCUACCAUCCGUUGAAAGGUCGCCGGGGCGUUUUUCAUCCCGAAUGGCAUGACUUGAAAUUGGUACAGGCCAAACGGGGUGACAAACGCCGACUUGGAGAUGGCAUCCUCGGCUAGUGUCCUCGGCCAGUAUCCCUUACAUAAAUCUAUGGUGUGGAGAUACUGUCCUCGUGCCAUCUUGUCCAGCAGCUCGUCUAUCCGGGGCAUCGGAUAGGCAUCAGACACAGUUUUGUCAUUUAGCCUUUGGUGGUCGACACAAAAACGUGUCGUGCCAUCCUUCUUGGGCACUAGCACUACCGGCGAUGCCCAGGGGCUAUUGGAAUGUUCAAUAACCCCUAGCUGCAACAUUUCAUCAAUCUCCUUCCUCAUAUGUUCCCUGACUGCUUCAGGGAUACGAUAUGGGGUCUGCCACAUAGGUAGCUGUCCAGGGGUCUCGACUCGGUGGGUGGCUAGUGGAGUGUACCCAAGUAAAUUGGAGAAGGUGGCUCCUUUAGCCGCGAUCAACUCUUGCACCUGGGCCCGCUCCUGAGGGCUUAGCCACUCCCCCAGUUGAACACCCGUGGAGGGCUCUGCCUGGUCGUCCUGUUCUUGUAGGUCAGGUAGUGGCAGGUUCUCCUGAUCCUCAGAGGCGGAGGCGCAUAUUGCGGCCACGUCCUCUAUCCUCUCAUGAUAGGGUUUGAGCAUGUUCACGUGGAGCAUGCGUCUCUUCCCUACCCCUGAACAGGGGCCAAUCACAUAGGUGGUGUCACAUCUCUGUUCCACCACCUGGUAUGGGCCUUGCCUGAUGGCCUGCAGCUUGUCUGUGCGGACAGGUUUUAAAAUCAAAACCUUCUGUCCCACUUGAAAGCUGCGGUCUCUGGCUCCCCUAUCAUACCAGCGGUGCUGGCGUUGUUGGGCCGCCUGGAGGUUGGUGCGUACGGCCUGAGUUAGUGCCUCCAAGCGGUCCCUGAACUCCAGCAUGUAUGGUACAAUGGGUGUCCCAUCUGUGCUACUCUCUCCCUCCCAGUGCUCUCUAAUUAAGUCUAACGGCCCUCGCACCCUUCUCCCAAACAGCAAUUCGAAAGGGGAAAACCCUGUCGACUCUUGGGGUACAUCUCUAUAGGCGAAGAGCGGAUGGGGUAGAAAUCGCUCCCAGUCUUUAUGAGCCUCUCCAAACGUACGGAGCAUCUGCUUCAGGGUACCGUUAAACCUUUCGCAUAAACUAUUGGACUGGGCAUGGUAUGCGGAAUUUACUAUAGGCUUAAUGCCACAUAUCUUCCAAAGUUGUUGGGUGACCUCGGCGGUGAACUGGGUACCCCUAUUGGAUAUGAUCUCCUGGGGAAACCCUACCCAGGAGAAUAUUUUCAUUAAGGCCUCGGCCACAGUUUCUGCAUGAAUAUUAGAGAGGGCUAUGGCCUCGCGCUACCUGGUGGCGUAGUCCACUACGGUUAAAAUAUACUUCUUGCCCGAGGGACUGGGCUUGGACAAGGGGCCCACUAUAUCUACGGCCACCCUACUGAAGGGUUCUUCAAUAAUGGGUAGGGGGCAUAAUUUGGCUUUGUGGCGGUCACCCCUCUUGCCCACUCGCUGGUAAAUGUCGCAUGAGUUGCAGUACUGCCCACAUCUUUAAAGAUUCCUGGCCAGAAAAAGGCGUGGGUCAAACAAUAUUGGGUGCAUGUCAUUCCCAGAUGCCCAGACAAGGGAACGUCGUGAGCAAUCCUAAGCAGUUCUUGCCUAUACUUUUGGGGGACUACUAACUGUUUAGUCAUUACUGUGACCGACCCCCCCACUACUCUUUCGGCAAUGCGAUAUAAUAACCCUUUCUCCCAGGUAUACCGCUCCCCCUCUAACCCGGCCUGGUCUGUGCUUACCCUGUCCCUGUACACCUGUAACGUGGGGUCUAUCUCCACCUCCGCCUCAAAUUUAGUUGGGGUAUCCCAGGUCAUACGUGUCGUGUGAGAGUCACUGUCUCUUACCUGAGCCUCAGAGUGUGCUGGUGGAACCGUGGUGCGAGCCUGCUACCUGGUGGUCACUGGAUGGGUUUCCUGGUGUUGAGCUUGGGGUAUAAAAGCAGAGGCCAUCCGGCCCAGGUCGUUCCCUAGUACAACAUCCGUGGGUAACUUCUGCAUCAGGCCCACCUCUACCAUCCCCUCCCCAGCACCCUAAUUCAAAUGUACUUUGGCAGUGGGUAGUCGGUACACUGCUCCCCCUGCAACUCAUACUGCCACGGAUCCGCCGGUGUGUGCAGAACCUGGAACCAAAUGGGGUGCUACCAAAGUUAGGGUGGCUCCUGAGUCCCGGAGCCCUUGCACUUCUUUCCCCUCCAGAGUCACUAGCUGGCGAUGAUGUUGCCUGUUGUCGGUGGCUUGAUCCGACAUCACUUCGUGCAGUAUCCCCAGGGGUUCUUCGGCCUGAGCGCUCAGUAUCUCCUGGGUGGUUGGCUGUACUCGGUAGUGGUGAGCGGCGGCCCUUGGGGCCGGGUUUUGUCGGACUUGGUUCCACGCUUGCCGGCUCCGGUUCUGAGUGCACUCCCUUGACAUGUGGCCCCAUUGCCUGCAUGUAUGGCACUGGAUAUUAGCCCUAUCAUUAUAUCGGGAGGGUGGAGGUUGGCUCCCCGGGUUUGGUCUAAAGGGGGUUGCUGUAGAGGCUGUAGGGGUAGCUGCACUGGGUUGAACGGUGGGUCGAGGGUACCCUCUAUUUAGGUGCCUGUGAUGCCUCCUCGCAUCAAAAUGCUGGUCUGCUAUUCGGGCCGCUUCGGUUAGGGUGAGGGGUUUUCAGUCUCUCACCAAUUCUUGUGCCUCUGGGAACAAGCCAUUUAACAAUUGUUCCAACAGCAUCAAUUGCCGUAACUCCUCCAUAGUGGUGGCUUGGCUCGCUUGUAUCCACCCCUGUGAUGCUUGGUCCAGCUUGUGAGCCCACUCGGCAUGAGAGUCUUUCUCCGGUUUGCGCACUCCUCUAAACUUGCGCCGGUAUGCCUCCAGAGUAAUGGCAUAUCUUUCUAGUAUAGCCUGUUUUACUUUGGCAUAAUCCUUGCUGUCCUCUCUGGGUACAGCGCGAUAGGCUUCUGCUGCCCGACCUGACAGUUUGCCUGCUAGUAAUGGUAUCCAUACUGCCUGCUCCAAGUCAUGUAAAUCACACAGCCUCUCGAAAUCUUGCAAAUACCCAUCAAUCUCAUCCUUCUCCUCACAAAACAUCUUAAAAGCAUGGUAUGGGAUUUUGGGCUUUACCUGGCCGUAGACUGAGGCAGCAAUGGAUUCUACCCUGGACGGUGUCUCCUGUGGACAGUGUGCCAUCACAUACUCCUGCACAUCCGCCAUCAGCACGGUCAAUAUUUCCAGGGGUACUGGCUGCGGUAGAAACUCCAUCCUGGUUCUCAUUUCUUUUUGGUAUGGGGUUUCCUCCAUGGCUGGUGGGGGUGUAACGCUGCGGGCUCUCCCUCCCUCCAUCAAUUCGGCAAUCAGCACGGGUUUUGGAUUGUUGCUAGCUAUCUUCCCCCUGGCUUCCAGCAGUUCCUUUAGUGUCUGCCUUUUUAAUGCAGUGUAAUCCAUCUCCAUUCACUUUUGUGUUCGGUUCUCUGCUGCAUCUGAAUUGCCAUUCACUUUUCCCAUUCGGUAGUUUCAUUUUAUCUGAACGCCGCGUUUCGGCUGUUAGGUUGGAUCCCGUCGCUUGCCACCAAUUGUAGCGGAGCUGCAAUAUUAAAUUCCAUGAUCUCCGCUGGUACAGAAGGUAAUCCACAGUCAAGCGCUGAAAAGUAAGGCAAUAUCCCAAAUCCCCCAGUAACCGGACGAAACACAGUUCUGGGAAUCAACUGAGGUUUUUAUUCAGAGGUCACAGUAUUUAUGCAAGUCCCCAUGCAAGGGGUUUCCCAACUGACAUAGCAGGGGUAAUACAGUAGGGGACUACAUGAGGGACUUAACAUUCUGGACAUUUCUCCCAUCAGGCACUGCUGGACCAGAGGGAUACUCCCACUGGAAUAUACCGUUAAGUGGAUUAUCCCUCCGUGCAGCAGAACCGUCAUUUUACAUGAAAAUCUAUAACUUUGCCAUCAUUCACUUUAUUUAAACGAAUGGACGUUCGGUAGAUAGCUGGGGUCUGAGUGCAUAGUUCGUGAGAAUACCGCUCAGAUCCCAGCUUAAACAACCGAAUGCCGCAUGAAAUACACUUUAACAUUGUGUUUGCCUAAAAGUACCGAACACCGAUGGGAGAACCACAAUAGUGAAAGACCGGAGCUCCCAAAAUGCCUGGAAGUCCAGCGGUGUUCGAGUAGCCGAUUUCAGUUCCACGUGCUCGACGACCAAACACCGCUGGUGAAACAAGGAUCCAAGAUGGCCGACCACCGUGUGGUCGGUAGCCGAACGGCGGUCACCUAGGAAAGCCACACAUCUCUAUGUGUGGGCUACUGGGGGGUAGCUCAUUCGUUUCAUGAACAGACGGUAAAGUCUCUGUUCAUGAAACGAAAUACAUGAAUGCUAGCGGCUUUCGGCUGCUAGCAUACAAAUUCUAUACACACAGGGCCGGCCUUAGGCAAUUAGGCGCCCUGUGCAAAAAGUCUUCACGGCGCCCCCCCCACCUCCCACCAAGUUGCCUGAAUACAGUAACACACACAGGCACCGGGGACGUGUGUAUCACGAGGCAAACAAGGCAUCUGCCUUGGGCGCCACUUUGCAGGGGGCGGCAAAAAAAAGCAUCCCUCCAAACCCCAGGCAGAUCCCUUGCUUGCCUCGCAUCCUGGGGGGCUCAAGAGCUGACCGGCUGGCCACUUUUGAGCCCCCCCAAGGCUGGCAGCGGGCAGCGAAGGAGCAUACUCACCUGAGCUCUUCCUGCUCAGCUUCCUCUGCGCCGCUUAAUGAAGCCGGGAGCCAGAAUAUGACGUCAGUCCGGCUCCCGGCAUCACUAAGCGCUGCUUACUCAGCCUGUGCGCCCCCUGCCUGCCUGCCCAGCAGCCACACUGGACUGCUGGUAAGAAAUCCACUCCAGCUUUCCCAGGGAGGCUGGGUGGAUUUAAAAUAAAUGUAAAAAAUAUUAGUUUGUGAGUGUUAGUGGAAAUGUCUGUGUGUGUGUCUGUGAGUGUUUAUUUUGAAGUGAAUGUGUGUGUGUGUGUGUCUGUAAGUGUGUAAUUGUGUGUGUCUGUAAGUGUGUAAUUGUGUGUGUCUGUAAGUGAAUGUGUGUGUGUCUGUGAGUGAAUGUGUGUGUUGGUCAGUGAGUGUAUAUGUGUCAGUCAGUGAGUGUGUAUGUGUCAGUCAGUGAGUGUGUAUGUGUAGUCAGUGAGUGUGUAUGUGUCGUCAGUGAGUGUGUAUGUGUCGUCAGUGAGUGUGUGUCGGUCAGUGAGUGUGUAGGUCAGUGAGUGUGUAUGUGUCGGUCAGUGAGUGUGUGUCGGUCAGUGUGUGUGUGUCAGUCAGUGUGUAUGUGUCGGUCAGUGGAGUCGUGCAUCUUUCAGUGAGUGCUUGCGUCUGUCAGUGAGAGUGUGCAUCUGUCAGUGUGUGUCCAAGUAAUAGUGUAUGUGUGUAUGUCAUUGUUUGUCAGUGUAUAUGAGAGUGUGUGUCUGUCAGUGAGUGUGCGUCUGUCAGUGAGUGAGCGUCUGUCAGUCAAAGUGCGGCCUUGACAGGAAGGGGUGGGGGAAAUUUAAACUCGGUUACAGGCAUGUACACACACACUCAGUUAAAGGCAGUCACACAUACAGGCACAGGCACAAACAAUGGCACAGCGACACACACAGACAGACAGUCACAUAGGCAGUCACACACACAGACAGACACACAGUAACACACACAUAGACAGUUAUACACACACAGGCAGGCAGUCACACAGAUAGAAAGUCACACACACAGGCAGGCAGUCACACACAGACAGAUAGUUACAGACAGACACACACAGGCAGGCAGUCACAUACAGGCAGUCACACACACAGGCAGUCACACACACAGACAGACACACACACACAGGACAGUCACACACAGAGACAGUCACACACACACACAGAGACAGACAGUCACACACACACACACAAGGACAGGCAGUCACACAGACAGUCACACACACACACACACAGACAGUCACACGCACACAGGCAGGCAGUCACACAGACAGACAGACAGUCACACACACACACACACACACAGACAGACAGUCACACAAACAGGCAAACAGUCACACACACACACUUACCUCUUUCCAGUGGAUGCAGUUGGCUGAUGGGGAAGCAUCUUUCCCUCUUCCUGUACAGCAGGGGCUUCGGGAGGUAUUAGCCCCGUCUCCGCCUCUCGAUAAGCCCCGCCUCCGCCGCUCGGUAAACCCCGCCCCCUCUGCCGCGAUUUUUUUUUUUUUUAAAUAGACCCGGGUGGAGAACAAUUAAUCCUCCAGCCAGGUACCUCUUUUAGCUCCCCUGCACUCCGGCCAUGAGUGAGCUGUGUCGGCCACAGGGCGCCCCCUGUUCCAUGGCGCCCUGUGCGGUCGCACAGCUCGCACACCCCUAAGGCCGGCCCUGUAUACACAUAACAGUACAGACCAAUGCUACAAUACAUAAUCCAGCAGUUAUUGCAGACAACCUUUUUGUACAUAUAGUUCAGCGAGGCUAGGUUUGCCACAAUAACAUGAAUCUGGGUUAGAGUAGGGUAAGAUCCUGUGUGUCCUUGAUAGCACAAAAGUACUUAGCCUGUCAGAAUUAUUGACAAAAAAGUAGACAGAGACCUAAUAGAGAUUAUUUGUAGGCAAUGUAUUGAUCCUAUAAACCAACUUUAAUAGUAGUGGGACCUGUCUAGGUCUUUGUAAGCUGACAGAAUCUAAAUUUAUAGAUCAAAACACAAAUAGCUCGUUGGUGGCAUCUGAUAGCAUUCUACUCAUGCAGAGAAUGCUGCAUUAAUAGGCUGUCUGAUUGGGCGGUGUGAGAAAACUCACAAAAUAGUAAGAUAAUUACAGGGAGUGCAGAAUUAUUAGGCAAAUUAGUAUUUUGACCACAUCAUCCUCUUUAUGCAUGUUGUCUUACUCCAAGCUGUAUAGGCUUGAAAGCCUACUACCAAUUAAGCAUAUUAGGUGAUGUGCAUCUCUGUAAUGAGAAGGGGUGUGGUCUAAUGACAUCAACACCCUAUAUCAGGUGUGCAUAAUUAUUAGGCAACUUCCUUUCCUUUGGCAAAAUGGGUCAAAAGAAGGACUUGACAGGCUCAGAAAAGUCAAAAAUAGUGAGAUAUCUUGCAGAGGGAUGCAGCACUCUUAAAAUUGCAAAGCUUCUGAAGCGUGAUCAUCGAACAAUCAAGCGUUUCAUUCAAAAUAGUCAACAGGGUCGCAAGAAGCGUGUGGAAAAACCAAGGUGCAAAAUAACUGCCCAUGAACUGAGAAAAGUCAAGCGUGCAGCUGCCACGAUGCCACUUGCCACCAGUUUGGCCAUAUUUCAGAGCUGCAACAUCACUGGAGUGCCCAAAAGCACAAGGUGUGCAAUACUCAGAGACAUGGCCAAGGUAAGAAAGGCUGAAAGACGACCACCACUGAACAAGACACACAAGCUGAAACGUCAAGACUGGGCCAAGAAAUAUCUCAAGACUGAUUUUUCUAAGGUUUUAUGGACUGAUGAAAUGAGAGUGAGUCUUGAUGGGCCAGAUGGAUGGGCCCGUGGCUGGAUUGGUAAAGGGCAGAGAGCUCCAGUCCGACUCAGACGCCAGCAAGGUGGAGGUGGAGUACUGGUUUGGGCUGGUAUCAUCAAAGAUGAGCUUGUGGGGCCUUUUCGGGUUGAGGAUGGAGUCAAGCUCAACUCCCAGUCCUACUGCCAGUUCCUGGAAGACACCUUCUUCAAGCAGUGGUACAGGAAGAAGUCUGCAUCCUUCAAGAAAAACAUGAUUUUCAUGCAGGACAAUGCUCCAUCACACGCGUCCAAGUACUCCACAGCGUGGCUGGCAAGAAAGGGUAUAAAAGAAGAAAAUCUAAUGACAUGGCCUCCUUGUUCACCUGAUCUGAACCCCAUUGAGAACCUGUGGUCCAUCAUCAAAUUUGAGAUUUACAAGGAGGGAAAACAGUACACCUCUCUGAACAGUGUCUGGGAGGCUGUGGUUGCUGCUGCAUGCAAUGUUGAUGGUGAACAGAUCAAAACACUGACAGAAUCCAUGGAUGGCAGGCUUUUGAGUGUCCUUGCAAAGAAAGGUGGCUAUAUUGGUCACUGAUUUGUUUUUGUUUUUGAAUGUCAGAAAUGUAUAUUUGUGAAUGUUGAGAUGUUAUAUUGGUUUCACUGGUAAUAAUAAAUAAUUGAAAUGGGUAUAUAUUUGUUUUUUGUUAAGUUGCCUAAUAAUUAUGCACAGUAAUAGUCACCUGCACACACAGAUAUCCCCCUAACAUAGCUAUAACUAAAAACAAACUAAAAACUACUUCCAAAAAUAUUCAGCUUUGAUAUUAAUGAGUUUUUUGGGUUCAUUGAGAACAUGGUUGUUGUUCAAUAAUAAAAUUAAUCCUCAAAAAUACAACUUGCCUAAUAAUUCUGCACUCCCUGUAGUAAGGCAGUGUUUAACUUUGAUGCCAGUUUAAAUCCAUUGCCAGCUUACUCUGAAAAUUAUGCAAUGGAAUGGGGCCACCCUAGUAUGGGGGUGAUAAAUUAAGCAGUGCUAAACUGCCGUGCGAUAUGUAUCUAUCAAGGACAGUAACCACUCAUAAAGGUAAAACCCAAAGGAUCCCUAAUGAUUGGGAUUCAUAUUUUGUAUAGUAUGGGCGCCAGAACAAUGUAUUCUCCAGCGUAUCUUUGUACAGGAACCGAUGCAGGUGAGAUUGCACCAGCAAUGUAUGGGGGUGAUUAUCUAAGCAGUGCACUCAUACCGUGCAGUACAACAUAUUAAAGAAGGUGCUGUACGUAUCAGAGUAAGAUGGAAAGUAGUUACCUGGUAAAAGGGUCAAUGUAUGUAGUGAGUUGGUGCCAAGGGGUAAUUAAUACAUACUACUGCGGUACGGCCGUACUGCUGCCCCUGAGAUUAUAAGUUAAAAGGCUGAUUGUGGAGUUUCCCUUUAAUAAGGAUCCCUAUCCACUUGUACCUUCGAGAGCACCCCUUAAGUUAAAGCCUGAUAUAAAUCUAUUGACUAAGGGAAAUGCAAGCCUCCUCCCUCCCUUAAUUUCUGAAUGAACUCAGAUUACCAAGUAUGAGUGCUGAAAAAGGUACUCGUUCUAACAGAGGUGCUUGUCUGAUAACGGCAGCUGAUAUCGAGGUUAGGAGCGAGUGGUGCCGUUAUUGUAAGGACUGCUAAAUUUCAGCAGGUGAAGGUAGAUCACUGAUGUGCAGUGGCUGUGGAUAGCGCUAGUCAGUGCCCCUGAUGUGCGUUUCGCCACUCAGGCUCAUCUUUGUGUGUCUCUUUCUUCCCCCCAGCCCUUUUCUGUGUCUCUUCUCCCCUCAAGCCCCUUGCUGUGUCUCUUCCCUGCCCUCCCCCUAGCCCCUUUGUGUGGCUCUUUCCUCCCAAGCCAUGCAGUUAUAGAUAAAUAGGCAGAAAUAUAUACAUGCACAAAUACACAAACAUACAGACACACAAUCACAGGAACACAGACAUAGUUAUUCAGGCACACAGUCACAAAGAUAUACAGGAACACACAAAAAGACACACAAUCAAACAAACUCAAACAACACAUGCUAGACAUACAGGCACACCGUCAUACAGUCUACACAUACAGGUACCCUGUUUUACAAACACAGACAUACAGUCAUACAGAGACACACAGUGACAUACAAACACUAUCAUGCAGAGACAUACAGACACAGUUAUACAGAGACAUACAGACAUAGAUGUAGUCAUACAGAGACAUACAGAUAUAGACACAGUAAUUCAGAGACAUACAGAUGCAGGCAUACAGGAAUAUACAGAACAAAGCAUACAGAGACAUAUGGACAUAGUCAUACAGAAACAUACAGACAAUCAUACAGAGACACACAGACACAGGCAUACAGAGCCGUACAGGCAAAGGCAUACAGAGACACACAGACAGGCAUACAGAGACAUACAUACACAGACAUACAGUCAUGCACACACAGACAUACAGUUUUACAGAUAAAUACAGACACAGACAUAAAGAGACAUACCGGCACAGUCAUACAGAGACAUACAAACAGAUAUAGUCAUACAGAGUCAGUCAUACAAACACACACUUAAAGAGACAUACAGACAGGCAUACAGAGACAUACAGUCAUACAGAGACAUACAGACACAAACAUAAAGCGACAUAUGGACAGUCAUAUAGACACAGUCAUAUAGCCACAGUCAUACAGGGACAGUUAUACAGGGAAAGAUAUACAGAGACAGACAUACAGACACAGGCGGUCAUACAUGCAGUCACAAUUACAUACUUACAUCAGAGGUGGCCUGUGCACGUCCUUCCUGCUGGUCACCCAGACAUUUGCGCCCUAGGACUAGUGCCAUAAGGUGACUGCCUAUGCCACCUUAUGGAAGUGCAGGCACUGCCUCCAGGAUGACGUCACUUGAGGAGGAGUUUGAAGCAGCAUCAAGGGAGACAUUUCUAUUUUUUAAUACCUGGAGAGGGUUAAACUAAACAUUCUCAUCAGGACUGUAAAGUUAGGAAUACAGAUAUGUAUUCUUAACACUACAGGGUUCCUUUAAUAGCACAACUGUUCUGACUAUUAAAACUAUUGCCCUUCUAUGGAUGGGAUUCUAUGUUUUUUGAAAUAUGACUUCAUAGAAAUGGUGCUUAGAGAAUGUCUGAUCAUUUAUACUUACAUUUUAAAGAUUUUUUUUUCUUUAAUGAGUUCAAUGUGUUUGGGUAUAUUUCUUUUGUAGACAUAAAUUAUUUAGCAUGCUCAUUCUAUGCAAUCGACAAUGUCAGUUUCCAGUUAAAGAUUAAAAAAAAAAUCUUAACUGCAAAUGCAUACUUUUACUGAAUGUGUAUGAUAAAUUGGUACUUUUAUUGUGGGUGAGUUGGCCAUUCACGUACAUAUAUCAGUAUGGAAAAAUAAUAUAUAAAAAAAAAAUUGAAUUCUAAGCGUUAUGCCACAAGAAUAUAAAAUUUAUAUUGUUAAACUAUAAUAUAAUGAGUAAAUUUUAAAUACAAAAGUUAAAUAUAAGGUAUAUCUUUUUUUUUUUUUUGUUAGCAUGACAUACUGGAUUUAAUUUUUUAAACAAAUAUUGACACUGAGUAUUAUUUUUAAUUGACUUCCUUUUACAUUCAGUGUGUUUAAAUCUUUAUUCUGUUAUUAGCUCCUGACAGAUUGCCUUAUUGGGAGUAUUACAACACUUACAGGUAGAAUUUUGACUAAUGUGGGGCUCUGUGUGUCAGUCAAACACUUAUUAUGCUUUAUAGCAGAUUAAAAGGUACGUUGAAACAACAUUCAACAGAUUAAGUAUCUCAUGCACUGAAUAUUUUGAAUGCAAAUGAUCCAUUAGCAAAAUACUUAAGAUAUAAGAUUGAAGCGAUUGGAAUUUUUAUGUCAUCAAAAAGACAGUCUGCUGCCUGAACAAGAACAAUAUAAAUGUAUUAAUUGCGUAUUGACUUUAUCUUUUUCACUUUUGUUUGGUUGUGUUAGAAAUUUUCCUGUAUGCAUGUGCAAAGAAAGAAGUGGUAGAAGGGCACAAUUUCUUAUUUUCUAUACUGAAGAAUUACCAUUUGGGCACUGAGAAGCUCACAAAACACAAAUAUUUUUUAAUUUAUGUAGUGUAAAAAAGCAUUACACUACUGGGAUCUAUUAUUGCAUUUUAACUUUAGAAAUGAAAGGGUCUGACAUACAACUCUUGUUGCCCGGACUGCCACCACAACCUCUUACACAUUUAUAGGGCUCCCAAUGCCAGGACUGCCACCACAACCACUUACACAUCUAUAGGACUCCCAGUGCCAGGACUGCCACCACAACCACUUACACAUCUAAAGGACUCCCAGUGCUUGGACUGCCACCACAACCACUUACACAUCUAUAGGGCUCCCAGUGCCAGGAAUUAGCUUAUUGGUCAAGAUUCCUGUCAUCAUUCAUAUAAUUUUCCCUCCCUCUCUCUUGUUUUGCCACUUUUCAGAAAUCCAAAGAACUUCAGAACUUCAGCGCUUUGGAACUUCGGCACUUCGGAACUUCUGCAGUUUGGAACUUCUGCAAUUCGGUUCAGUUCGGCACUUCCGAACUACUGAACUUUGGCACUUCAGACCUUCAGACACUCAUAAGCAUCCGAAUGUCCGAACUGCACUAAAUUCGUCAGAAUGAACAUUUGGAACGAAACAAAUUGCACAUGUCUAGUCUCCAUGUAGAAUGUGGAGAAGCUUAAAGUCAGUGCUGCAAACUGUGCAGCACUGACCCAGGAAGCACCUCUAGUGGACAUCUGAGUGACUGCCACUAGAGGUUUACUAGGCUAUUUCAUAGUGAUUAUUGCUAAACUGUGUUUUGGGUUUUAAACCUAAUUAUCUGGUAUAACCUAGAACUCCCCAUCUGCUAAAUUGUCCUGGUGGUGGCAUCUUUUAUAUCAAAAAACGUGUGCUUGACAUUAGCAGGGGGAUUUUUAGGAUUUUUCAUUUUCGCAUCUAGUGCAGACACACUGAAUCAAGUCCUGUUUAUGAUUGGUUUUGCCUUGUUUGUGACACUAACAGGAGAUGUGCGCUAAUAGUAGAAUUAUUUAUUUGUGUGUGUAUCAGUCAUUAGUACCUUCUACGAUCUCAGAGGGAAAAUCUGGGAAAUGUAAAACCAGAGAUCUCCUUUGCACCCCAACAGACCUCCUGCACCAGUACGGUUUUAUUACAAAAAAGGGUGAGUAAAAUAAAAAUAGAGGACCAGACAUAUCCCAGCACUAGUUUAUAGCAUUAUAUACAAACAAUGACUUGCAGACUGGAUCCUCCAAGACAAACAAGAAAUAAAUUUAAAGUAAAAUCUAAAACAAAAUGUGCACUGAUGCUAAUGAAGUUGGCAAAUAAUAUGUCAUGUUUAAUAUAAUAAAGAGAGAAAACAUUAUCAAAUUCAUAUUUGGUGAAUUUAAUUACUGAAGUAACUCUUAACCUCUGGGUCAAGACCCGAAAAUGGAGUCCCAGUUACUAUUCGUUUCCCCAUUGCUUGGGGCAAGGUGAUGAUAUUAGUUAGAGUGUAUUUUUCCAAAAUAAAUGCUUACUGCAGUGUUACUGACCUCCCUAGUGCAAUGGAGACUUGUGUAUCACUAGGGAUAGUCUAUUAAAGGAAUACAGCCAAUGUGCUGAAGUAAUAGAAUGGAAUGGCUGGAUACUUUGUUUACUAAAACGGGACAACUCUGGUUACAAUUCACUUUGAACAUAAUACUGAAUUCACAUAUAGCAAUGGUUUGUAAUCCCUGGGUUGGGACCCCAAUUCCUUUGCCCAUACCAUUUCAAUGGGUCCCCAGUGUCUGGAACAGGCAUAUCAUAUUCACCAUGCUUCUUGCAUCUGUUUUCCAAAGAACAAUAGAGAUGUCUCUGACAUAUAUAAUUGAGUAAUAGGUUUUCAUACUAAUGCCAUGUAUGUAAUUUGAGUUGCUGUCAAAAAGGUUAACAAUAACUGAUCUGUAGCACAAACAUUGGAGCAAGUCUCAGUGUGUAUACAUAGAUUUGAUACACAUUGCAUAAUGUGCUUUACAUAAUUUUUUAUCAUUUACUUUUUUUUAGGGAAUGUUUCAUCAGUUAUACUUUAUUAGACAAACAAAAGAAACUUAGUAUGUUAAAACGAAAACGUUGCAACGCUAUCAAUGACAUAUAGUAGUUCUGUGAUCUUUUUGCUUUACCUUGAAUCCCAGAACCAAUGCAUGUGGGUAAUCUAAAGUUAUAGAAGUUGUUAUGCAUGGCCACAAAAAGAUGGGGCAGAUCAGUCCUUGAAAAGAAGAAUAGUAAAACAUGUUAUAUUGGGAACAGACAAUAAUGUCAGUGAAAAUAUGUCAGAGGCAGCUAUACAAUGAAAUUGUGAUAGCAAUUAAAAGGGUUCAACAAAUGAACAGGAUGGGUUUCAUAUAAAGGCAGUGCAAUGUUUACAAGCCAUAUCAGAGGAUGUUCCUUCUAGAAUACCAAAAAUACGAUGUCAUAUAAACCGAUACGUUCUUUUUAGCAGCAAGAUACACAGUAUCUAUAAACAUGAAAGCAAUAAAGCAAUCAUGGACAUUCUUUGCUUUGAUUGUUAAUUGUAUUGAAGUCAAAUGUUUGGAAACUCAUUAUAAUUUUACAAGAAUAUUUAACUGCUCAACUCGAGGUAAAUUUUUCUUUAGGUAAAACACUAUCCAAACAGGAUGUGUUUGUUAUAUUAAUAAUCGACUUUCAUGUUGUUGACUGUAGCUAACUUGUUUUACUUUGAAAAUUCAUAGAAAAUUAUAAAGUUGUAAAAAAAGCUAUAAUUCUUUGUUGUACAAUAAACAAAUAAAGUAUAAAAUAUUGCACAAUUUUAGAUUCCAGCAGGUGGAAGCUUUGCUUCAGUGAUUCAUCAUGAACAAAUUUUAAAGUUGAAUUUAAAAGCAUGCCAUUAGAGUGCAAUUAAAGCUCAUGCCAUUGAGAAUUGCAUUGCUAGGACUAAGGUUAAGGUGGGUGGAGUUUAGGGUUAGUAAGUGUUUAGCAUUUGAGGAUAAGAAUUAUGGAGUUACACUUCACAGCAUCUCAAAGGCAACAGUUAGCUUCAAGCAGUAAGCUUCAAAGUGUCAAUCCCCAAGUGCCCCUCAACCUCCUGCAUGGGAUACACUGCUGCCUUUUGCAUCGUUAGAACACAGAAUAUACUAUAAUGCCACCACAUAUUCAAUAUUUACAAUAUGUAAACAUAAAUACAAUGCGUUAACCAGUGGAGGACUAAAGUAGAGAGGGCACUGGUGCCAAACUUUUUGGUACACAGACACACAGAUAGAUAUACAGACACACAUAUAAAUAUACAGACACACAUAUAGGCACACAGAUACAUAUACAAACACAUAUACAGACAAAUAGAUAGAUACAAGACACACAGAUACUCGUACAGACACAUAGAUACAAACAGACACACAGAGACACAUCCAGACACAAAGAUAGACAACACAGAUACACAGAUGCACAUACAGACACACAGAUAGAUAAACAGACACACAUGCAAAAAGUACUCCGUUUAAACCACCCUCCUGUUUCCUACCUUGUAGGUGCAGAAGGGUGGCUGCUCUGUAGUCUAAUUGAAUGGCUGAUUCAAGGCUCUCCCAUUCUGUGUUGCGUGUUCUCUCCACAUCUCCUCCCACGUUGCUCUGUGUUAUCUGGGAGGAGGUGACCAUAGUUACAUAGUUACAUAGCUGAAAAGAAACUUGCGUCCAUCAAGUUCAGCCUUUCUCACAUAUGUUUUUGCUGUUGAUCCAAAAGAAGGCAAAAAAAACCUAGUCUGAAGCACUUCCAAUUUUGUAACAAACUAGGAAAAAAUUCCUUCUUGACCCCAAAAUAGCAGUCAGAUGUCUCCUUGGAUUAAGCAGCUAUUACCCCACUAAUUAGAAAUUAUAUCCAUGCAUGUUAUGUUUUUGCAAGUAUUUAUCCAAUUGCAGUUUAAACAUCUGUAUGGACUCUGAUAAAACCACCUCUUCAGGCAGAGAAUUCCAUAUCCCUAUUGCUCUUACUGUAAAAAACCUUUAUUUGCCUUGGAUUAAAUCUCCUUUCUUCUAGCCUAUAUGUGUGACCACGUGUCCUAUGUAUAGCCGCAUUUUUGAAUAUAUUUCCAGAUAAUGGUUUGUACUGGCCCCGAAUAUAUUUUAAUGGUAUCAUAUCCCCUCUGAGGCGCCUUUUUCCAAAUUAAAGAGAUUUAAUUUUUUUUUUUAACCUUUCUUCGUAACUAAAAUGCUCCAUUCCUUUCAUCAAUUUUGUAGCUUGUCUCUAGAGCAUGUGCCCAAAAUUGCACAGCAUAUUCAGGGUCUGGUCUUACCAACGAUUUAUAAAGGGGCAAAAUUAUAUUUUCAUCCCGAGAAUUUAUGCCCCUAUUUAUACAUGACAAAACCUUACUGGCCUUAGCAACUGCAGAUUGACAUUGCAUAUUGCUGCCUAAUUUGUUGUCUAUAACAUUUCCCAAAUCCUUCUUGUGUGUGGUUAUCCCUAAUUCACUACCAUAUAGGGUGUAAGUUGCUUGUGCAUUCUUGACCCCGAAGUGCAUAACUUUAAAUUUCUCUACAUUAAAUUUCAUCUGCCAUUUUAGUGCCCAGUCCCCCAAUCUAUCCAAAUCCCUCUGCAGCAAAGCAAUAUCCAUUUUAUUACUUUACAACAUUUCGUGUCAUCUGCAAACACUGAAAUAUAGCUUUCAAUGCCUAUUUCAAGAUCAUUUAUAAAUAUGUUAAAUAGAAGUGGUCCCAAAACAGAACCCUGAGGAACACCACUUACCACUUUUGUCCAGCCUGACAGCCUCAUUGUACUCCUUAAGCCAAGAACAAGAAUAUUCAUCUAGACCAAUUUCUUGUAGUUUGAAGACUAACCUAUUGUGAGGAACUGUAUCAAAUGCCUUGGCAAAAUCCAAGUAGAUCACAUCCACUGCAACAUCCUGAUCUAUACUUCUACUUAAUUCUUUGUAGAAUGCAAUUAGGUUAGUUUGACAUGACCUAUGUUUCAUAAAACCGUGUUGAUUAUUGCUAAUAACAACGUUCUUCCCAAUGAAUUCCUGAAUAUUAUCCCUUAAUAGCCCUUCAAAUAUUUCCCCAGUCACAGAAGUUAAGCUCACAGGUCUAUUUCCAGGCAAGGAUUUUGAACAAUCCUCCGGUACAAUACCGGAAACAAAAAAUCUUGAAAAAUUAAAUACAGAUGUUCACUUAUUUUCCCACUUAGCUCCUUAAGUACUUGUGGGUGAAUACCAUCAGGCCCCAGAGCUUUAUUUACAUUAAUUUUCUUUAACAGCUGUAGCAUCUUGUCUCGAGUUAUCCAAUCACAAGUUAUCUGCAAGUUUUUUGCAGCAAUCAUUUGCAUAUAUCUUGCCAUAGGAUCCUCAUUAAUAUAUACUGAAGAAAAAUAGCUAUUUAAAAGUUCUGCCUUUUCUUGGUCUUCAUUGUCUAACAGACCCAUCUUUGUUUCAGUGUACCUACACUUUUAUUUUUUUGUUUUUUUAGAAUUGAUGUACUUGAAAAAAAUGUGGGUGUUGGUUUUGCAUUCUAUGGCUAUUAAUUUCUCAUUUUCUAGUUUAGCCACUUGAAUUGCCUUUUUGCAAGCAUUAUUGGCUUCCUUAUCUCUUAUAUAGGAAGCCUCUGAUUUGUCCGAUUUAAAUGCUUUAAAUGCCCUUUUCUUAUUUUUAAUCUCUUGUUUCACUUCUCUACUAAGCCACAUUUCAAUUAGUUUCUUUUAUAUUUAUUACCCAAUGGUAAAUACUGAGACAUGUACCUUUCUAAUAUUUGUUUGAAUAGUUUCCAUUUAUCCUCAGUGUUUUUUUUUCACUACGGAGUUUAUGCCAGUUGAUAUGUUGUAGAGCUGCCCUAAUCUUAUUGAAAUUGGCUUUUUUAAAAUUAUACGUUUUAGUAUACCCCACAUGCUUUUGCUUUUUUGAGUUUAUUUAAAAAAUUACCAUAUUGUGAUCACUAUUUACCAAAUGCUCCCCUACUUGAAUAUUGGUCAAAAGAUCAACAUUGUUUGUUAUAACGAGAUCCAGACAAGCAUCCUUUCUAUUUGGUGCUUGAACCAGUUGUGACAUCAAAGUGUCAUUUAGCACAUUCAAAAACCUGUUUCCCCUUGCUGAAGUACUAGUCACUCUAUCCCAAUUUAUGUACGGCUAAUUAAAGUCUCCAAUAAUUAACGUGUUACCCCGAUUUGCAGCUUUCCCAAUUUGCUCUAACAUCUGUUCUUCCUCAUUAAUAUUUACAUUAGGUGGUUUAUAACAUUUCCCAACCAAUAAUAUAUUUCCCUUCGUUUGUCCGAAGCAGAUAUCUACCCAUAAAGCUUCCAGCUCUCAUUUCCUCUCAGGCUGCUGAGAUUGCAGGGACCCAGUUGAGCUGUUAAAGGCUGCAGCGUAUGAUCAAGCCCCUGAAAACACUUUGCCAUUGGGUGGCCCUAAGUGCUAAAUCAAAUCGAUCAAAAAUACAUGUAAGGGUCAUUGGACCGAAAAUUCACACAAUGUGAAAGGGAAAAGAAAUAACAGCUCAUGGUAUGGUUUAGGAGUAAGAAGUGCCCUGGCACCUAAUGCAAGCAUUUAAAGCAUUUAAAUAGGAGCUUCCAUUAGCUCUCAUAAGUACUACUGAGCUAAACCCAUCAAAGAGCUGAUUGCUUUCUGCCAAUGACAGAGAGCUUCUGGCAAUCCAUCAUUAGUAGUGAGGUGGGGUGGGAUGCGGUGGCUGAUAGCCCCCAGGUAAGAAGUUAAAGCAUUCUAAAAUACUAUUUACAAUGGGGGUGCAAAUUUAACCUUGGCACUAAACAGACACUGCAGAUAUGGAUAUAUGGUUCCUGCUAACUUCAUUACUUGGCAUACUACAUUAUUUUUUGGGGGUUUAAUUUUCAUCUUCCAAGACAAGUUAUAACAAAUAUCUAUCGUGCUAAAAUUGACUUGGCUUGAUAAAAAAGAAAUCAUUGCAGAUUCCCAACAAUUAGACAGGUGUUGUAUGGUGAAACAAAAAGACUCUUUAAGAAAGAACAAAAUGGUAAUUAAAAUGUUUGCUUUUAUCAUUUAAAUGCUUUGCUACUUUACAAGGCCACUAAGAUAGUUCUUCAUUACUUGCUACUGAGGCAGUGAAAUGGUGAAUGGUCUUUCAUAUUGGAGUCAUAUAGUAGAUUGCUGUAGUUUACCAUCUGUUGUAUUUUAUGGAGUCACAUUUUAACUUCAUUGGUAGUGGAACACCUGCAGUGCAUCGGUCCUGCAGCUGUUUAAUGACCGUUUAAAAUACAUGGAAUGUGGCACUGCAGUGAAUUUGGAUCAAAUUCGAUUCAAGCCAACCUAUGACAUUAUGUUGACUAAUUUCUUCAUUUUCCACUUUGAUUCCCUUCAAAGGUUUCUGACUCAUGAAGCAGAUGUGCAAGAUGGGGAUCCAGUAUAAAUUGUGAUAACACUACAAUAAUCAACAUGUAACUCACGGAAAUCUCCUUAAACCUCUCAAGACCAAAUUUGUAUCAAGACUGUCAUGACAAAUUGGGUUUGCCUAAAUCUUGUCCCUAAAGAGUUAGUUUUAAACAGGUAAAAUUAUGUUCAUGGAAUAUUUUUUUGUGUUUAGAUCUUCUGAUCACUUCUAAGAUCAGACUAUAGCUUAUAUGUCACAGACAAUUGGAUCUGCAGAUGUGCCAUUAUCUUUUGUAUUAUUGUUUCAUAGUGCUGAGAGAUUGAAUCACAUACUAUAAGCCACGAAAAUCAAAUUUGAGAAGAAAAGAUAAAAUUGAAGUGUCAUAGAAGUGACUGGCUAUGUUAGACCGUUUCAACGACUGUUAUACUUCAUCCAUGUCCAUGGUGGUUUCUUCUAACUUGGUGACGGGGUAGAUAUUGUGAGUAUUUUGAGUAAAUAACUUGAUUUCAACAUUUAUUGUUUUUCAAUUCUUUACACACCUGACAAUCAAACAUAUAUUUGAUAUAUGUUUACUGUAUUUUUGUGCGUACACUAGCUCACUGAAACAGUUGUGUCAUGAUGUUCUUCAGAAGUGGGGUAAAAUUUAAUUAAAGAAGAAAUGGUAGGUUUGGUGGAAUGGUAUAUGCAGACUUGCAGGGCUGUGACAUCUUCAUGUUGGUGAGAGUAUAGUAGAGUUGAUCAGUAAGGAAACUGUGCACACCAUAAAUUCUUGUUAAGGCUAGAUAGAAUGUGUUACUGUUAUUAAUUUGACAGAAGCUGGUCUUAUUACCAAGGUGGAUUACUCUUCAUUAAACAGACACAGUAAACUCCUAAAAAUCUUGAUCCAAAUUAAAUUAAAUUGUAAAUGUUCUUUAAAUGAAACCCAGACCACUGUUUUCUGACCAUCAAAUCCUUCCAUUAGUUUGGAAGCUGCAUCUAAGUAUUGUAAUCUUCUUUGGUCCUUUUAUAACCACAUAAACCACCUGUAUCAUUACAGCAUGGCCAUAGAACCAACAUACAUUUUAUUGCAGAACACUGAACAUCAAAGACUAACAGAACACUCAUCAGUUUGAAGACAAUAUAGCUAUUUACGGACUUGUUAAACAUAUAUUUAUCAGGCUGUGUCACUUAAGGAUACUACUAAAUGAACACUUUGAAUUGUUUUGCCACCUAAGCAAUAAAAAACACUAUUAAUACAUUAUUAUUAUUAUACAGUCCUGAAUAAAACAUUUUGUUAAGUAAAGCUUUUAUUAAAGUAAUUUGUAAUAUAUGAAUUUACCAUAAACUAUAUGAAUUUACCAUAAACUAUAUGAAUUUACCAUAAACUAUAUUCAUCGCUAUAAAGCAUAAAUUUCAUUAUCUAUCCCUUUGUCUCCAUAUUUACUGAUGACAUAUUGGCCAUAUUUAUUUCACAUGUGAAAGCAUAAUUUAAUUCUGAGUUUAAUGACCUAGUUGUGGUGAAACGGUGUACAUAUCAUAUAUCCUACUUGUGGUGAAACUGUGUACAUAUCGUAUAUUGCAGUUUCCAUAACAUCUUCUAAAGAGAGAGACAAGGUUUUAUGUAAUAUUUUGUGACAAGGAAUGUCUGACAGCUUUUGGCUGGGGGCAAUGCACUGUGCUAACCUAGGCUUUAAGUGGCCUACGACACGCAACCCAGGUGUAUGUAAAUACUCAUAUAUCUUUUUGUACUACACACAGGUACACACGUGUUAUUUUGUGUAAGAAUCUGAUGUACACUGGUGAUAUCAACUGACCAAUGGUUUACAUGCAGACAAUGUCUUCUUUUUUCCCAGUGCUUACAGAACCAUAUUACAUGUUAAGAGCGGGUAAUGUGUAAUCACUUCAUACAAACACUUGGACAGAUAAUGAGCAAGAGAACUUCCUCAUUAUGCAGCUGCGAGUUAAGGGGUGAGCACUGGAUGUUGGGGAAAACUACAAAUUCCAUUAAUAGCCUCCUAGCACCAUAACCACUACAAUAAACUAUAAUGGCUCUGAUGCUAUUAUUGUUGAAUUUGAAGGUAACAAAUCCAUAAUAUAAAUAUUGCCAGUUAAUCUGUCUAACUCAGCAAUGGAUAAACUAUGUUUGCCCUCACACAUCUAUUAGAAUAUAAACAUAUACGUUUGAAAGCUCUACUUAUAGUUUUCAUGAAAUAUACACUUAACUAUCCCUUUAAAGAUGAAAAUAAUAAUGAUCACUUUAUUAUCGUUUUUCAGUAGUAAUUGUUAUUUUAAAACUACCCCCAGGAAAUGUAUAUUAAUUGCCUUUCUUUUCAAUAAACUUGUGCAUCAUUUCUCAAGUUUGAACUAGCUGUCUUCAUAAAUAUUUUUAUUGGCAAAGAGUGGGCUAUGUUUUGAAUGUGAACUUUUUGCUUAAGUCAGCAUAUUGAGUUAUAUCUUGAGUAUGACAACUAUAUUAAGAAUGAUUAAAGUAGUGUUUAUAUGAGAAGGAUAUUUCUCAGUUUAUUUGGUAACAAGUUAGCAAAGAGUGUAUACACCAGUGUAAACAGGCAUAUUUAUAAGCAACACUACAAUCUGGUUAAAAAAACAAAAAAAACCAUAAAAAAUACUUAAAAGUCAAGUUGUAUUGUGUUUCCCAAAAAUAAAUGAAAGCAGCGUAUUUUCGAAAGAUUUGUGAGAUUUAGUAGGUUGAUUCGCAGUUUUGAUUCACAGUAAAUGUACAGCUAAAUCAUAAUUUAUUUUCUGGCAUAAAGUCUAUAUUCAUAAAAGGGAAGCUGGCAAUUUGCCAUUGCACUUUUACCAACAGUGAAAUUAUUAUUAAUUAUUAUCCAUUAGUUAAUUUAAAUGUUUAGCAGCCACCAGUAAUAGUAGCACCAAGGCUGGAACCUGUCACUAAUUUCUCUCGUAGAAAAUAAUGAGAGCUGUUAGUGCAUGGCUUUUUCAAUAGUGACUGCCGGUAACUCCCUGUCUUUACUUGUGAAACUGGUAGAUGUUAAAAACUCAAUACUUGCUAAAAGUAGUGACAGGUAAUUUAGCAUUUAGUAGUGGCUGGCAGGUAAAAAGUAGUGACAGGUAGGGGAAGAGGAAAGGAUUGGCUAGUCCUGGUUUUGUGCUCCCUAGUUGAUUUGUUCAUUUUGGGAGUAUCAGUUUAGGAGUGGUUGUGCUGGAGGAAGCUGUUCCUUCUAACAGCCAGGGUAACUGCCCCUGUAGUAUGGGAGGGACUGAGAAUUAAAGAAAGGCUAGACAGGUUGUGAUGUAUAUAUUAAGGAGGUGCAUAUCGCAAGAGAUAUGCAAAUAAAUGCUGAACAAAAUAUAUGAUUGGAUGACUAAAGACAAGCUUCUGUAACUAAAGAAAGUUAAUAUAAACAAAGCUCUAAAGACCUUAUGGUAUUCACCUGUGAGUAAUUAAGGAGCUAAGGAGCCAAGCAUGGAAAUAAGUGAACAUCUGAUUUACUUCUUUCCGGAUUCUAUAAUUUCUGGGAUUGUACCACAGGAUUGGUGAAAUAUAGAUGUGGUUCCUAUAUUCAUACAGUUAUGAAGAAAGGUCAACAAAUUGAAAUCAUUUUAGUUGAGAAAAACAGCACCUCGAAGGGGAUAUGAUAGAAUUAUACAAAUAUAUCAGGGGCUAAUACAAAUGAUUGUCUGGAUAUCAUAAACAGGACUAUACAUACUAUACAUCUUUGCCUGAAGAGGUGGCUUUAUCAGAGUCUGUACAGAUGUUUAAACAGCUCCUGGAUGAAUCCAUGCAAAAACAUAAUAUUCAGGAAUAUAUGCAAUUCUGGGGUCAAGUAAGAACUUUUCCCUAAUUUGCUGUAAAAUUGGAAAUCGAUUCAAACUGUUUUUUUUAUUUAUUUUUUGCCUUCUUUGAUGGACGCAAGUCUAUUUAUCAGCCUAUAUAACCAUGUAACAGUAUGUACAACUAUGUAUGGAGGUGCGCCAGCCCAGGAUUACUGGUGCUAAUAUAUAUAAAACACUUGUGCAUGGUGGAAAAUUUUGGUGCAGCUGAAUCAAGUAGUUAAAAAAUAUAUAUUUUAUUUGGCUCAUCCAAAUAUCCUCCAUGAAAAUGAUUCAGAAAAAAAUUCAGACAAACCAAAAGAGUUUGCAUAUUGGCUAAUCAAUGGUCAGCUAAAUAUAUACAUAAUAUGUAUAUGUAAUACUGGUUAUAUAUGGCAAUUAUUAUUUCCUGAAGUGAAUUCCAGUCAAAAUUCAGGCAAUAAAAUUCCAACCAAAUUAUGACUGAAUAGAAUGAUAUAUUUUCAUUCAAAUUUGAUUUACAUUCAGUCAACUUUUGCUCAUUUGAUUACUUUGGAGCAGUUAGUUGGAGCACCAUGGUUGUUAGUCCAAAUUAUGAAUAAAGCGAAUUGGCAUGUCCGUUGUCCGCUUGUCAUAAUUAGGCCAUAUGGAAGUUUGGGGUUACGGAAUUUGGACUACCCACCGGUCACUCAAAAUUUAGACAAUUUUAUCUUUGGAACAUAUCAAAUGAACACCUCAUGUAGAUUACUUAGUCUAUGUAAUAAAUGCUAUUUGCCAUUUCUAUGUUUCUCUUUGGGAGUUUUUAAAUUCACUCUAAGUUUUCUACACCAGCAUAACUGAUUGAAUAUGUAGUAAUGGCCAAGACAUUUAAGGUUUUUAUGUACCAUGGAUGCCACAAGCCAACUAUGAGCAUUUUGCUAUCUUUUUUUAAAACCGUGUUAAAAAAAACCCUGUAUAAUUUACCCUUAAAUAAACCGCUAUAUUUUGUUUUUGUCAAUAGAACUUCCACUAUCUCAGAUUUACUUUUCAGGUGCAGUGCUUAAAGGGACAUGGCAGUCUGGAAGUUACUCAGAUUUUUUUAUGCCUCAUGUAGGGAAUGAAAAAAAUAGGAAAGAGUGGAGCAAUAUUUUAAGAAAGUGGCUGUUUAGGUGAAAAGCCUAUAGUCUGUGCAAUUGUGAGAUAAUAUUGAAGUUAUAAUGAGGUGAGCCUCCAGAAUGACUCUUAUGCAUUGCUGAUAUAUAAGAUUAAGUAACUAUCUAUCAACUCUUUUCUGGAUGUUUUAAGUGUUUUAGAAUUUUAGAAUUGUAUUAAUAUUGAUAUCUAUAUUUAUUCUCUGUUAAUAUAUUAUAUAUUUAGUGUCUAUUAGUUACAUGUUAUAAGCUCCUGGAUGCCUUUAUUUUUAUACUUGUGAAUACUUAUGGGAUUUGAUGAAACCCCACUUUUUCCAGUUUCAGAGCUUUUAUCCUAUUCUCUGUCUUAUUCCCUCUUACACAUUUUCUGAUAGACAUAUCUUUUGACUAUCAGGACUUAUUAUUACUACUCCUCACUUACCGACUGGAUUCCGUUCUUAUGACCCGGUCGUAGAAAUAAUUGUUCGGUAAGUGAGGCGUUUUUGCUAUGGUGCGUUUUUCUAUGUUCAGGGAAAUUUCCCCCCAACAUAGAUGAACGCAGCAGAGCAGGAUAUGCCUCUUAUUCCCACAACGACUCUCACUAGCCAUGGCUCUCAUCGUAGUAAAACAGGUAGGUCAUAAAAUGAGGACUACCUGUAUUCAAUUUAAGAGACCAAUCUUUCUUCUGUAUAUGAAACAAUGACUCCAAAUAGUAAAUAGCUAGUGUUUAUCUUUUGUAUUGCUGUGAAGAAAUUUGCUCUGUUUUGAACUAUAUUUUUUAGAUUAUAACUUAGUUAAACAAUCAGUAGAGAGCAUUUUGGGACUGCCUCCCACAGCCCCACAACAAAUACAAUUGGCAUUUAGUAAAUCAUCAAAAAGCAAUUGUUUAUGAAAAGCACUGUGAGUAGACAUUAGGCAUACCACAACCCAGACGAUGGUUUAAGCCUUCUUUAGGCCUAUCGGUGAGGUCUAGCUGUUCUAUGCACAGUGAGCAAGCAGAGUAUGUCUGGAUAACCCUCUUAUAUGCCGUAGUUAUAUGCACAUUAGCCAAAAACAAGAGCUUAUGAGAACACUGAGCACAUAAAACAGUUCAAUUAGCUUUGCCUCAAUGGUUCUCCAUCUUAGGUCUCAUGCAGAUUUUAGCUCACUUGUGCCACUAUGAAGAGAACUUUAGCCAGUUGUUUAUCAGAUUUAUCCCACCCACAAGGGCAGUCCAGAUCUGAAAUACUGGCUGGCUACCUCUGCAUGAGACAUACAGCAAUCACAGAUUCUUGUUUCCACUUUCCAUGGGCCUUGUCAGUGUGGUGUAGCUGAUAUCCCUGAUGCACAAUGAGCCAGUAGUGCACAUCUGCAUUACUCUUUUAACUCUUAUCAUAUAUAAAUUAAUCAAAACAAUAGUUCAUAAGAACACAAAUUCAGCUCAAGUAGUUUUCCUCUAGAGUCUCCCUAAGUCAAAAGUGUAAUCUAGACAUGAACUCUUUGCUAUUAACCAGUGCUCACACUUAUGCACCCAGGCAAAUAGUGUUCACAAUCGGAACUAUAUUUAUUAUAUGUGUUUCUUUUUGUUGGAUGAUUAAUCCACCUGUGAAUUUAAGAUUUGGAGUCUUGAUAAGGUGAAAAUAAUGCUAAACUGUAUGUAUAAUGCUACUCAGAGUGUAAUGAAACCAUGGUUCUCUUGGACACACUUUCUUCGUAACUACAGAUGAGCUGAUGAUGGUUCUCGAGGUGUUGGAUCAGCAGAAAGCAAUGAUGUGUUAGGAUGCAUUCCUUGGCUUUUCCCCCUAUUUUAUUAGUUUUCUAGUCAUUUUUCAUUUGUCGAUUUCCUGCCUCUGCCUAUUCCUUUCCUCUGCACAUAUUCCUCUGAUCUUUUCCUAAAUAGUGCAGACAUCAGAGUCUUUUCUUUCAUGUAUCUCCUUUUGAGGUCCAGGUGGGUAUAUAGUAUACCUGGAAUGCAAUGAUUACUGUUUACAUUAUGUCAAAUUUUACCUUGUGCCUUCUCUGUUGUAACUUGUUAUACUGAAAACCAAACUUUAAGUAAACAACGUGAGCAUGUAACAUGCUGAAUUUUCCACUUAAAAAGAUUCUCUAUGAAAUAUUUUACCAAAUGUAAAAUGAAAAUAUAUUUAAAAUUAAUUCUACAUCUUGUUUAUUAUAUUUAGGAUGUCACUUGUGCAACUGCUGUGAAAUCUUUGUUUUCUUGGUCUUCAUUUGAAUGUCUGAUUCAUAUCAUUUUCCAGAUGCAGAUUCUAUGACAACUUUCUACCAGCGUGUCUAACCCUUUAACAACUUGCGCCAGAGAAAUAAAGACAGACUGUUUAUGCUUGAUGUAAAAUUUACAUGUGGAGAUGACUCACCCUAUAGGGGGAGAAUGGUAGCCUUUUUAUACAUGCUCAGCAGAAACAUAUGGGGCCAUCCUAAGACUGAAUUUGCUUGUGGAGAGUGUUACUCAGCAAGGAAAGAUGUGUUUGUACCAUCUUAGACAAGGAUCAUCUGGGAUACAAGUAUAGUCUGGAUUCAGUCUAUCGGAAGUUUUGUUCCUUUGCAAAACAGCUGGUUGCAGCUGCUGUCAAAGGAUUCUGAGAACUGACUGUUCAUUUAAGGUGGCUUAGGAAAAUCCACAAAAAAAAAGGAUUGUUGACAAUGAGCGUUUUGCCAAAAAGUGAUGGGUGUGGAUUCUGUGAUAGAGGGUGAUUUUAGCAAAAUGAUUUUAUUGAUCAACUAACUGUAGCUAAAUCUCAUGUUUAUUGAAGAUGUGACAUAAUAUUUAGUGUAUAGUCAAGGCUAUGCAAUGUUAUACAAUAUUGUGAACGGGAUUUAUUAAACCCUUACUGUGGUAAAAAUAGGUCUAUGGAAUGCAAUUAAAGGUCACUUCCUUUUAACGUCAGUCACUCAAUGAUUUAAUCAUAAACCUACGAUUAUAUAUAGUACAUAUUUUUACGCCAAAGUUAAAAUGUAUACUGUUUCCCCGUUUCAUGCUGGCAUUUUAAAUAAAUGUCUUCCCAAAAUUACUAGAAUUUAUUUGGCAAAGCUUACAUGCAUGAAAAAUAAUAUUUAAAGUACAUCUAACUGACGAAAAUGGUUAGUUGUAGUUAAAAUAGGAAAACAUUCCACCCAUAUUAAAAAAAAAUGUAGGGAGAAUAAGGAUACAUAUAAAUAUACAUUGCCAGAUUGCUAUGCUUCUGCAGGACAUAUAUCAAUUCUACAGUCUUUUAUGUGGCACGUGAAAGUGCUCAAUGACAAAAUAUAGAUGUAUCCUAUUGUAAAACUGCUAAAUUGAUUAUGGUGGCGCCUUUCAGACCACAUAACUGAUUAAAUAAUUAGUAAACUUACUCCUGGUAGCUUAUAAAUUUUACGAACUCUCAAAUACUGUGUAUCAUUUUUAAAUCAUCAGCCUCCUAAUUUCAUGUUUUAUGUUCUAGAGAUUGCAGCUUUAAGUAUGUAUAAUGCAUUUUCUAUUGGUGUGGGGACUGUAUCUGUUGGUCUGUCUGGGAUUUAUCAAUAUAUAAGUAUUUAUUUGUGUAUACACUGAUCAGCCACAACUUUAUAACAACCUGUCCAAUAUCAUGUAGGUGUCCUCUGUACUGCCAAAACAGCUUUGAUGCGACGAGGCAUGGAUUCCACAAGACUUCUGAACAUGUUCUGCGGUAUUUGGCACCAAGACAUUAGCCACAGACCUUUUAAUUCCUGCACGUUGCUAGGUGGGACCUUCAUGGAUCAGAUUUGUUGUUCCAGCACAUCCCACACACGCUCAAUUGAAUUGAGAUUUGGAGAAUUUCAAAGCCAAGGCAACACCUUGAACGCUUUGUCAUGUUCCUCAAACCAUUCCUGAACAAUUUUUAAAUGUGACAGGGAGCAUUAACCGGCAGAAAGAGGCCAGUACCAUAUGGAAACACCAUCGCCAUAAAGGGGUAUACAUGGCCUGUAACAAUUUCUAAGUUGGUGGUACGCAUGAAAGUAACAUGCACAUGAAUGCCAGGACCCAAGGUUUCCAAGAGCAGAAUACUGCCCGCCAUCCUGCCUUCUUCCUAUAGUGCAUACUGCUGCCAACUCUUCCCCAGGUAAAUGACACACAUGCACCCUUCCAUCCACCUGAUCUAAAAGAAAGUGUGAACCAUUGUUCAAUGAUUCAGUUCUGAUACUCACAUCCCCACUGAAGGCGCUUUCGGUGGCGGACAGGGGUCAUUGUGGACACUCUAACCGAUCUGCGGCUACGCAGCCCCAUAUGCAACAAACUGUGAACACCCCACAUUACUUACUGUUUUGGAGAUGCUCUGACCCAGUCCUCUAUCUAUCACUAUUUAGCCCGUGUUAAAGUCAUUGAGAUUUUUUUGCUUGCUUAUAUUUCCUACUUCCAACACAUGAAAUUGAAAAACCGACUGUUCACUUG